rnacentral:lncRNA from 1 species
AAAAUUUCACUAUAUCGGCAGCAAUCAUUUUUUCUUCUUCAUCAUCCUUUUUGAAUCAUUGAUCUAGAGUAGUUGAUUUGUUUGACUCAGCUUGUAUUAAAUGGUUGUGCUAUGUAUUCCGUUUGGUCUGACGGUCACUUGAUCUAAUUUUAAACAUAUGAGGACCGCACGGUGAGCAAAUUUACAUUUUCUGCUGUAAAUACUAAGUUCAUUUAGUUGCACUAGGAUAUUGUUUUUACCAUCUGGUACCUUCACCUUCUAUGGUCGAGGAGCUCGUGUCAUGGACGGUUGAUUUCAUGGUGGAGCUCUGGUUUGCACCAUCAAUCUCUAGAAGACGUCAAUACUGCAAAGAAUGGGUGAUCCGAAUCCAGCGGUGCUCUAGCGAGCCAGACUGAUCACCAACAAGCUCUAACUUGUGGGAGCUAAUGUUUCCAAUCACUAGUAGAAAACAGGGCUUUGGUCCAGGCCGGGUCAGCCCAUUAGUCCCGGUUCAGUCCAGAACCGGGACCAAUGGGGGCAUUGGUCCCGGUUCGUGAGCCCAGGGGGCUGCCCGGGCCACGUGGGCCAUUGGUUCCGGUUCAUCUGAACCUUUUGGUCCCGAUUGGUGGGAUGAACCGGGACCAAUGGGCCUCGCUCCUGGCCCACAAUCAUUGGUCCCGGUUCGUGUCUCAAACCGGGACUAAAGAUUAGACCUGUAGUCCCGGUUUGAGGCACGAACCGGGACUAAUGGGGUUGAGAACUUUAGUCCCGGUUCGUGCCACGAACCGGUACUAAAGGUCUCAUUUUCAAACUCUACCCCCCCCGGAUCGCCUUUUCAGUUUUUUUAAAAAUAAAAUAAAAUGAUGGAAAUGUCAAAAAAAUAAAAGAAAAUAAGUUUCCCAUGUGAUAUGUGGUCUAGUUGUUGGGAAAAUUUGCAAAUGUGAAUUUUGACUUUAUUUGCAAAAUCUCUCUGAAAUUUGUAAAAAUGGGCAUAACUUUUGCAUACUAACUCGGAUGAAAAAGUUUUUUAUAUGAACAAUCAUCUACUCGAAAANNNNNNNNNNNNNNNNNNNNNNNNNNNNNNNNNNNNNNNNNNNNNNNNNNNNNNNNNNNNNNNNNNNNNNNNNNNNNNNNNNNNNNNNNNNNNNNNNNNNNNNNNNNNNNNNNNNNNNNNNNNNNNNNNNNNNNNNNNNNNNNNNNNNNNNNNNNNNNNNNNNNNNNNNNNNNNNNNNNNNNNNNNNNNNNNNNNNNNNNNNNNNNNNNNNNNNNNNNNNNNNNNNNNNNNNNNNNNNNNNNNNNNNNNNNNNNNNNNNNNNNNNNNNNNNNNNNNNNNNNNNNNNNNNNNNNNNNNNNNCAGAAAAAUUCAAACAGUGGGCAAACUGUGGUCAAACAAUGGUCAAACUAAUUAUUUUAGAAUAUUAGUGUUACUAAAUAAUUAUUUCAGUUAUUUCAAUUUUGGUCAAAUCUGGUCAAACUGUGGUCAAACAAUGGUCAAACUAGUUAUUCAAGAAAUAUUAGUGUUACUAAAUAAUUAUUGUUUUUUAAAACAAUAGUUUCAAAAUAAAACUAUGAAAUGUGUCACUUCAUGCUCAAGCAAAAUUCCUGAAGGUUAAUAGGAUUGACAUCUUAGUAUUGUCAGGAAAACAACAAGUGCAGACUUGGAGCGAGGGAGAAUAGAACUCGGAAGUUAAGCGUGCUCAGGCUGGGGGAGUGGGAGGAUGGGUGACCGUUCGGGAAGUUAGAUGAUUUGAAAUGAUGAGGGAUGAUUAGAGGAUAAAUUGAGAAGUGAUGAGGGGUGGUGAUUACAGACUAGAGGUUAAAAUAAUUCAGAAAUUUGAAAAUAAAAAAAAUUCAAAAAAAGUUUCAAAAAAAAUCAUAAAAUUUUCUUUAGUCCCGGUUGGUGUUACCAACCGGGACUAAAGGUGGAGCUCCACGUGACCACGCCCUUUAGUCCCGGUUCUGGAUUGAACCAGGACUAAAGGGAGAGGCAUUAGUACCGACCCUUUAGUCCCGGUUUCAGAACCGGGACUAAAGGCCCUUAUGAACCGGGACUGAAGGCCCUUUUUCUACUAGUGAAUGUUAACGAUUGUUGAGAUAAUGGUCGCUCUUGAGCUAGAAUCCACGAGCGCUAAUGCCUCCAAUGUUAGCGGCGAGAGAUUGGAGACAUAUUGAUCAGCAAUGAGUCGAAACCGGCGAUCGCUAAUGCCUCCAAUGUUGGAGGUGCGAGAUAAGCGGAUUUAUGUUUUUUUAUUUAUGGUGUGUACGCCAUCUCAACAUGCUAGGGGGAGGGGGGGGGGUAUGGUGUUCUUUGUGAACACAUGGGGUUUAAGUUGCUAUGUUUUCUCAUUGCGUUUCAAGAGGGCUGUUUCUAUGUUGUAUGUUUAUUUCAUUGCUGCACAUGCCAUUUCUAAAUGUUGCUUACUUUUGAUUUUCCGGUUGCAUCUGUUGAUACCUUCUAUGUCUCACUUUGUUUUUUAUUUUGCGGGAAUAUGUCUCAAUCUGUUGUUGCAAUGAAAUGAGGAUUUAUUGCAUACCUCGAAUGUUUUGUCGUGUGUACAUGUCUAAAAUGUUGCAAUUUUUUUGCAUGUCUUUUAGAUCGCCACAGAAAAUAUUACAAUGAUGAUGCAUAGGGAGUUUUAAAAAAAUAUUGCACGCAACACGUGUAUCCAGGGCCAAGACAACAUCCGUUUGUUGACAGACUAAACUUAGGAAUUGAAUAUAUUUGGGAAAAAAGGAGACUCAUUCGAGAAGGACUGGAAUGAGCGGGCCCAGCGCGCGAUAGGCCACAGGCCACAUGACACAACCUCGCUUUUUCUGUUUCUUUUCACGUACUUUGCUUUCUUUUUUUACUUUUGCUUGUACUUCCAAAUAUUCUAAAUAUAUAUCUUAUAAAAAACACUUUAACUAUUUUUUUUGAAAUUCUUAAUCAAGCUUUUGAGAAAUGCUAAAUGUGUAUGGAAAAAUGUUUCUCAUGUAUAUGAAAAUUAUACACAAAAAACAUACAAUGUGUACGAACAAGUUGUUCAUGUAUUUAAAAACUAUUAAUCAAGCAUUUGAAAAAACAAUUAGUCAAGUACUUGAAAAAUGUUAAUCAAGUAUUUGAAUUUUUUUAAUGUGUAUAGAAAAAUAUUUUGAAUGCAUACGCAAAAUGUACAAAUGCUUAUGAAAAAUAUAUAUGAGAAAUGUUAAUCAUGUACCUAAAAAUUGUUAACCGUGUAUAAAAAAAGUUCCAGAUGUAUAAAAAAUGUACAAUGUGUAGGGGGGAAAUAGACAUGCAAUAAAUGUAAGAAAAAUGUUAAUUUGCAUUUAAAAAAUUAGACAUGUAUAAGAAAAUGUUACUGAUGUAUACAAAAAGUACAAUAUAUGUUUAAAAGUGUAGACAUAAAACCGAAUAGAGAAGAAUGUCAAUGCUAUACUGGCAAACUGUAAACUUGUACAAACAAAAUGCUUAUGUGCACAAAAAAUGUACAAUCCGAAUAAAAAAUAGUAGACAUCAAAACAAAUAUCUGAAAAAGGUUAAUCAUGUAUUUGAAAAAUGUUGAACCUGAAUAAGAAAAAAAUUCUCAAGUAUAUGUCAAAUAUACAAUAUGUAUGAAAAAAAGUAGUCUCCAAAACAUAUAUCUGAAAAAUGUUAAUUAUGUUUUUGAAAAAUGUCACAAUGAGUAUAAAAAAUGUUCCUACAAUAUAUAUGAAAGAAAAGUAGACCUCGAAACAUACUUUUUAAAAACUAUCAUGUAUUUUAAAAUUAAUGAAGAUGUAUAAAAAUAUUUCCUUGCAUAUAUGAAAAUUUUACAAUGUGUAAGAAAAGACGUAAAAAUCAAGGCUAGUCGAAAAGAAACAAAGCAUACCAAAGAGGAAAAAAGAAAAAAGAAAUAGAAAAAAAAUAAGAAACCAAUCGAAAGCAGUGCAACAUAGUGAAAAAUGAAACCUAAAGAAAACCAAGAAAGAAGCAAAUACUACCGAAACGAGAAAGAGGAUGAAAAAACAAAAAAAAAACAAAGAAACCAAUGCAUUAUAGUGAAAUAAUGUGAAAACCAAGAAACUCAAUAAAAUGAAACGGAAACAAAAGAAAACCAAAAAAGGCAACGCAAAAAAGAAAAACAGGAAUAAAAAAGAACCCGAAAAAUAUAAAGCAAAACAGUGAAUGCAGUGAAAGAAUGGUUCUAUAGUAUUGGGCUGGCCCUGUCCUUUAGGCGAGAGAAGCAGAUAUCUCACAGCAAGCGAGAUGGCAGAUUCUAUUUGGCACGUUAGUCGCUGCUGAACGAGCGCGCGCGCACCCUCCACUGGACACUGCACGUGGGAGUGAGGGUGUGCGCGCUGUAUCCUUUUCCCAGCGCUCAGCGCGCAUAAUAGGAGCUCCCAAGCGAGAUAUAACUCUUGCGCUCGGCCGGGCACCGAGCAUCAUAAAUGGCGUAUCCUAUUUGGCGCGCCAGUAGUUGCUUAGCGACCGCGCGCGCACCCCUGAUGCACACUGCACGUGGGAUUGAAGGGGUGCGCGCUGCACCCUUUUCCCAGCACUCAGCACGCGGAAAAGGACCUCCCAAGCGAGAUAUAGCUCUAGCACUCGGGCCGGGCCCCAUCCCAUUACAAUCAGCCGGGCACCGAACACAGCCCACUCACACUUAAAAAAGAAAGAAGGAAAAAAAAGUUGCGUCCGCCAAGGCUCCAGCUCAAUAAUCGCUCAAGCUAAGUCAGAGCUCUCUACAUACAGCUUCAGCACAAAAGUCCCGGCGAGGUAACUCUGACAGUUCAUCCCAGCCUGAAGUGUGAACAUCAACGACUCGCAGGGAAGACUGCAGCGGCCUCCCCUCUGAGCUCUGACUAAACAUAAAUAUCAUGCCGGCGGCGUAAACCCGCGGCAAGUUUCAGUCUUGACCCUCGCGCCAUUGUUUUCCCAACGCAAAAGGUCAACUGUUGAAGCUCCUGGACGCCAUCCAUCAUCCAUGGCCACACGCAGCGCUACGUACAGCAUGAAAUGGACCGGCGACGAAAUUCCGGCGGCAGCUCCAUGUCUCCGCUGUUCAGGUCAUAAUGUUAACCCCAGGUUUUCCACCCGUAUGACGCGCAGGAGUCAAUGUCGAUCCCUGUCACCCGCGUACUUUGGCUAAUCCGGCGACUGAGCACGGAUGCCAAAUAGAGAUGGACUGCCGCUUUCUCGAGCCCUGUUCUAUAACUGACGACAGGACCGCAGCAUAUGGUGGUAGGAGUACUAAAGUUCAUCCAUUUUAUGAGAUCAUCGAGUCGGAAAUGAAUCGCUAUCGACGGCAUUUUUUAGCUAUAUAUAUAGGUUGGGUAAAUACGUCUGUUAAUAGUAAUUACUUAUGCAGGAAACAUUCGUUGUGCUAGCGCCGUGGAUUCAUAUGGAAGACGGGUUUAUUUUAUUUCUGAAGGGGGUAUUAUUUUGGAAAAACAAUGAGAAGAAAAGGUUCCCUUUGUUAAGCGUCUUUCAACAUUGUCAUCAAUUGAGCAUGACAACGUCAGACCAGCUAUGGCGACGUCGUUCGCUAUACCGAUCUGACUUUGCAUCUUAUAUACAAGUCAUUACGUCCCUUUUAACUGAAUCCAAAUCAGUAACCCAGCCAAUAUGCACUGACAAGUCUCGAAAUAGGAAACACCGCCACUAGGCCGAGAGCGACACCAUGUGAUGUUUUAAUCUUAAUCGACUAAUUAGCUCAGCCUUGAAUAUUCUUACAGCUCGUUUGGUACCCAUCAUUUGGGUCGGAUUUGGUGGAUUUCAUUUGCGAAUUCCGGAAUAUACUUGUUUGGCUGCCACAGAAUUGAGGGUGGAUUUCAUUCUAAGAUUCCAGAGGAUGUAAACUUGGCCUAGGCCCAAAUCCCAGCCCCUCGCCCGUCAUUCUCCCGGAUUCCACUCGCUCGCUUCCCCCACCCUACCCCGACGCCUUCGUCUCUCGCCUCCUUCCCCCACCCUACCCCGACGCCCGCCGCCGCCGCCGCCGCCAUGAACCCCACCUUCUCGGCCGCCGGUGAUGCACCCCCCUGCCGGUGAAUGGCUUCUCCCCGAGUUCUCUUCCCCCGUCCCCUCUACACGCGAAGCUUUCUGUUCGAUGGUGUGCUGCCUCCGGUGACCACAGCGCCGUCGUCGAGCUCUCAAAUCCUGGUAGGUUCUCCCUCCACCUCUCUUCUCCCCCUCCCUCUCUCUGGUGGAUCUUUUCUGCUUGAACCCUAACCCUAACCUGAACCCACCUCCAUCCAGCCACCCGAUCCGGACAGAAGAUCGACUUCUUGACGAUUCCUCCGCCAGCCCACGGUCGGUCAGCUCCACACCCCGGAAGAUCGACCUUUUUGUGGUACGUGGUCAGCGUGUCUGCGUCCCCUCUAUGCAAACAGAAUGGAUCUCUGAAUUUAAUGUGUUUUGCACACUGAUUAUUUUGUCUGAAUUCAGUAUAGAACAAAGUCAGUGUGGUUGGACAGUGAUUUUUUUGUCUGGAUUUAGUAUAGAACAAUUCAGUAUGGGCCGCAAGCAGACAUGAACCCCUGAUUUCAAUAUGUUUGCACACUGAUUUUUUGUCUGAAUUCAGUAUAGAACAAUUUCAGUGUGCUUGCAUAAUGAUUUUUUGUCUGAAUCAGACUGGGAUUUUUCCAGACUGAGCUGAUUUUUAUAUUCGGACUUGUUAUUGAAGCUAGAUACUUGAGCAUAAUGUUUUGAAAUACAAGUUUAGGAUAGUUUUGAUUCACUCCGUUUUAGGAGAGAGUGUUAAUAACAUGUUCAAUAAGACUGUGUCAAUUGUAUCGUAUGGCGAUUGAAGCUUCUUUUUAUGUGAAACUCUAAUGCUUGAUGGUUUUGUUUGUUAUGAUCUAUUUUUCCAAAAGUAUGGGGGCGCAGGUCUGUUCAUCCACCUGACAAAAGUGAAACAGAAAGUAGCAUAAACCCUGUUUGGGUUUUGCCCAUCUUUUUCCUCCAUCUAAGCUUUCUUGACAAGCAACUGCAUCUGUUUUUUGUGUAUCACUAGUAAUAAGCAUGAGUUUUUUGUGUAUCACUAGUAAUCGAGCUUGAGUUCUUUCUCAAUUGUUAUUUUCUUCAUUUUAAUAUAGAUGUCAGACUUGUACAUUAACACAUUGCAUGGCGAUGAGAGGAGAAAGAAAAGGAAGAGGGCAGCUGCUGGAUUUUUUGUGUCGGUUGUCGCGAUAGUUCAACACACGUAUUGUUAGAGGAAGAUUAGAGAGCUUGAUGAUUUCAGUGAGGAUGAGGCGGAGAUUAGGAUUAGAAAGCAGAUGCUUAGAUCAAUUUAUCAGGGUUCUAACAAGCACUGUUUUGAUAGUUUGCGCCUAACUAAACGGUCCUUUGUGGACCUGUGCGCUAUUUUGCGUGAAAGAUGUGGUUUGGGGGACACAUUUUAUGUGUCGGUUGAAGAAUCAGUCACAAUGUUUCUGCUAGUGCUAAGCCAUGGGAUGAAAUACCGGUUAAUUGAAAGCACGUAUAGAUGGGCACUCGAGACCAUCAGUAGGCAUUUCAAUGAGAUCUUAAGAGCUGUCCUUUCCUUGUCUCAUGAGUUUAUAAAGCUACCAACCCCUUCAGCUGAGCAGCCCGAGGAUAGUAGAUGGAAAUGGUUUCCAGAUGGGCUAGGAGCUUUAGAUGGCACACAUGUUGAUGUCCGUGUUUCCGCUCUCAAGCAAGGCAGAUACAGGAAUAGAAAGCAAGAUGUGACCACUAAUGUGCUUGGUGUUUGUGACCGGAAUAUGGAGUUUUUGUAUGUCUUAGCUGGAUGGGAAGGUUCUGCAUCUGAUUCACGAGUGUUGCGAGAUGCAAUGUCACGACAAGACGCUUUUAGAGUUCCACAUGGUAAUUCUCUGUCUUGGUACGGUAGAACAACUAAGUUAUGAUAUUUCAAUGUAAAUAUAAUAUCUAAUACUUGUUAUUUUUGCAAACAUUAGGAAAAUACUACCUUGUAGAUGCUGGGUACACUAAUGGUCCGGGCUUCUUUGCUCCAUACCGGUCAGUCCGGUACCAUUUGAAAGAAUGGGCGGCUAAUGGAAAUAACCCACAAACUCCAAGAGAGUUAUAUAAUCUGCGACAUGCAUCAGCUAGGAAUGUGAUAGAGAGAACUUUUGGUCUACUAAAAAUGAGAUGGGCUAUUUUGGGGACUAGUUCAUUUUUUCGCAUACGGAAUCAGGUAUCACAUAGUAUUUUGCAAAACCAAGCCUCCGUUUAUUUUUAUUUUUUUAUUAACACGCCAAUAAUACCAUCUCGCAGAUCCGUGUCAUUAAUGCUUGCUGCAUAUUGCAUAACUUUCUAAGAGAUAGGCAGAGAGAGAUGGAUGAUAUAAUGCUAAUUGACGUGGAUAAUCAGUUAAAUGCUGCUGCCAUCGAACAUCCUGAAGAACCAAACAUGAUUAGACAUGUUGAAUCAACAACUGAGUGGAACAACAAGCGAGAUACCUUAGCUAAUCAAAUGUGGGCAGAUUACCAAAGGAGACGCGGGGGAGCCAAUCAUUGAAUUCAUUCAUUUGUAUGUUCAUAUAUUUCAUAUGCCUAUUUUUGAAACCCCCCCUCUCUCUCUCUCUGGAUUCUACGUUUGUCUCAUACAUAUAUUGUUGCUUGCAGGAAGAUAUGGAUGUGGAGAAGAAAGGAGGUAGAAACUACCUUACCUGGAUGGAUGAAAUGGAUGAAGCAAUGCUGAAUGUGUUCGUGGAGCAUUACAAUAGAGGGGAUCGUGCUCAAAAUGGGUCGAAGCCACAUGUCUACACUGCAGUUGUCAAGAAUGUUCGAGCCAAGUGCAAUGUGGAUAUCACAAAGGAUAAUGUCAUAUCAAGGUGCAAGACUAUUGAUAGACACUAUGUCAAUGUCAGCAAGAUGUUGUCAACGAGUGGUUUUGGGUGGAAUUGGAUCCAUAACAAGCUUAUGGUUGAUAGUGAGGACGUGUGGAGAAACUAUGUCAAGGUAAGCACUACAUCUUGAGCAUCUAUGUAUUCAUGGCAUGGCCACAAGAUUCAUUUUCAUCAUUCAUGUGGUCAAGUAGUUUAUUCGAAAACAUGCACUUAUACACCUUCUCCACCUUCUCCAUCAUGAUGUGGAAUUCAGCCAAGUUUAUUUGAAAACAUGCACUUAUACUUGUUGGAAAUAUGCCCUAGAGGCAAUAAUAAAUUGAUUAUUAUUAUAUUUCCUUGUUCAUGAUAAUCGUUUAUUAUCCAUGCUAGAAUUGUAUUGAUAGAAAACUCAAAUACAUGUGUGGAUACAUAGACAACACCAUGUCCCUAGUGAGCCUCUAGUUGACUAGCUCGUUGAUCAAUAGAUGGUUACGGUUUCCUGACCAUGGACAUUGGAUGUCGUUGAUAACGGGAUCACAUCAUUGGGAGAAUGAUGUGAUGGACAAGACCCAAUCCUAAGCCUAGCACAAAGAUCAUGUAGUUCGUAUGCUAAAGCUUUUCUAAUGUCAAGUAUCAUUUCCUUAGACCAUGAGAUUGUGCAACUCCCGGAUACCGUAGGAGUGCUUUGGGUGUACCAAACGUCACAACGUAACUGGGUGGCUAUAAAGGUACACUACGGGUAUCUCCGAAAGUGUCUGUUGGGUUGGCACGAAUCGAGACUGGGAUUUGUCACUCCGUGUGACGGAGAGGUAUCUCUGGGCCCACUCGGUAGGACAUCAUCAUAAUGUGCACAAUGUGAUCAAGGAGUUGAUCACGGGAUGAUGUGUUACAGAACGAGUAAAGAGACUUGCCGGUAACGAGAUUGAACAAGGUAUCAGGAUACCGACGAUCGAAUCUCGGGCAAGUAUCGUACCGCUAGACAAAGGGAAUUGUAUACGGGAUUGAUUAAGUCCUUGACAUCGUGGUUCAUCCGAUGAUAUCAUCGUGGAACAUGUGGGAACCAACAUGGGUAUCUAGAUCCCGCUGUUGGUUAUUGACCGGAGAACGUCUCGGUCAUGUCUGCAUGGUUCCCGAACCCGUAGGGUCUACACACUUAAGGUUCGGUGACGCUAGGGUUGUAGGGAUAUGUAUAUGCAGUAACCCGAAUGUUGUUCGGAGUCCCGGAUGAGAUUCCGGACGUCACGAGGAGUCCCAGAAUGGUCCGGAGGUAAAGAAUUAUAUAUAGGAAGUGCUAUUUCGGCCAUCGGGACAAGUUUCGGGGUCACCGGUAUUGUACCGAGACCACCGGAAGGGUCCCGGGGGUCCACCGGGUGGGGCCACCUAUCUCGGAGGGCCCCAUGGGCUGAAGUGGGAAGGGAUCCAACCCAAAGUGGGCUGGGGCGCCACUUCCCCCUAGGGCCCAUGCGCCUAGGGUGGGGGAAACCCUAAAGGAAGAGUCCUAGGAGGGGAAGGCACCUCCUAGGUGCCUUGGGGAGGAGGGAUUCCUCCCCUUGGCCGCACCCCCCUAGGAGAUUAGAUCUCCUAGGGCCGGCGCCCCCCCCCCUUGGCCCUCCUAUAUAUAGUGGGGAGAUGGAGGACUUCUAAUGCUUAGCCUUUGGUGCCUCCCUCUCCCUCUCCGACACAUCCUCCUCCUCCAUAGUGCUUAGAGAAGCCCUGCCGGAGUACUGCAGCUCCACCACCACCACGCCGUCGUGCUGCUGUUGGGGCCAUCUUCCUCAAUCUCUCCUUCCCCCUUGCUGGAUCAAGAAGGAGGAGACGUCGCUGCUCCGUACGUGUGUUGAACGCGGAGGUGCCGUCCGUUCGGCGCUAGGAUCAUCAGUGAUUUGGAUCACGACGAGUACGACUCCAUCAACCCCGUUCUCUUGAACGCUUCCGCAUAGCGAUCUACAAGGGUAUGUAGAUGCACUCUCCUUCCCCUCGUUGCUGGUUUCUCCAUAGAUAGAUCUUGGUGACACGUAUACAAUUUUGAAUUUCUGCUACGUUCCCCAACAAUACUUGUUCAUGCAUAGCUUUCUAAUCAGUAGUUUACUCAUCAUUUCCCCUAUGUUUUGCUAUUAUAUUAGUGAUCAGCCUUCUCUUGAGAAACAAUCACAACUUGCAGCAGUGCACUUGUUUUCCCCAUUAUUUAUGUGAUUUUGCACCAUGACAUGAGUUACAUCUUAGCUGUAGUCUACGAUUUUCUCUUUGGAUGUGUGUUUGGUGUUUGGAUGGAUGUGUGUUCAUUUUCCACCAUGACAUGAGACUAUUUGUCUUCAUGGGUUGCAGGCAAACAAAGAUGCAGCAUGCUACAGGCACAAGGUCAUAAAGUUUUGGGACUCUAUCAGCCUUGUCUUCUCGAGGGAUCAUGCCACCGGAACGGGAGCCAGAACUGUUGGUGAAAGUGCAGCAGAAAUGGCUGCAGAGAAUGUCAACAACAUCAACACUGAUUCUGCCGCAACAUCUUCAACCCAAACCGGCGAGGAACAGAAGAGGAAAAGAUAUCGAUCGGAUGACUCAAUUGCAUCUAUGCUUGGAGAGAAAUUGGAUAAUUUUACCAGUGCCUACAAAGCUGAUAUCGCUCAAGUUGCUCCUCCUGAGAAACCCUCCUCUCCUGAAGAAAUACUUGACGCUCUCAAUGCAAUUGUGGGACUGGAUGAUGAUGGCUUGCUAGCAGCUUAUGAUUUCCUCAUAGCAGAUGAUCGCAAGUUCAAGGCUCUUAUGGCGCUGCCUGAAAGGAUGAAGAAGAAAUGGAUCCUCAAGCAAAUCAACCAAUGAAGGUAUGUUUCUUGUUCUGUGAUUAGUUACCAGCUAGCAAGCUCUACUGCAUUUUGUCCUUAGUUGUUUGUUAUAGUACAAUAUUAUGGGUGUCCUGUAUUUUGUCAUGCCAAUAUGGAGCAGAGGAGGCAGCAGCUUGCUUGCUUUUCAUCAUAUUUAUGUACUUACCUAUUUCCAUGUUUGAGAUUAGCAUGAUAGAAGGUUUUAUGUUAUCAUCUUAAUAAGGUUUUCCUGCCAGGUCUUCCCAAACAUGGCUUGAUAAAACAACGUUUUCCUGCCAUGUUUGAGAACAACUUGUUCUGCCAUGUCUCCUGAAACAAGGUUUUAUGAACAUAUUUUGCAUGCACAUAAAUAUUCAGUGUGUUUGAAGGUCUCUUAUGAACUAGUCUUUUUUUCUUCGGUCGAGAGGUGGCAUUAUUAGUCUAGAAUACAUCAACCAGAUAUAUGCUUAUUUAGUGGCUGUAGUCUUUUAUCGACUUAGUUUCGGUCCUACUUAACAUACUCGGUUGUUGAUGGUUUUUUGCUAUUACCUUUCGAUUCAUGAUAAUUGUGCAAAUGAAGUGCAAGUUAACCUUUGAAAAAUUUCUAUAUCAAGUUGAGUUUUCUUACCCUUCCUAGAGAUUGUUGCAAGCUAAAGCUUAUCGUGUGACACUUCGAUUUGUCUUCUUGGCUAUCGUCAUCUUUCACUUUGAGCAAUUUCUACCAACCAUUGUGUUCAAGGAUUGUUUAUUGCCCUAUGAGACCAUAUGUCACCAUUUCUCAUCAUAUUUUGCAGGAAAUUUUGGGUGAAGUGUGAUGUUGAACGAACAGAACGAAGAAAUGAAGAUCCUUGAGCAAUGAAAAUCUUUCUUGGAUGGUGCUAAUAAUGCAAAGAUUCAGUUUUUAUGUAACCUUGACUAGAUUAUGAUCAUUUGAUGUUGUUGUGAACCUUUGUCGUAUUGCAAAGAUUAACUUUUUACAAAGUCUCAUGUUUAAGUUAUAUGUAUUGGCAUGGUUCAGUUUAAUGCAAAACAUUGCCAUGUGUGAACAAACGAGCUGUCAAUGUUGGUGUUGGUACAGAUUUGUUCAUACUAUUUAUUCCUAGCACAAAGGCUAGUGCGUUGGUGCUGGUAUAGUUUCAUGCUCAUUUUGGUUCUGGUACAGAUUUGACCUCAAAAUCCUAGUGACAGCCAAACAUGAAAUUUGGAUUUGGAAUCUAGAUUCAGCCAAAUGAAAUCUUGAUAGAGAUUUCAUUUCAUUUCAUUUCAGCCAAAUGAAAUGAAAUCAGGGGAGCCAAACGAGCUGUUACACGGAUCCUGAUGCAGAGUUCUGGCCAGACGAACUGUUUCUGAAUCAGUUGAUGGUAUCUUUUGACAAACGACAGGAGGUUGGCAUUACAGCUACUCCUCUUGGACAAUUGACCGAUUGUUUUCUCCUUGCUAGGCACUUUGAAUGUGUUUCUUUAGGUAUCUCAGAUUCUCAGUAUCUGUAUACCCAGUGCAUCUCUGGUACGUACUGCAUUCUCAAGAAUCUCGAUCAAUCAUUUGUAGGUGGGUUUCAGCCCCAAUUGGCUAUUACUCUGGCAAUUGCUCAGACUAUUGCACCGCAAAGCCGUGCUGAGUUGGCAUUAAACAUAACCGCAUUUGCCAAUCGCAGGGUUACAGCUACAGCACACCAUUGAAGUACUAUUAACCACUCAGUAAUCUGGAGCAUCCAAGUUGCAGAAACUAAUCAGAAAUUUUCAAAAGCAUAAAUUGGAAUAGCAGCUGGGUAGUAGAGUACUCUAGUAGCAAAAGCUUCAGACAAGCAUGCAUUCAACUGCUCGUCGUGUGCCGCUAAACGGAAACAGACGGUCCAUGCCGGGAUGCGUACAGAUAGGAUAUAUGAUCCAGUUCAAGAAGAUGUAAUUGGGGUGGUUCGUCAUCAAGCGGCACAUAUGUUUAAAUAUACCUCUCGCUUCACAUGCACACUCAUCCUCUGUAAUAUGAAAGCUCUAGCGAAUGGAUGAGGAGGCCAAAAGAGAAACUCGUCUCGUACAAUAUAUAUUCCCGGAGGAUGCCAUCGCCGGCGCUGCGCUCUAUUCUAACGGAAACCUGCUUUAAUAACCACUAAAGCAAAGUCAGCGAUCUCCUCGAACGGACAGACGGUUCUUCGCGCGAUCGAUCAUAAAUAAAAGCACAACAUGGUUCAGACAACGGAAAAAGAAAGAGAAGAAACCCUAGCGCGCCGGAUCAUGCGAACUGCCAACAAAAGUCGAAUUUCGCAACCGGCGAUGCGACGGGUGGCCUAUCUUACUCUGAAUCUACGCUGCAGGCAUUAGUAUUCUCGAAGAGCAAGAUGACUUAGUCUAUUCUCGCAGGCGAGGCGAUGGGUUUAGUCUAGUCUCUGAUAGCGUCAGAUGCGAGUGUGAUCGGUAGGUGCAUAAACAAAGCCGCCAUGUUGGUCGCUGACCUUGCCGAUCGUUCGAUCGAUCCGACUGCGUCGGGUUUCCACGGGAGUUGCUUGUGCAUUUGGGGAUCCUUUCUUUACGCGCCCUCCCGUGGCUGCCACCCCGGCGGGGAGCUUACGGCGAUCUAGGUGGUUGCUAGCUGCCGGUAACAUGAUUUUCGCCAUAAACUAGUGGCUGCCGGUAACAUGUACGUAAACAGUUGACAACCACGAUUACUCUAAACUGAUAUUUCAUCGCGGUGUCUUAUCAUCAAGCUGUGCUACAUGAUUGGUGUUCGGAUGGUUUGCGGCCGGAACAAGACCAGUUUUAAACACGGCUCCGAUCGAGGAAGAUGAUGAUGAAUCAGUUUAAUAAUAUAAGACCGUUUUUGACACCAGUGUAGACAGCAGCAAGCACUUGUACGAAAUCUGAAGUGUGUCUGUAGGGGAAUAAUAAGCAACAGAAUAAAUUUGAUAUAUAUGCAUAAUAACAAACAAGAAAAGGACAUAGAGAAGCUCCUAGAAGCAGAAUUUGUGCGGCUGCCGGUUUUGCACGUCCAUUGCGUACUUGAACGGACCAGAUGAAUAGUUUAUCCGCCAACGAGAUUGCUCGACUGCGAAUGCUUUGUCUUUUAUACAGACAGACAAAACAAACAAACAAAAACGCAGCGAGACUGGAUUCCAAAAUAAAUAAAUGAAACAGAGAGUACUGUACAGUUGACCGGAGCUAAUAAAAAGAACAGACUACGAACAGGGGUGUUUGUGGACAGGAUUCGUUUCGCGUGACACAUUUUGUUUCACACCAAAAGCCCUCUUCAAUUGCGUCACAUACAUAUUUGAAUCUUCUGUGUUCAAAUUGGGAUAUGGUCGCGAAUCCAAUCAAAUGAUUGAUACCUGAUGAGAUUAUUUCUCAAUUGGGACAUGCAUCGUGCAGAUGCAUAGGCCGGGGAUACAUCCUCCUUAAAAAAAAGGGACGCUAACACGAUUCAGUAAACAUAGAAAAGUAGUAUUACUGUGUUCUUUUUUUUUUGCGGGGAAGUAUUACUGUGUUCUAUCUUGUACUAUAAGAAACUUUGUGUUGUUAGCCUCAGUAGCAAUAAACUACUUCCUUCAUAUCGAUUGUAAUAACAUCUUAUAUUAUAGAACAAAGGGAAUAGUAGCAAAGUAAAGAUACAAAUUGUGGAGCUUCAAGAAUGACAAAGACACUAAUAAAAGCCUCUCUCUUGGCGGGAACAUCUCGUCCCGCUAAACGCCGCCCCACGAGCCUUCUACCCGAAAGUUCGUUCUCGGCAAACAUCAACUUUUAGUUCCCAUACCAGAAAUAGAGCUUUAGAUCUUAAAGCGUUUCUAACUGGUCCCCUAUCCUGCAUUAGAGGAGGCUAAAUUCCAUUUUCCUUCUUAACCGACACCUAAUUGAACUCUUAAAACCUUUAGUGGAGGAUAAAAUUAGUAUGUGGCCACCGUGACUUUUAAAUAUACUCGGCCGCCCUUCCAUGGAGUAAAAAAAUCCUGACACCCACUUCUCCUUCUCUUCCAUUUCGUCGUCGCCCACACCCCCGCCCCCAUCCACUUCGACGCCGCUCCGGCGCCGAUAAUUGCCAGACCUAGCCGCCGUCGCUCCCCGCCACCCACCCACAGCGUGGAUCCAUGCAGCCGCGAACAGUCCCGAGCUCGUGACUGCGCCAGCGUUGGUGCUUCCACCUUCCGUUGGUGGUUCCUGCUUCCCCGACCUCGCACCACCAAGGGAAUACCUCGUUGUGCGGCUGCGCCGAUGGUGGACGUGGGUCACGGAGAUCACUGACAGCGAGAUGCAUGAGAGGAUGUGGAUCUUUUUUUUCACUCUGUGGUGCAGGCGGCGCAUGAAUACAACAUUAUGUCAGUGUGCCUCCACAGUGCCAACGCCCCGCGGAACUUCCUCGACGACCUACAGUAGUUGGUGCCCGUCGACCCUCGGGUGGUCACCGCAUGGGAUAUGCGGGAAGACCAGGAGGCCGCGAGCGCCAUGAGGCAGAGCAAGCCAGCGAUAUGUACAUGGUGGAGCUCCGUUGCCUAUACCCGGAGUGUGCUGAUGCGGGGUGCCGGUUGUACGUGCAUUACAAGGAUGGGGCGACGGAGGCCAUUAACCUUUGCUCUAGUGACUUUGACGAAGACGGCGGUGACAACGGAGAGGGACAGGGCGUUGGCGGCAGAGCGGGCCAGGGCGGUACCGGCGGAGCGGACGAGGAGCACAUGACUGAAUGGGACUAUGAGAGGUUGAUGAACGAGAGUAUCAAUAGUGAGAGCGAGUAGUUUUUUUAGUUUUUAUGCAAUCUAAUUUAAAUUUUAUUUAAGUUAUGUAAAGCAGUUUAUGCAACUGGUUGAAUCGAGUUUGAAAAUCAAGUUUUAUUGCGUUGUUUGAAUCAAAUUUGCAUUGAGUUUGUGUUAUUUUCUAGUGAGUUAAGUUUAGGAGCUUAGUUAGAAAUGAAACUUUUCUAGAGUAGCAAAUAUACUCAUCUAAAGGACUCGGCCGUACCCUACUCUAAAUUAUAGUGGGAACGGUUAGAGAUGUUGUUACUUACAGUAAUGCUAAAAAUGCAAACGGAAUAAAUUAUAUACACUGAAAGGAUCGAUAUGGUUGACUAGAAGGGGGUGGUUGAAUAGGCAACUAACAAUUUUUAGCUUUUCUUUACCAAAUUAAACUUUGCAUCAAAGUAGGUUGUCUAGAUGUGCAACUAGGUGAGCAACCUAUAUGAUGCAACAACAACGAGCACACAAGCAAGCAAGAGAAGUAACACUAAUAAGCUUGCACAAGUAAAGGUACGAGAUAACCAAGAGUGGAGCCGGUGAAGACGAGGAUGUGUUACCGAAGUUCCUUCCUUUUGAGGGGAAGUACGUCUCCGUUGGAGCGGUGUGGAGGCACAAUGCUCCCCAAGAAGCCACUAGGGCCACCGCAUUCUCCUCACGCCCUCACACAAUGCGAGAUGCCGUGAUUCCACUAUUGGUGCCCUUGGAGGCGGCGACCGAACCUUUGCAAAUAAGGCUGGGGCAAUCUCCACAACUUAAUUGGAGGCUCCCAACAACACCACGAAGCUUCACCACAAUGGACUAUGGCUCCGUGGUGGCCUCAACCGUCUAGGGUGCUCAAACAUCCAAGAGUAACAAGAUCCGCUAGGGAUUGGUGGGGGAAUCAAAUUUCUCUUGGUGGAAGUGUAGAUCGGGGCCUUCUUAACCAAUCCCGAGCAAAUCAACAAGUUUGAUUGGCUAGGGAGAGAGAUCGGGCGAAAAUGGAUCUUAGAUCAUUAAUGGAGCUUUGGGGGGAAGAGGUAAGUCAACGAAGACGAAGAGGACCCCCUUUUAUAGAAGGGGAUCCCAUCUAACCGUUACCCCCAAAAGAGCCCCGCAGAGGGCAGUACUACCGCAAGUGGCAGCGGUAUUACCGCUGGACCCAGCGGUACUUCCGCUCCCCCUUGCGGUACUACCACCCAGCCUGGGAAGGAUUGAAGGGAGAGCAGAAAUCGUGCCCAGCGCAGUACUGCCGCAGUGGUAGGACGGUACUACCGCCCUCGAGCGGUGCUGCCGCUUCUACUACCGCUGCAAAGUGCCGCUCAACCCGACACGAGAUGCGACCCCCUCGAGUCGACACGGUAGUAGCCCGGUACCGCAGCGGUACUGCGGCUGAGGACCACAAGAGGUACUACCGCUGGGUACCGCGGUACUACCGCUCGGACACAAAACAACACCACUGCAAGGGGAAUGAGCUCUCCAGUUGAAGCGGAAAGGCUCAGAGGGUGAGAUAAGGAUGUGUACGUGUUGAUUCCACCCAAGCCUUACCAAAGCGGACCCCCUCUUGAUAGAACGGUGACUCCUACGAAACUAGUCCACCAAACAAGAAAUGAAAGAGCUACACCGUCUUGAAAAACACUCUGAGGGGAAAGAAAUCGUCUCGUGCCAAAGGAUGAAUCUCUGAAAGGCUCAAAGCACACAGUUAGUCCGCAAACAUGUUGUCAUCAAUCACCAAAACUACAUCGAGAGAGAUAUGCCUUAACAAUCUCCCCCUUUUUGGUGGAUUGAUGACAACUAGGGAUUUGCACAGGGAUAAGGCAUGAAAGUAAAGAUACUUAGGACUACAAAAUAUAGACGGGCUCCCCCUGAAUGUGUGCACCUAGUUAGUAGUUCCUUUGGAAUGCAAGACACACACAUUAGGAUCAACACUCCCCCUAUAUUUUAUAGUCCAACAAUCUAAGCAUAGGAAACAUGCAACUCAUAAGAUACCAAAGUACUAGAUAGACAUAGAUAAUGAAGAUAAAGAUAAGGUAGCACAUGUCUCACACCACAUGUUUGGAACUUAGAUCUCACUGGCACAAAACCAAACAAAGCAAAUGGCGAGAAAACACACCGACACCACAAACCACAAAGACACACUCGCAACACGGCAACAACAGCAACACAAAUCCCUAACCACUCUCCCCCUUUGGCAUCGAGACACCAAAAGGGCAAAGAGCGUUGCUACGGCUCCAGGUGAUAGCAAGCUGAGGAUCUCAAACAUCACAUCCCAGCGGGAUCGUCUGCACCGCCUUCAUUGGUCGAAAACUGCUCUGUGUCUGAAUAAGUCCACUGGCAAUGCUGCUGAACCCACUCCUCCUCAUCAGUGAUCCUCUCCUCAAAUCCGCUAUUAACAGUGGCACCCAACUGGCGCAUGAGCUCCUUGUGACGUCUGCGAGCCUUCUUCUUAGAGACAUGAGACAUGUAAUGUCCAUGAGACUCCAUGCAGAAAAGUUUCUUCAUCUUGCGCUUAAUCCUCUUAGCCCGUGAGGGCUCCACACCAGAGGGCUCAUAGUCCUCAUCCUUGUUGGCCCUAGCCUCGUCCUCGGUCUUCAUGUCAGCCUCAGAAGGUGGAUCACCAGAUCGAGGGGCCUGGGUGCCCCUGUUGUCCUUCUUCCUCAGACGCUUGAUAUCAUGAGAAAUCUCAAGGAAAUAUGCCCUAGAGGCAAUAAUAAAGUUAUUAUUUAUUUCCUUAUAUCAUGAUAAAUGUUUAUUAUUCAUGCUAGAAUUGUAUUAACCGGAAACAUAAUACAUGUGUGAAUACAUAGACAAACAGAGUGUCACUAGUAUGCCUCUACUUGACAAGCUCAUUGAUCAAAGAUGGUUACGUUUCCUAACCAUAGACAUGAGUUGUCAUUUGAUUAACGGAAUCACAUCAUUAGGAGAAUAAUGUGAUUGACUUGACCCAUUCCGUUAGCAUAGCACUUGAUCGUUUAGUUUGUUGCUAUUGCUUCCUUCAUGACUUAUACAUGUUCCUAUGUCUAUGAGAUUAUGCAACUCCCGUUUACCGGAGGAACACUUUGUGUGCUACCAAACGUCACAACGUAACUGGGUGAUUAUAAAGGUGCUCUACAGGUGUCUCCGAAUGUACUUAUUGGGUGACGUAUUUCGAGAUUAGGAUUUGUCACUCCGAUUGUCGGAGAGGUAUCUCUGGGCCCUCUCGGUAAUGCACAUCACUUAAGACUUGCAAGCAUUGCAACUAAUGAGUUAGUUGCGAGAUGAUGUAUUACGGAACGAGUAAAGAGACCUGCCGGUAACGAGAUUGAACUAGGUAUUGAGAUACCGACGAUCGAAUCUCGGGCAAGUAACAUACCGAUGACAAAGGGAACAACGUAUGUUGUUAUGUGGUCUGACCGCUAAAGAUCUUCGUAGAAUAUGUAGGAGCCAAUAUGAGCAUCCAGGUUCCGCUAUUGGUCAUUGACCGGAGACGUGUCUCGGUCAUAUCUACAUAGUUUUCGAACCCGUAGGGUCCGCACGUUUAACGCUAUGAUGAUAGUUAUAUUAUGAGUUUAUAUGUUUUGAUGUACCGAAGGAGUUUGGAGUCCCGGAUGAGAUCGGGGACAUGACGAGGAGUCUCGAAAUGGUCGAGACGUAAAGAUCGAUAUAUUGGACGACUAUAUUUGGACUUCGGAAAGGUUCCGAGUGAUUCGGGUAUUUUUCGGAGUACCGGAGAGUUACGGGAAUUCGCCGGGGAGUAUAUGGGCCUUAUUGGGCCAUACGGGAAUAGAGGAGAUAGGCCAAAAGGAAGGAGGCCUACGCCCUCCCUCUGGUCCGAAUUGGACAAGGGGUGCAGCCCCCUUUUCCUUCCCCCUCUCCUCCUCUUUCCUUCACUCCUACUCCAACAAGGAAAGGAGGAGUCCUACUCCCGGUGGGAGUAGGACUCCCCCUUGGCGUGCCCUCCUCCUAGGCCGGCGGCCUCCCCCUUGCUUCUUUAUAUACAGGGGCAGGGGGCACCUCUAGACACACAAGUUGAUCAAGUUGAUCGUCUCUUAGCCGUGUGCGGUGCCCCCCUCCACCAUAGUCCACCUCGAUAAUACUGUAGCGGUGCUUAGGCGAAGCCCUGCGUCGGUAGAACAUCAACAUCGUCACCACGCCGUCAUGCUGACGAAACUCUCCCUGAAUACUCGGCUGGAUCGGAGUUCGAGGGAUGUCAUCGGGCUGAACGUGUGCUGAAUUCGGGGGUGCCGUACGUUCGGUACUUGAGCGGUCGGAUCGUGAAGACAUACGACUACAUCAACCGCGUUUUGCUAAAGCUUCCGCUUUCGGUCUACGAGGGUAUGUAGACAUUACUCUCCCCUCUUGUUGCUAUGCAUCACCAUGAUUUUGCGUGUGCGUAGGAAAUGUUUUGAAAUUACUACGUUCCCCAACAGUGGCAUCCGAGCCAGGUUAUAUGCGUAGGUGUCAUAUGCACGAGUAGAACACAAGUGAGUUGUGGGCGAUAUAAGUCAUACUGCUUACCAGCAUGUCAUACUUUGGUUCGGCGGUAUUGUUGGAUGAAGCGGCGCGGACCGACAUUACGCGUACGCUUACGCGAGACUGGUUUUACCGCCGUGCUAUGCACACAGGUGACUAGCGGGUGUCAGUUUCUCCAACUUUAGUUGAACCGAGUGUGGCUACGCCCGAUUCUUGCGAAGGUUAAAACAACACCAACUUGACAAACUAUCAUUGUGGUUUUGAUGCGUAGGUAAGAACGGUUCUUGCUAAGCCCACAACAGCCACGUAAAACUUGCAACAACAAAGUAGAGGACGUCUAACUUGUUUUUGCAGGGCAUGUUGUGAUGUGAUAUGGUCAAGACGUGAUGAGAUAUAAGUUGUUGUAUAAGAUGAUCAUGUUUUGUUGAAGUUAUUGGCAACUGGCAGAAGCCUUAUGGUUGUCUCUUUAUUACAUAAGAUGCAAGCGCCAAAUAAUUGCUUUACAAUUAUUGCUAUGCGAUAGCAAUAGUUGCAAGAGCAAUAGUUGGCGAGACGACCAUAUGACGACACAUUGAUAUAGAUCAAGAUGAUGGAGAUCAUGGUGUCAUGCCAGUGACGAUGGAAAUCAUGACGAUGUUUUGGAGAUGGAGAUCAAAGGCACAAGAUGAUGAUGGCCAUAUCAUGUCACAUAUUUUGAUUGCAUGUGAUGUUUAUCUUUUAUGCAUCUUAUCUUGCUUUAAUUUAUGGUAGCAUUAUAAGAUGAUCUCUCACUAAAUUUCAAGAUAAAAGUGUUCUCCCUGAGUAUGCACCGUUGCCAAAAUUCGUCGUGCCCAGACACCACGUGAUGAUUGGGUGUGAUAAGCUCUACGUCCAUCUACAACGGGUGCAAGCCAGUUUUGCACACGCAGAAUACUCAGGUUAAACUUGAUGAGCCUGGCAUAUGCAGAUAUGGCCUCGGAACACUGAGACCGAAAGGUCGAGCGUGAAUCAAAUAGUAGAUAUGAUUAACAUAGUGAUGUUCACCAUUGAAAACUACUCUAUUUCACGGGAUGAUAGGUUAUGGUUUAGUUGAUUUGGACCACGUGAUCACUUAGAAGAUUAUAGGGAUGUCUUUCUAAGUGGAAGUUCUUAAGUAAUAUGAUUAAUUGAACUUAAAUCAUGAACUUAGUCCUGGUAGUAUUAGCAUAUCUAUGUUGUAGAUGAAUAGCUCGCGUUUAGCUCUCCUGUUUUAUUUUUGAUAUUUCCUAGAGAAAACUAAGUUGAAAGAUGUUAGUAGCAAUGAUGUGAAUUGGAUCCGUGAUCUGAGGUUUAUUCGCAUUGCUGCACAGAAGAAUUAUGUUCUUAAUGCACUUCUAGGUGACAGACCUAUUGCAGAAGCAGAUGCAGACGUCAUGAACGUUUGGCUAGCUCAAUAUGAUGACUACUUGAUAGUUUAGUGCACCAUGCUUAACAGCUUAGAAUCGGGACUUCAAAGACGUUUUGAAUGUCAUGGAUCAUAUGGAUGUUCCAGGAGUUGAAGUUAAUAUUUCGAGCAAAUACCCGAGUUGAGAGAUAUGAAGUCUCCAACAAGUUCUAUAGCUAAAAGAUGGAGGAGAAUAGCUCAAGCAGUGAGCAUGUGUUCAGAUUGUCUGGGUACUACAAUCGCUUGAAUCAAGUGGGAGUUAAUCUUCCAGAUAAAAUAGUGAUUGACAAAAUUCUCUAGUCACCAUCACCAAGUUAGUAGAACUUCGUGAUGAACUAUAGUAUUCAAGGGAUGAUGAAAACGAUUCCCGAGAUUUUCAUGAUGAUGAAAUCGAUGAAGGUAGAAAUCAAGAAAGAGCAUCAAGUGUUGGUGAUUAACAAGACCACUAGUUUCAAGAAAAGGGCAAAUGGAAAGAAAGGGAACUUCAAGAAGAACGGCAAGCAAGUUGCUGCUUAAGUGAAGAAGCCCAAGUCUGGACCUAAGCCUGAGACUAAGUGCUUCUACUGCAAAGGGACUGGUCACUGGAAGCGGAACUGCCCCAAGUAUUUUGCGGAUAAGAAGGAUGGCAAAGUGAACAAAGGUAUAUUUGAUAUACAGAUUAUUGAUGUGUAUUUUACUAGUGUUCGUAGCAACCCCUCGGUAUUUGAUACUGGUUCAGUUGCUAAGAGUAGUAACUUGAAACGGGAGUUGCAGAAUGAACAUAGACUUGUUAAGGGUGAAGUGAUGAUGUGUGUUGGAAGUGGUUCCAAGAUUGAUAGGAUCAUCAUCGCACACUCCCUAUACUUUCGGGAUUAGUGUUGAACCUAAAUAAGUGUUAUUUAGUGUUUGCGUUGAGCAUGAAUAUGAUUGGAUCAUGUUUAUUACAAUACGAUUAUUCAUGUAAGUUAGAGAAUAAUUGUUGUUCUGUUUACAUGAAUAAAACCUUCUAUGGUCAUACACCCAAUGAAAAUGGUUUGUUGGAUCUCGAUCGUGGUGAUACACAUUUUUAUAAUAUUGAAGCCAAAAUAUGCAAAGUUAAUAAUGAUAGUGCAACUUAUUUGUGACACUGCCGUUUAGGUCAUAUUGGUGUAAAGCGCAUGAAGAAAAUACAUGCUGAUGGGCUUUUGGAAUCACUUGAUUAUGAAUCAGUUGAUGCUUGCAAGCCAUGCCUCAUGGGCAAGAUGACUAAGACUCCGUUCUCCGGAACAAUGGAGCGAGCAACAGAUUUGUUGGAAAUCAUACAUACUGAUGUAUGUGGUCCGAUGAAUAUUGAGGCUCGCGGCAGGUAUCAUUAUUUUCUGAUCUUCACAGAUGAUUUGAGCAGAUAUAAGUAUAUCUACUUGAUGAAACACAAGUCUGAAACAUUUGAAAAGUUCAAAGAAUUUUAGAGUGAAGUGGAGAAUCAUCGUAACAAAAAAUAAAAGUUUCUAUGAUAUGAUCGCAGAAGUAAAAUAUUUGAGUUACGAGUUUGGCCUUCAAUUAAAACAAUGUGAAAUAGUUUCACUACUCACCCCACCUGGAACACCACAGUGUAAUGGUGUGUCCGAACAUCGUAACCAUACUUUAUUAGAUAUGGUGCGAUCUAUGAUGUCUCUUACUAAUUUACCACUAUUGUUUUGGGGUUAUGCAUUAGAGACAGCUACAUUCACAUUAAAUAGGGCACCAUCUAAAUCUGUCGAGACGACACCGUAUGAACUAUGGUUUGGCAAGAAACCUAAGUUGUCGUUUCUUAAAGUUUGAGGUUGCAAUGCUUAUGUGAAAAAGGUUCAACCUGAUAAGCUCAAACCCAAAUGGGAGAAGUGCAUCUUCAUAGGAUACCCAAAAUAAAAUGUUGGGUACACCUUCUAUCACAGAUCCGAAGGCAAGAUAUUCGUUGCGGAGAAUGGAUUCUUUCUAGAGAAGGAGUUUCUCUCGAAAGAAGUGAGUGGGAGGAAAGUAGAACUUGAUGAGGUAACUGUACCUGCUCCCUUAUUGGAAAGUAGUUCAUCACAGAAAUAUGUUCCUGUGACUACUACACCAAUUAGUGAGGAAGCUAAUGAUGACGAUCAUGUAACUUCAGAUCAAGUUGCUACCGAACCUCGUAGGUAAACCAGAGUGAGAUCCGCACCAGAGUGGUACGGUAAUCCUGUUCUGGAGGUCAUGUUACUUGACCAUGACGAGCCUACGAACUAUGAGGAAGCGAUGAUGAGCCCAGAUUCCGUGAAAUGGCUUGAGGCCAUGAAAUCUGAGAUGAGAUCCAUGUAUGAGAACAAAGUAUGGACUUUGAUUGACUUUCCCAUUGAUCGGCGAGCCAUUGAGAUUAAAUGGAUCUUCAAGAGGAAGACGGACGCGGAUAGUAGUGUUACUAUCUACAAAGCUAGAAUUGUCGCAAAAAGGUUUUCAACAAGUUCAAGGUGUUGACUACGAUGAGAGUUUCUCACUCGUAUCUAUGCUUAAGUCUGUCCGAAUCAUGUUAGCAAUUGCCGCAUUUUAUGAAAUCUGGCAAAUGGAUAAACAAAACUGCAUUCCUUAAUGGAUUUAUUAAAGAAGAGUUGUAUAUGAUGCAACCAGAAGGUUUUGUCAAUCCUAAAGGUACUAACAAAAUAUGCAAGCUCCAGCAAUCCAUCUAUGGACUAGUGCAAGCAUCUCGGAGUUGGAAUAUACGCUUUGAUAAGUUGAUCAAAGCAUAUAGUUUUAUACAGACUUGCGGUGAAGCCUGUAUUUACAAGAAAGUGAGUGGGAGCAUUACAACAUUUCUGAUAAGUAUAUGUGAAUGACAUAUUGUUGAUCGAAGAUAAUGUAGAAUUAUUUUGCAAAGCAUAAAGGAAUGUUUGAAAGGAGUUUUUAAAAGGAAGACCUCGGUGAAGCUGCUUACAUAUUGAGCAUCAAGAUCUAUAGAGAUAGAUCAAGAUGCUUGAUAAGUUUUUCAAUGAGUACAUACCUUGACAAGAUUUUGAAAUAGUUCAAAAUGGAACAGUCAAAGAAGGAGUUCUUGCCCGUGUUACAAGGUGUGAAGUUGAGUAAGACUCAAAACCCGACCACGGCAGAAGAUAGAAAGAGAAUGAAAGUCAUUCCCUAUGCCUUAGCCAUGCUGUGUACCAGACCUAUUGUAUACCCUGCCCUGAGUUUGGCAAGGGAGUACAAUAGUGAUCUAGGAGUAGAUCACUGGACAUUGGUCAAAAUUAUCCUUAUUGGAAUAAGGAUAUGUUUCUCGAUUAUGGAGGUGACAAAAGGUUUGUCGUAAAGGGUUACGUCAAUGCAAGUUUUGACACUGAUCCAGAUGACUCAAAGUCUCAGUCUCGAUACAUAUUUAAAGUGGGAGCAAUUAGAUAGAGUAGCUCUGUGUAGAGCAUUGUUGACAUAGAAAUUUGCAAAAUACAUGCAGAUCUGAAUGUACCAGACCCGUUGACUAAACUUCUCUCACAAGCAAAACAUGAUCACACCUCAGUACUCUUUGGGUGUCAAUCACAUAGCGAUGUGAACUAGAUUAUUGACUCUAGUAAACCCUUUGGGUGUUGGUCACAUGUCGAUGAGAACUAAUGGUGUUAAUCACAUGGUGAUGUGAACUAUUGGUAUUAAAUCACAUGGCGAUGUGAACUAGAUUAUUGACUCUAGUGCAAGUGGGAGACUGAAGGAAAUAUGCCCUAGAGGCAAUAAUAAAGUUAUUAUUUAUUUCCUUAUAUCAUGAUAAAUGUUUAUUAUUCAUGCUAGAAUUGUAUUAACCAGAGACAUAAUACAUGUGUGAAUACAUAGACAAACAGAGUGUCACUAGUAUGCCUCUACUUGACUAGCUCAUUGAUCAAAGAUGGUUAUGUUUCCUAACCAUAGACAUGAGUUGUCAUUUGAUUAACGGGAUCACAUCAUUAGGAGAAUGAUGUGAUUGACUUGACCCAUUCCGUUAGCAUAGCACUUGAUCGUUUAGUUUGUUGCUAUUGCUUCCUUCAUGACUUAUACAUGUUCCUAUGUCUAUGAGAUUAUGCAACUCCCGUUUACCGGAGGAACACUUUGUGUGCUACCAAACGUCACAAUGUAACUGGGUGAUUAUAAAGGUGCUCUACAGGUGUCUCCGAAGGUACUUAUUGGGGUGACGUAUUUCGAGAUUAGGAUUUGUCACUCCGAUUGUCGGAGAGGUAUCUCUGGGCCCUCUCAGUAAUGCACACCACUUAAGCCUUGCAAGCAUUGCAACUAAUGAGUUAGUUGCGGGAUGAUGUAUUACGGAAUGAGUAAAGAGACUUGCCAGUAACGAGAUUGAAAUAGGUAUUGAGAUACCGACGAUCGAAUCUCGGGCAAGUAACAUACCAAUGACAAAGGGAACAACGUAUGUUGUUAUGCGGUCUGACCGAUAAAGAUCUUCGUAGAAUAUGUAGGAGCCAAUAUGAGCAUCCAGGUUCCGCUAUUGGUUAUUGACCGGAGACGUGUCUCGGUCAUGUCUACAUAGUUCUUGAACCCGUAGGGUCCACAAGCUUAACGCUACGAUGACAGUUAUAUUAUGAGUUUAUAUGUUUUGAUGUACCGAAGGAGUUCGGAGUCCCGGAUGAGAUCGGGGACAUGACGAGGAGUCUCAAAAUGGCCGAAACGUAAAGAUCGAUAUAUUGGACGACUAUAUUCGGACUUCAGAAAGGUUCCGAUUGAUUCAGGUAUUUUUUGGAGUACCGAAGAGUUACGGGAAUUCGCCGGGGAGUAUAUGGGCCUUAUUGGGCCAUACGGGAAUAGAGGAGAUAGGCCAAAAGGAAGGAGGCCUGCGCCCCCCCUCUGGUCCGAAUUGGACAAGGGGUGCAGCCCCCUUUUCCUUCUCCCUCUCCUCCUCUUUCCUUCACUCCUACUCCAACAAGGAAAGGAGGAGUCCUACUCCCGGUGGGAGUAGGACUCCCCCUUGGCGCGCCCUCCUCCUAGGCCGGCCGCCUCCCUCCUUGCUCCUUUAUAUACAGGGGCAGGGGGGCACCUCUAGACACACAAGUUGAUCAAGUUGAUCAUCUCUUAGCCGUGUGCGGUGCCCCCUCCACCAUAGUCCACCUCGAUAAUACUGUAGCGGUGCUUAGGCGAAGCCCUGCGUUGGUAGAACAUCAACAUCGUCACCACGCCGUCGUGCUGACGAAACUCUCCCUCAACACUCGGCUGGAUCGGAGUUCGAGGGACGUCAUCGGGCUGAACGUGUGCUGAACUCGGAGGUGCCGUACGUUCGGUACUUGAUCGGUCGGAUCGUGAAGACGUACGACUACAUCAACCGCGUUGUGCUAACGCUUCCGCUUUCGGUCUACGAGGGUACGUAGACAUUACUCUCCCCUCUCGUUGCUAUGCAUCACCAUGAUUUUGCGUGUGCGUAGGAAUUUUUUUGAAAUUACUACGUUCCCCAACAAAAUCAACUCUCCAGUUUACAGCGCAAUCCUGGGAUAGUGAUGUGCCCAGGCCUUCUCAAUGAGCAGCAUGAUGAAAGGACCAUAGAUCGGGCACUUGCGCUCAGAAAUGGCAGAAAGAAGUUCAGACCACAUAGCAUGAGAAAUGUCCAGGGACUCUCCAGUGUUUGCUUCCUUCUCAUGCUGGCAGAAGAGAAGCAUGUCCACGAGAUAGGAGUGGACCGUAUCCAGAUUCUCAAUGCGAGGGAAAAGAGUCUCUAGGAAGACACGGUGAAGGAUGUACAGAUAGGUAGACAGCUCAUAGGUUACCUUCUUUGUCUUGGGGUUAACCUUCUUAGAACAGUAGGGCCAGAGGGCUUGCUUGUGAGUGGAGGUGACAUUGCGGUGAGGACGGAAACCGACUGUGUUCUCAAGCCCGUGAUCUUCCACCCCAAGUAACUCCAUGAAGGCCUUCCACUUGACAGUGAGCAACUUGCCAUUUGUCAUCCAAGUCAGAGACCUUCCUGCAUCAGUUCCAAGAUGGACAGUGGCAUAGAAUUGGCAUAUCAUAUCGGCAUCAAAGUCCUUGUUGAACUGCAUGAUUCUGAGAAUGUUCAACUGAGUGCACAUCUGGAGGGCUUCGCCAAAGUACUCAGGGUCCUUUUCCAUAGGAUCAGUGUUGAUGGAACAAACAUCAACAAAGUGAUUCUUCUUAGCCUUGAUCACAUCAAAGAAGAUGGCGAACUGAAAGCGGUUCCAGAACGGGCGGUUGACCAAAGUGGGAUCUUGGUCUUCCUCAUAGGGGUUGCGGAGACGCUUUGCCCAAAAUUCCUUGGCAGUCAUCUCAGACACAGUCUUUCCCUUUGGCUUGCUUGCCGAUCUCUUUGUGAGCUGAGGCGGCGGUGGAGCACUAGUGGAACCACCUGCUGACUCCGAUGUGCGGUAGCGCUUUGACGUUGCACGACCGGGGUUGACACGGCGGACCUACUGCUCAGGAUGAUCAUCACCUGGAACCAAACACACGAGCAGAAGAAACAACAUGAAAGAAAGAGCAUAAGCCACCAAACAAAAUAACAUAGAUCAAAACAUGGUAGGAAAUGAUGGAACUGGGCAUGUAGCGGUAGUACCGCGACCCAACCGCGGCAGUACCGCUUGCGCGGUAGUACCGCUCAAGCAGGGCGGUAGUAUCGCUAAGGACGGGGAACGGCGGUUCCCUUACUGUCCUGGACAGAUCCGGCACUACUGGAGAUGCCAAAUUCAAAAAUAAGCCUACCAAACUUCAAUCCAAAGGGCCUAGAAGCCAUCUCCAUCCUACUCAAGCCUCGACUUAGCCAAAAGACGAGUAAAACAAUGCCUAUUGCCCCUAAAAACUAGAUGCAAGAUCUAAGCAAAGAGAGAACGGGAACGGGGGCAAUACCGGCAUCCAUGGCUAGAGGACGUGGUGGGGAUCGACUCCACCGGAGGAAAAGGAGAGGGACGACACAAAACGGCAACCGGCCGAGGCCUUCCUGCGGCGAGGCGUCACUGGAGCGACAAAGAAGACGAGCGAGUGGGGGCGAAUGGGUAUGGGGGAUAAAACAACUUCCCCCUGCCCCGACAUAACCCCCACUCCCCGCCCCGCAGCGGUAGUACCGCUGGGGUGGGCGGUAGUACCGCUUGACGCUUGUCAGCGGUAGUAUCGUGCAUGCCGCGGUAGUACCGCUCUGCCGCAAAGAGGACUGGCCAAAAGGCUUAGCUCAAGAAAAAGAAAUUGAAAUGAAAGCGAGAACAAACACACACACAAAACCGACAAAAACAAACCUCUCCAAGAGAGGGCGGUGGCCGAGGCCACCUAUGUUUGAGUUCAGAGGUAUGGCGCCGCGAAGAUUUUAACCUUGGGCCCAUGACCAACACUCAUCUUUGAAGCACAUGUACCAUAAAAAAUGGCUAAUGUGAACGAGUUUGAUUAGUUUAUGCAUUAUGGGGGGAGGGAAAGUUCAUUGAGAAAACAACACUCCCCCUAUGUCCAUGCCUACACCUAAACUAGACAACAAGUUGAGUGUGGUGGGGUGUGCAAGGGUUCAAGUCACAUUGCUCGAAUCAAUGAUAUUUAGCUCAUGCCUUAACUCACGAAAUCUUGCUUCAUCCAAAGGCUUCGUGAAAAUAUCUGCAAGGUUAUCAAGAGUGUUGACAUAGUUGAGCUUGAUCUCCCCUCGCCUAAUAUGAUCCCGGAUGAAGUGAUACCGAACCUCAAUAUGCUUCGUCUUGAAAUGUUGCACCGGGUUGAGAGAGAUCUUGAUGGCACUUUCAUUGUCACACCAAAGAGGCACUUUGUCACAAAUGACACCGUAAUCCUUUAAAGUUUGCCUCAUCCAUAGAAGUUGUGCACAACAACUACCGGCAGCCACAUACCCCGCUUCCGUGGAUGAGAGAGACACACAACUUUGCUUCUUGGAAUACCAACUCACCAAAGAGCAACCAAGAAAUUGGCACCCUUGGGAAGUGGACUUCCUAUCCACCUUGUCUCCCGCCCAAUCCGAGUCCGAAUAACCUACAAGCUUGAAGUUUGCUCCCCUUGGGUACCAUAAGCCAAAGUUUGGGGUAUGAGCCAAAUAUCGAAAGAUUCGCUUGACCGCCAUAAAAUGACUUUCCUUAGGUGCGGCUUGAAACCGUGCACAAAUUCCCAUACUCAACAUGAUAUCUGGUCUAGAUGCACAAAGGUAAAGCAAGGAGCCAAUCAUGGAGCGAUAUACCUUUUGAUCCACCGCUUUACCAUUGGGAUCAAUGUCAAGUUGGCACUUGGUGGGCAUGCGAGUGGAAGCUGGCUUGACAUCAAUUAGCUUGAAUCUCUUGAGCAUGUCUUGAGUGUAUUUGGCUUGGUUGAUGAAGGUUCCUUCUCUCCUUUGCUUCACUUCGAACCCGAGAAAGAGCUUCAACUCUCCCAUGGAAGACAUCUCAAACCUUGAGGUCAUGAGAGCGGAAAAUUCCUCAUUGAAGCUUUGUUAGGGGAACCAAAGACAAUAUCAUCAACAUAUAAUUGGCACACAAACAACUCCCAUUUGACCUUCUUAGUAAAAAAGAGGGGGUCGAUUAGCCCAACUUCAAAAUCACGGUCUUGUAACAACUCGGUAAGGUGGCCAUACCACGCACAUGGGGCUUGUUUAAGGCCAUAGAGUGCCUUAUCGAGUUGAUACACAUGAUCGGGAAAGUAGGGAUCCUCGAACCCGAGGGGUUGCUUGACAUAUACCAAUUCAUUAAUCGGACCAUUAAGGAAAGCACUCUUCACAUCCAUUUGUUGUAACUUAAAGUUAUGAUGAGAAGCAUAUGCAAUCAACAUGCGAAUGGAUUCAAGAUGAGCAACAGGGGCAAAGGUUUCACCGUAGUCGAUACCCUCGACUUGGGAGUAGCCUUGUGCUACCAAACGAGCCUUGUUGCGAAUGAUAAUCCCAUGAGCAUCUUGCUUGUUCUCGAAUAUCCACUUGGUUCCAAUGACAUUGUGGUUCUCCGUUGGCCUUGGCACCAAUCUCCACACUUUGUUGCGCUCGAAGUUGUUGAGUUCUUCAUGCAUGGCAUUGAGCCAAUCCGGAUCUUCGAGCGCCUCAUAGACCUUUUGGGGUUCAACACACGAGACAAACAUGUGAUGUUAUGUCUACGAGUGCUUACCCCCUUUCUUAAGCUCCCAAGCACAUUUUCCAUGAGAUGAUCCUUGGUGGAGAGUUUCGAAGCAAUCUUGGCGACACAACGCUCCAAUUCCUCCUCGGGGGUGUGACGAGGAGUGGUCACUUGAUCAUCUUGAGCGCCGUCUUGAGCUUGUUCUUGAUCUCGAGGAAGCUCUUGAUCUUGAACUUGCUCAGAGGAGAGAACUUGGCCUUGGGCAUCACUUGAUGUUACAACACCAUCUUGAGAUUGACCUUGCCCUUGGUCUUGUUCUUGAGGUUGAGGGCCUUCACUUUGUUCUUCGGAAGCGUGUGGGUCUUGGGUUGGUGAAGGUUCCACUUGAGUGGAACAUUGUCCUUCUCCUCCGGCCACAAGGGGUUCCUCAAUGGGUAGGAUAUGACCAACACCCAUUCUUCUUAUGGCUUGGGGAGGAAUUUCAUCACCUACAUCACAAGUACCACUUUGCUUCACUUGGGAGCCGUUAUUCUCAUCAAACUCCACGUUACACAUUUCCUCAAUAAGUCCCGUGGACUUAUUGAGAACACGGUAAGCAUGAGAGUUUGUAGCAUAACCAACAAAUAUGCCCUCAUAAGCUCUAGCCUCAAAUUUAGACAAACAAACACCUUUCUUGAGAAUGAAACACUUACACCUGAACACCCGGAAGUACUUGAGGUUGGGCUUGUUACCGGUGAGUAUCUCAUAUGGAGUCUUGUUCAAGCCUUUGCGGAGGUAGAGCCGAUUAGAUGCAUGACACGCAGUGUUGAUGGCUUCGGCCCAAAAGUUGUAGGGAGACUUGAACUCCGCCAUCAUGGUCCUUGCCGCAUCCAUCAACGUCCGGUUCUUCCUCUCCGCUACACCAUUUUGUUGAGGGGUAUAAGGUGCGGAAUAUUGAUGCUUGAUUCCGUCAUCACUCAAAAACUCAUCCAAGGUGUAGUUCUUGAACUCGGAGCCGUUGUCACUUCUUAUAGUCAAGAUCUUUGUAUUGUGUUGUCGUUGAGCUUCAUUUGUAAAGUUGAUGACGGUUUGUUGGGUCUCGCUCUUCCUCUUGAAGAAAUAUACCCAAGUGUAUCUUGAAUAGUCAUCCACAAUCACCAAGCAAUACUUUCUACCGCCAAGAGUAUCAAAGGAUGGAGGCCCGAAGAGAUCCAAAUGAAGGAGCCCCAAAGGCCUCUUCGAGUAGAUGAUAGUCGUGGGAGGGUGAGCCUUCUCAUGUAGCUUUCCUUCGAUUCAAGCACUGCAAACACGAUCUUUGGCAAAACUAACAUUUGUUAGUCCACGGACAUGGUCCUGAUGACCCACAAGUAUAGGGGAUCUAUCGUAGUCCUUUCGAUAAAUAAGAGUGUCGAACCCAACGAGGAGCAGAAGGAAAUGAUAAGCGGUUUCCAACAAGGUAUUCUCUGCAAGUACUGAAAUAAGUGGCAACAGAUAGUUUUGUGAUAAGAUAAUUUGUAACGAGCAACAAGUAACAAAAGUAAAUAAAGGGCAGCAAGGUGGCCCAAUCCUUUUUGUAGCAAAGGACAAGCCUGGACAAACUCUUAUAUAGAGAAAAGCGCUCCUGAGGACACAUGGUAAUAUCGUCAAGCUAGUUUUCAUCACGUUCAUAUGAUUCGCGUUCGGUACUUUGAUAAUCUGAUAUGUGGGUGGACCGGUGCUUGGGUGCUGUCCUUACUUGGACAAGCAUCCCACUUAUGAUUAACCUCUAUUGCAAGCAUCCGCAACUACAACAAAAGUAUUAAGGUAAACCUAACCAUAGCAUGAAACAUACGGAUCCAAAUCAGCCCCUUACGAAACAACGCAUAAACUAGGGUUUAAGCUUCUGUCACUCUAGCAACCCAUCAUCUACUUAUUACUCCCCAAUGCCUUCCUCUAGGCCCAAAUAAUGGUGAAGUGUCAUGUAGUCGACGUUCACAUGACACCACUAGAGGGAUGACAACAUACAUCUCAUCAAAAUAUCGAACGAAGACCAAAUUCACAUGACUACUAAUAGCAAGACUUCUCCCAUGUCCUCAGGAACAGACGUAACUAAUCACAAAGCAUAUUCACGUUCAUAAUCAGAGGGGGAUUAAUAUGCAUAUAGGAUCUGAACAUAUGAUCUUCCACCAAAUAAACCAACUAGCAUCAACUAUAAGGAGUAAUUAACACUACUAGCAACCCACAGGUACCAAUCCCGGACUUGGGGAUAGGAAUUGGAUACAAGAGAUGAACUAGGGUUUUGAGAGGAGACGAUGCUGGUGAAGAUGUUGAUGGAGAUUGCCCUCUCCCGAUGAGAGGAGCGUUGGUGAUGACGAUGGCGAUGAUUUCCCCCUCCCGGAGGGAAGUUUCCCCGGCAGAACAGCUCCGCCAGAGCCCUAGAUUGGUUCUACCAAGGUUUCGCCUCGUGGCGGCGGAGUUUCAUCCAAGGAGAUGGCUUAUGAUUUUUUUCCUCAUCGAAAGACUCCAUAUAGCAGAAGAUGGCCAUCGGAGGGCCACCAGGGGGCCCAUGAGGUAGGGGGCGCGCCCAGGGGGGUAGGGCGCGCCCCCACCCUCGUGGGUAGGGUGUGGCCCCCCUGGUGAACUUCUUGAGCUCAGUAUUUUUUAUAUAUUCUGAAAACGUCUUCCGUGAAGUUUCAAGACUUUUGGAGGUGUGCAGAAUAGGUCUCUAAUAUUUGCUCCUUUUCCAGCCCAGAAUCACAGCUGCCUGCAUUCUCCCUCUUUAUGUAAACCUUGUAAAAUAAGAGAGAAUAGGCAUCAUGCCUGUAUUGUGACAUAAUUUGUAAUAACAGCCCAUAAUGCAAUAAAUAUCGAUAUAAAAGCAUGAUGCAAAAUGGACGUAUCAAAUCCCCCAAGCUUAGAACUUGCUUGUCCUCAAGCGAAAGCCGAAAUCAAAAAAUAUGUCCACAUGUUUAGAGAUAGAGGUGUCGAUAAAAGUAAAAUACGGACAUAAGGGCGUCAUGAUCAUUCUUAGAAGAACAACUUAUGUAAUUCUUGUCAUAUGAUUUCUUAUGCUAGAGUAAUAAUUCAAUCACAAUUUCAAGUAUGAAUCGCAAACUUCAUUGAAAACUAACAAACUAUAAUCUCAGUCAUUGGAGAAAUUGCAAUUUAUCAUAACAUAGGAAAGAGUCAAUACAUACGAGCUUUUCAGCAAGUCCACAUACUCAACUAUCAUAUAGUCUUCCACAAUUGCUGACACUCACGCAAUACUUAUGGGUAUGGAGUUUUAAUCAGACUCAGAGAAAGGUAGGGGCUUAUAGUUUUGCCUCCCAAUGUUUUACCUCAAGGGUAAUGUCAACAAUAAUAGUUCAUGAAAACUCACAUCCAAUUAGCCAUAUAUACUAGGAUCUUUCCAACAUACUGUGAUUGCCAAAGGAUAAAAUGUAAAAAGGAAGGGUGAAGAUCACCAUGACUCUUAUGCAAGGUAGGAGAUAAAAGUAAAAGAUAGGCCCUUCACAGAGGGAAGCAGAGGUUGUUGAUGAAGCUAUGUACCUAGGGUAGGGUCAUGGAUCUGUCCAAGAUACCCUCCCCAAGGACAUCUCUAAAAGAACCAGAAGCAUUCGAAGAAAAAUCAUCAUCCACUCGACCAUGAAGCUAUGUUCACUCGACAGUCUUGAAGACACUCGACCGUAUGGACAAUCACUCGACUACUAGAAGAUCUAGAGCCACUCCACUCUGCAACGGUCGGGAAUUAAGUCAUAGAUUUAAUGGUCAUUAUGUAUCUUUAUUGUAGGCAUUACCAGUAACGUCCUCAUCUUUAUGUACCUUAAACCCUUUGUAACUGAGGGCAGGAGGGGUCUGGCGAACUCUAUAUAAGCCACCCCCUCCUCAGGGACAAGGGUUCGCACCCCCUGUAACACACACACAUAUAAUCCAGUCGACCGCCUCUGGGCCCCGAGACAUAGAGCUAUUACUUCCUCCGAGAAGGGCCUAAACUCAUAAAACUCACGUGUACAACUCCUUCAUAGUUAGGAUCUUGCCUCUACAUUCCUACCCCCAUUCUACUGUCAGACUUAGAACCACGACGGUUGGCGCCCACCGUGGGGCAGGUGUCUUAGCGACUUGUUGGAGAAGUUGUGAUUUUUCCGAUCCCCAUCAACAUGGUUUCAGGCGGAGGUUUGGCCAAGGGCCACGAGAUCCGUCUCGGUGCGCUCGUAUUCAUCGCCGACGACUCCGCUUGGCUUCAGGAAGCGCCACUCGACGCUGAGGCGCUCCCCGUUCGUGGGGCAACACACUUUCGCACGUGCGUUCGUGGCGUCCUCCUACGACAGCCGUCGACUCAGUAUCGGUCGUCUCCCGUGUCGACCUCCCUCCCUGCAGCCCGCCGGGGCAAAUGUUCCGGUCGGUCGAGGCUUCUGCGGUGGGUGAGGCAUGCGGUGGCUCGCCAGUCGGCCACCCCCUAGGUCGCGGCAAUCGAGCCCGACGAAACUCUCUACGGUCUGUUCGACUGGCUCCGUAGAGACUGCAUCUGAGUGUGACAGCAGCGACCCCGCGGCGGCAGUUUUGAUGGUCAAUGGACCACGUAGUCCUCCUGGCUUCACCCGCGAGGACGGAGGCAAUGGUGGCGGUGAUCCGUCGCGUGUCCACGAAGAGUACCGACCCGAACCCCUCUCUUCGCAGAGGAGCGAGGAACUUCGUCGCUGGAACAUGGAUGCACUUCACACUCCCAUCGUUGGAGAAACCCCUGAGGCCUAGGCCUUGGAGGCGGCGCGCCUGGCCAACUUGGCUGAGCGCACUAAACUGGAGAACCUCCAGCGUGCACUCGACAAGCGUGCUCGGCAGCAUGCUCCCGAAUCCAGUCGACGUCAACUUUUUCCACCUCCGACUCAGGUAUACCGAACUCCAAUCCAGAAUCUCGCAGCUGUGGCCCGAAUAGCGGAGUCAAUUCAACCUUCCCAGAUAGAAGCUGGUCGAGGUUUGGUGCAGAUUCAGACCUUGCUCCGAGCCGCGGGGGAGCAGAAUACAGUAGUAUCUCAGUCGCGGAAUAGGAUUCACAACAGAUCCGUGGUUGUAGACACAGUCCAGUCGGCUCACAGCCCAAGAUUACCCCCGAGGCGUGAGGGACAUGGAGACCGACGAGAUCAGUACAGAAACCGUGAGCAGUAUGAUCACCGACUCGAUCACAAUGAUCGUCGUCAAGUGCCCACGCCUCCCCCGAGGAGUGGAUCAUACGUGCCUCGGCAGCAGGAUGAUAGGUGCCCUCACAGUGGUGGGCGAAGGAUUCCAGUCGACCCCUAGGAACCGGGCUUUGAUGCGAGAUCUAUUCUCGUUCAAGGUCUGGUCGACAGAAACAGAGCUCACAGAGAAGGCCCCGACAGAAAUUUUCCAACCAGCAGCAGAGUGCAUGUCUCAGGCCCAGAGUGCUUCAGCAGAGCCAUCAGGGCCGCAACGAUUCCUCCCAAGUUUAGGUUGGCGACUGGAGUCAAUAAGUUCACUGGUGAGUCCAAGCCUGACACUUGGCUUGAGGAUUACCGAGUGGCUGUACAGAUCGGUGGCGGCAACGAUGAAGUGGCCAUGAAGCACCUUCCUUUGAUGCUAGAGGGCUCGGCCAGGGCGUGGCUGAAUCAGUUAGCUCCUGGUAGUAUUUAUACUUGGGAAGAUCUUGCUCGAGUAUUUGUCAGAACAUUUGAAGGUACUUGCAAGCGGCCAGCAGGGUUGACAGAAUUACAGUGUUGCGUUCAGAAACUGAAUGAAACUUUGAGAGAUUAUAUCCAGAGAUGGAUCACGUUGCACCACACAGUGGAGAAUGUGUCAGAUCACUAAGCAAUUUGUGCCUUCAAAGAAGGCGUUAAGUAUCGGGAGUUGAAUCUGAAAUUCGGUCGAACAGGAGAUAUGAAUCUGACUCGGAUGAUGGAGAUUGCCACCAAGUACGCCAAUGGUGAAGAAGAAGACCGACUCCGGAGUGGCAAGCACAAAAUAGUCGCCCACGAAACCGGAGGGGGGGACUCCAGUCGGAAGCAAAAGCGCAAAGCCGAGCCAGCUGCUCCUGGAGAAGCCUUGGCCGUAACUCAAGGGAAGUUCAAGGGGAAACCCAAAGGACCCUGGAACCCCAAGAAAGUAAAAGAUCAAGAUGGGAAUGAUGUGCUGGAUUUACCAUGCCACAUUCACACCAAGAAAGAUGAAGAGGGUAAUUUCAUUUACCCAAAGCAUACCACUCGACAGUGCCGACUCCUAAUUCAGGAAUUCCGAGAGAAACAGCCCAAGGAAAAGGAGAAGGAAGCAGACAAAGUUGAGGAUGAGGAGGAGGAUGAUGAUGGUUAGCCCCACGUCAAUUCCACUCUGAUGAUUUUCGCUGACGUUGAGAGUAAGAGUCGACUGAAAGUCAUCAAUAGAGAAGUGAACAUGGUCGCUCCGGUGACACCCAGUUAUUUGAAGUGGUCUCAGACUGUCAUUACAUUCGACCAGUCCGAUCAUCCAGCGCACAUAGCCACCCCUGGGAGGCAAGCACUGGUGGUCGACCCAGUAGUCAAAGGCACUCGAUUGACUAAGGUUCUGAUGGAUGGUGGCAGUGGUCUGAAUAUACUAUAUGCAGAGACGUUGAAAGGAAUGGGCAUUCCGAUGUCCAGAUUCAGCAAAAGUAAUAUGAGUUUCCAUGGAGUCAUUCCUGGCAAGAAGGCUGCAUCACUCGGCCAGAUCGCUCUCGAUGUAGUGUUCGGUGAUUUCAAGAAUUUCCGCAAAGAAAAGUUGACAUUUGAAGUUGUGGAUUUCCAGAGUGCUUAUCACGCUAUUCUAGGCAGGCCAACUUAUGCACGUUUUAUGGCUCAACCAUGUUACGUGUACCUCAAAUUGAAGAUGCCUGGUCCUAAAGGGGUGAUCACUAUCACGGGCAGUCGAAAGAAAGCAUAAGAGUGCUUCCAGAAGGGCUCAAAGAUCGCCGAUGCACAGAUGGCAGUAGUGGAGUUGCAGGAGUAUCAAAAAAAUGCAGAUCCGAGUGAUUUGUUGUGAGCUAAGAAGCCUGCCACUGAUUCAGCAUUCCAGUCGACUAGUGAAACGAAGCCGAUUCAUAUUCAUCCAACGGAUCCCAAUGCUGCUCUGACUCACAUUUCAACAACACUCGACUCUAAAUAGGAAGAAGCGCUCAUCCAGUUCCUCCGUGAGAACUGGGACAUCUUUGCAUGGAAACCUUCUGACAUGCUAGGUGUUCCCAGGGGACUGGCUAAGCAUCGUUUGCGAGUCGACCCAAAGGUGAAACCGGUCAAAGAACAUCUUCGAUGGUCCGCCGUUCAGAAGAGGAAGGCAAUCGGUGAAGAAGUGGCUCGACUUCUAGCAGCCGAGUUUAUCCGAGAGAUUUACCACUCUGAGUGGUUAGCUAAUGUUGUCAUGGUCCCAAAGAAGGACGACUCACUUCACAUGUGCAUCAACUACAAACAUAUCAAUCGGGCCUACCCGAAAGAUCACUUUCCUCUCCCUCGCAUCGACCAAAUAGUCGACUCGACUGCGGGGUGUGAGCGUUUGUCCUUUUUGGACGCUUAUUCCGAGUAUCAUCAGAUCCGUCUGUACGGACCCGAUGAGAUAAAAACAGCUUUCAUCGCCCCAUUUGGUUGCUUCUGUUAUGUCACUAUGCCAUUCGGUUUGAAGAAUGCCGGAGCCACAUUCAUGAGGAUGAUCCAGAAGUGUCUGCUCACUCAAAUCAGUCGGAAUGUGGAAGCAUACAUGGAUGACAUUGUGGUCAAGUCACGAAAAGGUUCCGACCUACUGGCUGACCUUGCUGAAACCUUUGCCAACCUUAGAAGGUAUGAUAUCAAGCUUAAUCCAUCAAAGUGCACGUUUGGAGUUCUAGGUGGAAAGUUACUCGGUUUUCUCAUUUCCGAAUGGGGGAUCGACGCUAACCCAGAGAAAGUGGGAGCCAUACUCCGGAUAAAACGCCCUGUGCGUGUGCAUGAAGCCCAGAAGCUUACUGGUUGUUUGGGCGCCCUAAGUCGAUUCAUUUCUUGCCUCGGUGAAAAGGCACUGCCUCUUUACCGACUGAUGAAGAAGUCAGAUAAGUUCGAGUGGACUCCUGAAGCUGACGUAGCAUUUACAGAGCUCAAAGCCCCGCUUUCCACCCAACCGGUGCUUGCUGCUCCAAUCAGCAAAGAGCCUUUACUGCUUUACAUUGCAGCCACUGGACAAGUCGUCAGUACAGUACUUACGGUCGAACGGGAAGAAGAAGUAAAAGCUUACAAAGUUCAGCACCCAGUAUACUAUGUCUCUGAAGUUUUGACUCCAUCAAAGCAAAGAUAUCCACAUUAUCAGAAGCUUGUUUAUGGGAUUUAUAUAACCACGAAGAAGGUUGCACAUUACUUCUCUGAUCACUCCAUUACAGUCAUCAGCGACGCUCCAUUAUCAGAGAUUCUAAACAAUAGAGAUGCAACUGGUCGAGUGGCAAAGUGGGCGAUUGAACUCCUUCCCUUAGAUAUCAAGUUCGAGGCAAAGAAAGCUAUCAAGUCCCAAGCAAUAGCAGAUUUCCUCGCCGAAUGGAUUGAACAACAACUGCCGACUCAAGUUCACUCGGAGCACUGGACCUUGUUCUUUGAUGGUUCCAAGAUGCUGAAUGGUUCCGGUGCUUGGGUGGUACUGGUAUCCCCCCGAGGAGACAAGCUCAAAUAUGUCCUCCAGAUUCACUUUGAUUCCUCCUAUAACAAAGCAGAAUAUGAAGCACUCUUGUAUGGGUUGCGUAUGGCCAUUUCACUCGGCGUCCGUUGCCUCAUGGUCUAUGGCGACUUAGAUUUGGUAGUCAAUCAAGUGAUGAAGGAAUGGGACGUCAGAAGCCCAGCCAUGACUGGUUACUGCAACGCGGGGAGGAAGUUGGAAAAGAAGUUUGAGGGGUUAGAGCUCCAUCAUGUACCCCGACUGAAAAAUCAAGCAGCAGAUGAUUUAGCAAAGAUAGGCUCCAAGAGAGAAGCUAUUCCCAGAAACAUGUUCCUGGAGCACAUUCAUGCACCUUCAGUUCAAGAAGAUCCCUUCGCUGAAGAGCCCCCGCAGCCUAGGAGUGCCACAGAUCCGACUGAAGUCGAGGUCCCAGCCGUGGUCGACUUAAACAUGGAGGUGUUGGUCAUCACUCCCGACUGGACAGUGCCAUACAUUGCAUAUAUCCUUAGGAAAGAGCUCCCAGAGGAUGAAGAAGAGGCUCGACAGAUCGUCUGUCGAUCCAAGGCCUUUACUGUAAUAAGGGGUCAACUGUUCAGAGAAAGUGCAACUGGGGUCAGCCAGAAAUGCAUAACACCAGAAGAAGGCCGAGUGAUCCUCCACGACAUCCAUUCGGGGACCUAUGGUCACCAUGCGUCCUCUCGGACCAUUGUGGCUAAAGCAUACCGAGCUGGAUUUUAUUGGCCACGAGCAAAUGAAAUGGCGAAAGAUAUAGUCGAUAGAUGUGAAGGCUGCUAGUUCUACUCCAAUAUGUCGCACAAACCUGCAUCAGCCCUGAAGACCAUCCCACUCGUCUGGCCCUUUGCUGUUUGGGGAUUGGACAUGGUUGGUCCACUGAGGACUGGUAGGACCGGCUUCACUCAUGUGCUUGUAGCAGUCGACAAGUUUACCAAAUGGAUCGAAGCCAAGCCUAUUAAGAAUCUUGAAGCUAGUAUUGCCGUCAGCUUCAUCAGAGAGUUGAUUUUCAGAUAUGAGGUUCUGCACAGCAUCAUCACUGACAACGGAUCGAACUUCAACUCUGAUGAGUUCAGAACCUUCUGCGCCUCACAAGGCACACGAGUCGACUAUGCUUCGGUCGCCCAUCCCCAGUCGAAUGGACAAGCAGAAAGAGCAAAUGGCCUGAUUCUCAAAGGACUGAAACCCCGACUGAUGCGAGAUCUCAAGCACGCAGCGGGCGCCUGGGUUGAUGAACUUCCAUCAGUUCUCUAGGGAUUGAGGACAACUCCUAAUCGGUCGACUGGCCGAACUCCAUUCUUCUUGGUCUAUGGGGCUGAAGCUGUUCUACCAAGUGAUUUGCUUCAUAUUGCACCACGAGUUGAGCUCUUCUCUGAAGAUGAAGCAGAACAAGCUCGGCAAGACGCAAUCGACCUCCUAGAGGAGGAAAGAGAGAUGGCCUUGAUCCGGUCGACCAUUUAUCAACAAGACUUGCGUCGAUUCCAUGCUAGACAUGUGAAGGGUCGAGCCUUUCAAGAGGGAGACUUGGUUCUUCGAGUGGAUCAGCAGAAACCACACAAGCUCGCCCCAGCUUGGGAAGGUCCCUUCAUUGUCACCAUAGUGCUACAUAAUGGAGCAUACCACCUUUACAGUGUCGAGCAUAAGAAGGACAAGCCACGGGCUUGGAACGCGGAGCUGCUCCGCCCCUUUUAUACUUACAUACUCGUUCGAAUAAAAUGUAAUAAGAAAUACCUUUGUAAUUUGUUUAUCAAAGACAAGAGCUUUACAGUCCUCUGGCACGAUUGUUGUUGCUUUUGUUUACGUCUAAAAACCCCCAGUGGGUGACUUAGCUGCGAAUCCAUUUCGCCUAAGUUCGAAAGAAAAUCCUACCGAGUGGUGAGCAAGCCUCUCACUCAGGGGCUUAGCUGCAGUCCAGUACUCGCCUAAGUUUGUAAAAUCCUACCGAGUGGUGAGCAACCCUCCCACUCGGGGGCUUAGCUGCAGUCCAGUACUCGCCUAAGUUUGUAAAAUCCUACNNNNNNNNNNNNNNNNNNNNNNNNNNNNNNNNNNNNNNNNNAUCCUACCGAGUGGUGAGCAACCCUCCCACUCGGGGGCUUAGUUGCAGCCCAGUACUCGCCUAAGUUUGUAAAAUCCUACCGAGUGGUGAGCAACCCUCCCACUCGGGGGCUUAGCUGCAGUCCAGUACUCGCCUAAGUUUGUAAAAUCCUACUGAGUGGUGAGCAACCCUCCCACUCGGGGGCUUAGCUGUAGUCCUAUACUCGCCUAAGUUUGUAAAAUCCUACCGACUGGUGAGCAACCCUCCCACUCGGGGGCUUAGCUGCAGUCCAGUACUCGCCUAAGUUUAAAAAAACCUACCAAGUGGUGAGCAACCCUCCCACUCGGAGGCUUAGCUGCAGUACAGUACUUUCCUAAGGUUUAAAGUAUGUCCCUAUCGGCAAGGACGACGAGGUACAGGUCGACCGCGGCCUUCUUCUCCGNNNNNNNNNNAAUCCUACUGAGUGGUGAGCAACCCUCCCACUCGGGGGCUUAGCUGCAGUCCAGUACUCGCCUAAGUUUGUAAAAUCCUACCGAGUGGUGAGCAAUCCUCCCACUCGGGGGCUUAGCUGCAGUCCAGUACUCGCCUAAGUUUGUAAAAUCCUACCGAGUGGUGGGCAACCCUCCCACUCAGCGGCUUAGCUGCAGUCCAGUACCCGCCUAAGUUUGUAAAAUCCUACCGAGUGGUGAGCAAUCCUCCCACUCGGGGGCUUAGCUGCAGUCCAGUACUCGCCUAAGUUUGUAAAUUCUACCGAGUGGUGAGCAAUCCUCCCACUCGGAGGCUUAGCUGCAGUCCAGCCCUCACCUGCAAGGACGACGAGGUGUAGGUCGACUACAACCUUCUCCUUUGGAGCUGCACCACAAGUACAACGUACACUCGACUACAACCUUCUCCUUUGGAGCUGCACCACAAGUACAACGUACGCUCCAUCCCUACCCACAAGGGCGACGAGGUGUAGGUCGACCACGGCCCUCUUCUCUGAGAUACGCCACAAAUACAACGUGCGCUUCAUCCUUGUCUGCAAGGACGACGAGGCGCAUGUCGACUUCAACCCUCUUCUCCGAGCUACGCCACAAAUACAACGUGCGCUCCAUCCUUGUCCGCAAGGACGACGAGGCGCAGGUCGACUUCAACCUUCUUCUUCGAGCUACAGCACAAAUACAACGUACGCUCCUUCCUUGUCCGCAAGGACGACGAGGCGUAGGUCGACUGCAACCUUCUCCUUCGAGCUAUGCCACAUAUACAACAUGCGCUCCAUCCUUGUCCACAAGGACGACAGGGCACAGGUCGACUUCAACCUUCUCCUUCGAGCUACGCCAUAGAUACAACGUGCGCUCCAUCCUUGUCCGCAAGGACGACAAGGCGCAGUUUGAUUGAAGUCUCCAUUUCAAGGCUGCAUCUCAAACACGAAGGUCAUUCCAAAUAGGGAGCAGAUUCCAAAAGCAAUCGCAAGCAUACUCAAAAGCAGUUCGGAUAAAUCCUAAAGUUCCAAGCGACAAAUCAAAAGUAUUCGAGCAUCAGACCUGAAGGAGUUUAAGGGUUACAGCAACCACUCGGCAUUCCGAGGCAAAUUUAAGACAGGUUUAAAUCUCAUAGUUUGUUCACUCGGCGGGAGGAGGGCUGGCGGGUUCGACGAAUUCAUCCAAGUCGAUUCCAUCUGCGAUCCGAGUGGCAGCAGCGAUGAAAGUCUCCAUAAAGGACUGGAAGUCGUGCCUUUUGGUGUUGGCGACCUUGAUCGCCGCCAUCUUGUCUUCACAAGCUUCCUUGCAGUGGACCCUUACCAAGGACAACGCCACGUCAGCACCACACCGGGAAGAGGACUUCUUCCAAUCUUGCACUCGACCAGGAAUCUCGUUGAGCCAAGUCAUCAGAGAUUCAAGGUCAUUUUGAAGCGUCGCCCCUAGCCAGAGUGAUGAGUCGAUCCGUGAAUCUGCCACCUUCAAACGAGCGAGGUAACUUGUGACACUGGCGACACGGGAUUCUAGUUGGAGCACGUUCAUGGCAGCCUCGUCGCCGACCGGAGAAACGAUAGGGUCUAAACCCGUCUUGAUCCUUCUAGUUUCCUCGCCAAAGUUUUGACAGAAUUUUGCAGUCAAAGAGUUAGUGAGUCGACUGGACAGGAUUAACUUGCAAGCAGUAAAGCAGUCAGAUUAAAAGGAGUACCUUCCAGCAUAAGAUAGAGCUUCUUGGCAAGAGUUCUCAGAUAGGCUUCUGUGUUAUUUCUCUUACGGACCGCAGACUCCAGCUUCUCAUUCAGAGCAAGCUUAUCCUUCUUCAGACGAGUUACCUCUCGAUUGGACUCAUUGAGAGAGGACUUCAGCUUGUUUACUUCUCCUUCCAACGCUCCGACUGAAGCCAGCUUCGAGUCUGCAAGGGCAAUUUUAUCUUGAGCUUCCUUCUACGCAGCUGCGAGGUCCGAGUCCUUCUUCUCCAGAGCCAACCUCAUUUUCUCUGUAAAAGAAGCAAUCGGAUCAAACAAGAGAUCGAAGAAAUACCUUAAAAGACGAUCGACGUGAACAGUCGACAGGCAGUUACCUUCCAUACCAGCAGCUUCAUCUUGAGCUUUCUUCAACUUUUGUUGGGCCAGCUCCAAGUCGAGGUUGAGUUUCCUCUACUUUUCCUCAAAUUUGGCAAACUUAGAAAUGAGAGUACAAGAUUUCUGCAGAAGGUAAAAGAUGUGUCAAUCGACAAGAUCAAAGAUUAUUCACUUCCGAGUGAAUAAAAUUUAAAAGUUUACUCAGACCCCAUUCGAUUGCCCGCAGUCGACUGCGGUCUCGGGGACUAUACCCAGCGGAUGCACUUGGCGUGCCCCCACUGAUUCAGACCCCGCUCGACCGGUCCGCCUGGGUCGAGUUAAAAAAAAGAAAAGAAAAAGAAAGGGGAACUAUUUAGACCCCGGCCGACUGCCAGCAGUCGACCGCGGUCCCGGGGACUACACCCAGUGGGUGCACUUGACGUGCCCCCACCGGUUUAGAUCCCGCUCGACCGGUCCGCCCGGGUCGAGUGGAAGAAAAGAAAGUAAAUAGUACUCAGAUUCCAGUCGACUGCCCGCAGUCGACUGUGGUCUCGGGGACUACACCCAGUGGGUGCACUUAGCGUGCCCCCACCGGUUCAGAUCCCACUCGCCCAGGCCGAGUGGAAGAGCGCAAGUGCUAGAGACAACAAAACACCCAGUGGGUGUACAAAUUCGACGCAGAAAAUAUUUCAGGUAGCAUAUCCUAAUAGAACAAGGUCAGUCGAAAGUCUACUUACCUGGACAUUGGCCUGAAGAGCCGCGCUGGCAUCGUAAGCAGCCUGGCUGUUCUUGUGCACCAUCUUCAUCCGCUCCAUCAUCACGUUAGCCUGACGAAUGGCCUCCGCAGCCGCAUCCGACUGGUUUUCUAGAACAUGGUAGUUGGUGAAGAAGGGGGCAGAUGACCCAGGUGCGGCAGCUUGGAGCUCUGAAGCAUGAGGUUGGACGAUUGAAGGAAACACCGGUACAAUCGACGGUGCAGGGCGCUCACUUGAUAAUGGGACAACGAAAGUUACAGAGGCCCCACCUGCAUCUUCAGAUUGCCGGAUGGUUGGUGUUGUCAUCGGUCCCUGCUGAGACGUCUUGCCAGCUGCUACUUUUUUGUUCUUUCUGGGCCUAGGGGUCACAUCUUCAUCAUCAUCCGAAAGAUCGAUGACGUUGGGUGGGGCUGCAAAUAAAUCAGUCGACCCCAAGUGAAUCGCCAGAAUUUAAUCGACCAAAUAAUAAAGAACAAGAUCAUGAGAGUUUUACCUGGGUUGGAGGUAACCGCGUCUUCCAUUUCCUCGUCUCGAUAUUGGUAGGAAGAAGUUCCAGAUGUAGCAGCACUGCAAAUGUCAACAUUCAGUCGGUUAUGUUAUGUUGCUCGAGUCGACCAAAAGAUCGGGUCAGAUGAUUACCCGAAGAUGGUGGGGAUGGUCACUUUGAUCCUGGGCAAAGCCUUCGGUGGUAUGGAGGAGGUGGCCUUCAAUGCUUUCGGCGCGGGAGGCGGCGCAGUCUUGAGUUGUUUCGAUACCUUCUCAGUCGGCACCGGAGAAGACGUCCGAGGGUGCUUUGAAGAUUGCCCAGUCGGUGCGGCCGUCAGGUCAGGGGCGCUCGCCGGGUCAUGAGCGUGCUUGGACCUUCUCUCUUUGUGAGGCGGCGAGUCGACUUCUUCUUCACCACUCGAGUCGUCACUCUCCUCGUCCUCCUCUGCAUCUGAGUGCCACUCUCCGCUCUCGCCCCCGCUCGCCCCUUCCUCGACAUUUUGCUCCUGCACUCCAUUGGGCAUCGAGUACAUAUCAAUAAGAGCCUGAAAAGACAAUGAACAAAAGAAAUACAGUUGACCGUCAACAAGAUGUUACACAGUGAAUCAAGAAGAUACUUGGCAAUGCAGAAUCAUACCUGUUCCGGCUAGCGCAAAUGGUCGAAUGGAAUCACCCUCCUAGACCCCCGGGGAUUAUCUUUGUUGCCGGUGAUUCCUCUCAGCCACUUCUCCACCGUGUCUUCACUAACGUCCUCCGGGUGGAUCCGAGUGGAGUCCUCGAGUCCCGAGUACAUCCACAUCGGAUGGUCACGGGCUUGGAGUGGUUGGAUGCGUCGACUGAGAAAGACCUCCAGCAGGUUCAUACCAGUCACUCCGUCACGGACAAGUUGGACGACCCGCUCGACCAACACCUUCACCUGUGCCUUCUCUUCCGGGAUCACCCUCAAGGAGGAGGGCUUCUCCACUCGAGCCAAGGAAAAGGGGGAAAGUCCAGUCGACUGACCUGGGGUCGGCUGGUCCUUACAGUAAAACCAGGUCGACUGCCAGCCCCGGACCGAGUCGGGAAGGAUCAUAGCUGGGAAGGUGCUCUUGUUCCUCAUUUGAAUUCCAAGGCCCCCGCACAUCUGUAUCACGUGCGUCCUCUCGUCACUCGGGUUGGCCUUCUUGAUCGUCUGGGAGCGACAUGUGAAUAUGUGCUUGAAGAGACCCCAGUGCGGUCGGCAACCCAAGAAACUCUCGCACAUGGACACGAAGGCAGCAAGGUACACGAUGGUGUUUGGAGUAAAGUGGUGAAGUUGAGCCCCGAAGAAGUUCAAAAAACCACGAAAGAAAGGGUGGGGAGGCAAAGAAAACCCGCGGUCGACAUGAGUGGCUAGGAGAAUGCACUCACCCUCCUGCGGCUGCGGCUUGGUCUCGUUCCCCGGGAGCCGCGCUGAUUCAUGGGGGAUCAGUCCCUGCUCAACCAGAUCAUCGAUGUCGUCUUGGCUGAUCAUCGAGCGGUUCCAGUCGCCCUGGAUCCAACCCGACGGCAGGACGGACCUUGACGAGGAUCCACCCCGGCUGGUCCUCUUUCCUUUCGCCUUUGCCGCCGCCUUCUUUUCACGCUCCAACACCACCGUAUUCUCCUUCCCCAUGGCAGCGAAUCGAGUCCGAGCGGGGCUACGACGCCGAGAGUGGAAGCAGGCGCAACAGAGAAAUCUGAGGAAGAAGAAGGAGAAUGAGAGCGCAUUGUUCAAAAGCCCGGUCCGGUGCCUUUUAUAAGGACACUUCCGAGUGACUGACUUGUAGGCCCGGGCGAUCUUAUCAAAUCCCGCAACAGUCGCGCACGCGAUACGUGACAAAAAAGGUGGCGUGGGGAUCGAGGCGACCUUCCUAAUCCGUCCCGAUUACCGCGGCCUCCCCGUCCGGCGCGCUUCCCAAAAUUCAAAUCCCGCGAAAUCCGCGGACAGCAGAACAACUUAUCAGACGGAAGACAUCCUCUACAUCAUCACUCGGAACUCUUCAGUAAAAGUUCACUCAACAAAAACUAAGAAUGGAUCAAGGCGACUGAAAAAGAAGUUGGUGUCGUCACCUCGGUUCAUUAAUCCAGAACAAGAUAUACUCAUAGCACGAAAAAUGAGUCAGAAGUGUUCUCAACUCCUUCCUCACUCAAACCCUAAUCCAUUCGGGGGCUAAUGUUGAAGCUAUGUACCUAGGGUAGGGUCAUGGAUCUGUCCAAGAUACCCUCCCCAAGGACAUCUCUAAAAGAAGCAGAAGCAUUCGAAGAAAAAUCAUCAUCCACUCGACCAUGAAGCUAUGUUCACUCGACAGUCUUAAAGACACUCGACCGUAUGGACAAUCACUCGACUUCCAGAAGAUCUAGAGCCACUCCACUCUGCAACAGUCGGGAAUUAAGUCAUAGCUUUAAUGGUUAUUAUGUAUCUUUAUUGCAGGCAUUACCAGUAACUUCCUCAUCUUUAUGUACCUUAAACCCUUUGUAACUGAGGGCGGGAGGGGUCUGGCAAACUGUAUAUAAGCCACCCCCCUCCUCAGGGACAAGGGUUCGCACCCCCUGUAACACACAUGCAUAUAAUCCAGUCGACCGCCUCCGGGCUCCGAGACGUAGGGAUGUUACUUCCUCCGAGAAGGGCCUGAACUCGUAAAACUCGCGUGUACAACUCCUCCAUAGUUAGGAUCUUGCCUCCACAUUCCUACCCCCCCCCCAUUCUACUGUCAGACUUAGAACCACGACAGUUGUCAUGCGCUUUUAUGGUUGGAUGCACAAAAUCUUAAUGCGAAAGAAUGUCACUUUAUAUUGCCCCUUGUGAUAUGGACCUUUAUUAUGCAGUCUAUCACUUUUAUUUCUUCCAUCACACAAUCGUAUAAAGCUUAUUUUCUCCCACACUAAUAAGUCAUAUAUAUUUAGAGAGCAAAUUUUAUUGCUUGCACCGAUGACAACUUACUUGGAGGAUCUUACUCAAUCCAUAGGUAGGUAUGGUGGACUCUCAUGGCAAAACUGGUUUAAGGGUAUUUGGAAGCACAAGUAGUAUCUCUACUUGGUGCGAUGAAUUUGUCUAGCAUGAGGGGGAAAGGCAAGCUCAACCAUGUUGGAUGAUCCAUGACAAUAUAAUUUAUCUCAGAUGUAAGAAAACAUAACCCAUUACGUUGUCUUCCUUGUCCAACGUCAACUCUUUAGCAUGUCAUAUUUUAAUGAGUGCUCACAAUCAUAAAAGAUGUCCAAGAUAGUAUAUUUAUAUGUGAAGACCUCUCUUUCUUUAUUACUUCCUAUUAAUUGCAACGAUGACCAAAACUAUGUUUGUCAACUCUCAACAACUUUUAUUCAUCAUACUUUUUCUAUGUGAGCUCAUUACUCUCCAUGAGAUCGAUAUGAUCUCUUUGUUUCUUUUUAUUUCUUUCUCUUUUCUUUUAUUCACUUAGGAUCAUGGCAAAAUAAUCAAGUCCUUGACUCAACACUAAUAUUUAUUAAUAUAUAGCUCACGGACUCGAUUACAUAGAAGGAUUAUAAAGCAAAACUCACAACUAGAUCGUACUAAGAACUUUUAUUCCACUAGAUCAAGAUAUUACCAAAAGGAUCAAACUAAGAAAAACGGUAAAGGUAAAAGUGAUGGUGAUACGAUACUGGGGCACUCCCCCAAGCUUGGCAGUUGCCAAGGGGAGUGCCCAUACCCAUGUGAUUAUGUCUCCUUUGUUGGUGAAGAAGGUGGAGUUGUUGAUGAUGAAUAGUCGCACAUCGAGCGUAGGAGGUCUUCUAACUUGCGGAUAAUGCCCUUGAGUGCGAUGAUAUGCUCCUUCAACAAAAUAUUUUCACGUGUGAGAUACUUAUUUUGUAUACGAGCUAACUCAAUCAUCUUGAAAGCUUCGAUCUCUGUUGGGGUAAGAAGAGUGUGAUCAAGUUGAAGGGUGUCUUCUAUUGCCGGAACUUGGUCCUCCGUGGCCUUCUUGAUCCCUUCAUCCUUGUUGAUCUCCACGGGUUCUUCUCUGUUCAGCUCUAUCUUCAUUAGCCAAGCAUCGUUGCCCUCAUGGUUGGAGGAGGAGGGAGACGACAUAGUGCCUGGCCUUGACAACCCUGACAGAAAACAGCUCGAAACAAAGACAGGAGAUUUUUGCGUGAUACGGGAGUCAAAACCUCCAGGAGAUUAUAUAAUGAACUUUUACCGACCAAAAUAUGUGUCGUGUACGAAAACAGAGUCCGAAAAGCACACGAGGUGCCCACGAGGUAGGGGGGCGCGCCCUCCACCCUCGUGGAGCCCUCGUGUCCUUCCCGGACUGCUACUUAUUUUUCUAUUUUUCUAAAUAUCCCAAAACGGAGAAAUAUUGCCUUAAAAUCUGUUUUGGAGUCGGUUUACUUACUGUACCACAUACCUAUUCCUUUUCGGACUCUGAAACGUUUUGGAAAGUGUCCCUUAUGUAUUCCUCCGGGGUUACGGUUUCAAUAACAUUGGUUUCCACAUUUAUGGGAUUACUUGAGAUAUAAUGUUUGAUUCUUUGACCGUUCACCACCUUUGGAUUUGUGCCUUCGAAAUUGUUGAUUUUUAUGGCGCCGGAACGAUAGACCUCCUCGAUAACGUAAGGACCUUCCCAUUUAGAGAGAAGUUUUCCUGCAAAAAAUCUUAAACGAGAGUUGUAUAGCAAUACAUAAUUGUUGGGGAACAUAGUAAUUUCAAAAUUUUCCUACGCACACGCAAGAUCAUGGUGAUGCAUAGCAACGAGAGGGGAGAGUGUUGUCCACAUACCCUCGUAGACCGAAUGCGGAAGCGUUAGCACUAUUGGGGAACAUUGCAGAAAACAAAAAUUUUCCUACGGUUUCACCAAGAUCCAUCUAGGAGUUCAUCUAGCAACGAGUGAUUAGAUGCAUCUACGUACCUUGUAGAUCGCGAGAGGAAGCGUUCAAAGAACGGGGAUGAGGGAGUCGUACUCGACGUGAUUCGAAUCACCGAAGAUUCUAGCACCGAACGGACGGCACCUGCGCGUUCAACACACGUACGGAACAGCCACGUCUCCUCCUUCUUGAUCUAGCAAGGGGGAAAGGAGAAGUUGAGGAAGAUGGCUCCAGCAGCAGCACGAUGGCGUGGUGGUGGUGGAGCUGCAGUACUCCGGCAGGGCUUCGCCAAGCACUAUGGAGGAGGAGGAGGUGUUGGAGAGGGAGAGGGAGGCACCAAAGAUCAAGGUAAGAAGUCCUCCAUCUCCCCACUAUAUAUAGGAGGGCCAAGGGGGGGGGGGCGUCGGCCCUAGGAGAUCUAAUCUCCUAGGGGGGUGCGGCCAAGGGGAGGAAUCCCUCCUCCCCAAGGCACCUAGGGGUGCCUUCCCCCAUUGGGACUCUUCCCUCCUUGAAACCCUAGGCGCAUGGGCCUCUUGGGGCUGGUGCCCUUGGCCCAUGUAGGCCAAGGCGCACCCCCUACAGCCCAUGUGGCCCCCCGGGACAGGUGGCCCCACCCGGUGGACCCCCGGGACCCUUCCGGUGGUCCCGGUACAAUACCGGUGACCCCGAAACUUGUCCCGAUGCCCGAAAUAGCACUUCCUAUAUAUAAUUCUUUACCUCCGGACCAUUCCAGAACUCCUCGUGACGUCCGGGAUCUCAUCGGGACUCCGAACAACAUUCAGGUUACUGCAUAUACAUAUCCCUACAACCCUAGCGUCACCGAACCUUAAGUGUGUAGACCCUACGGGCUCGGGAGACAUGUAGACAUGACCGAGAUCGCUCUCCGGUCAAUAACCAACAGCGGGAUCUGGAUACCCAUGGUGGCUCCCACAUGCUCCUCGAUGAUCUCAUCGGAUGAACCAUGAUGUCGAGGAUUCAAGCAACCCCGUAUACAAUUCCCUUUGUCAAUCGGUAUGUUACUUGCCCGAGAUUCGAUCGUCGGUAUCCCAAUACCUCGUUCAAUCUCGUUACCGGCAAGUCACUUUACUCGUACCGUAAUGCAUGAUCCCAUGACCAGACACUUGGUCACUUUGAGCUCAUUAUGAUGAUGCAUUACCGAGUGGGCCCAGUGAUACCUCUCCGUCAUACGGAGUGACAAAUCCCAGUCUUGAUCCGUGUCAACCCAACAGACACUUUCGGAGAUACCCGUAGUAUACCUUUAUAGUCACCCAGUUACGUUGUGACGUUUGGCACACCAAAAGCACUCCUAUGGUAUCCGGGAGUUACACGAUCUCAUGGUCUAAGGAAAGGAUACUUGACAUUGGAAAACUCUAGCAAACGAACUAUACGAUCUUGUGCUAUGUUUAGGAUUGGGUCUUGUCCAUCACAUCAUUCUCCUAAUGAUGUGAACUCGUUAUCAAUGACAUCCAAUGUCCAUAGUCAGGAAAUCAUGACUAUAUGUUGAUCAACAAGCUAGUCAACUAGAGGCUUACUAGAGACAUGUUGGUGUCUAUUAUUCACACAUGUAUUACGAUUUCCGGAUAACACAAUUAUAGCAUGAAUAAAGACAAUUAUCAUGAACAAGGAAAUAUAAUAAUAAUGCCUUUUAUUAUUGCCUCUAGGGCAUAUUUCCAACAGUCUCCCACUUGCACUAGAGUCAGUAAUCUAGUUACAUUGUGAUGAAUCGAACACCCAUGGAAUUCUGGUGUUGAUCAUGUUUUGCUCUAGGGAGAGGUUUAGUCAACGGAUCUGCUACAUUCAGGUCCGUGUGUACUUUACAAAUAUCUAUGUCUCCAUCUUGAACAUUUUCACGAAUGGAGUUGAAGCGACGCUUGAUGUGCCUUGUCUUCUUGUGAAACCUGGGCUCCUUGGCAAGAGCAAUAGCUCCAGUGUUGUCACAGAAGAGCUUGAUCGGCCCCGACGCAUUGGGUAUGACUCCUAGGUCGGUGAUGAACUCCUUCACCCAAAUUGCUUCAUGUGCUGCCUCCGAGGCUGCCAUGUACUCCGCUUCACAUGUAGAUCCCGCCAUGACGCUCUGCUUGCAACUGCACCAGCUUACUGCCCCACCAUUCAAAAUAUACACGUAUCUGGUUUGUGACUUAGAGUCAUCCAGAUCUGUGUCGAAGCUAGCAUCGACGUAACCCUUUACGACGAGCUCUUCGUCACCUCCAUAGACGAGAAACAUUUCCUUAGUCCUUUUCAGGUACUUCAGGAUAUUCUUGACCGCUGUCCAGUGUUCCUUGCCGAGAUUACUUUGGUACCUUCCUACCAAACUUACGGCAAGGUUUACAUUAGGUCUGGUACACAGCAUGGCAUACAUAAUAGAACCUAUGGCUGAGGCAUAGGGGAUGACACUCAUCUCUUCUAUAUCUUCUGCCGUGGUCGGACAUUGAGCUGAGCUCAAUUUCACACCUUGCAACACAGGCAAGAACCCCUUCUUAGACUGAUCCAUAUUGAACUUCUUCAAUAUCUUAUCAAGGUAUGUGCUUUGUGAAAGACCUAUGAGGCGUCUUGAUCUAUCUCUGUAGAUCUUGAUGCCUAAUAUAUAAGCAGCUUCUCCAAGGUCCUUCAUUGAAAAACUCUUAUUCAAGUAGGCCUUAAUGCUGUUCAAGAGUUCUAUAUCAUUUCCCAUCAAAAGUAUGCCAUCUACAUAUAGUAUGAGAAAUUCUACAGAGCUCCCACUCACUUUCUUGUAAACACAGGCUUCUCCAUAAGUCUGUGUAAACCCAAACGCUUUGAUCAUCUCAUCAAAGCGAAUGUUCCAACUCCGAGAUGCUUGCACCAGCCCAUAAAUCAAGCGUUGGAGCUUGCACACCUUGCCAGCAUUCUUAGGAUCGACAAAACCUUCCGGCUGUAUCAUAUACAAUUCUUCCUUAAGGAAACCAUUAAGGAAUGCCGUUUUGACGUCCAUUUGCCAUAUCUCAUAAUCAUAGAAAGCGGCAAUUGCUAACAUGAUUCGGACAGACUUUAGCUUCGCUACCGGUGAGAAAGUCUCAUCGUAGUCAACCCCUUGAACUUGUCGAUAACCCUUAGCGACAAGCCGAGCUUUAUAGAUGGUCACAUUACCAUCCGCGUCUGUCUUCUUCUUAAAAAUCCAUUUAUUUUCUAUGGCUCGCCGCUCAAUGGGCAAGUCAGUCAAAGUCCAUACUUCCUUUUCAUACAUGGAUCCUAUCUCGGAUUUCAUGGCUUCUAGCCAUUUGUCGGAAUCCGGGCCCGCCAUCGCUUCUUCAUAGUUUGAAGGUUCACCGUUGUCUAACAACAUGAUUUCCAAGACAGGGUUGCCGUACCAAUCUGGUACGGAACGUGUCCUUGUGGACCUUCGAAUUUCAGUAGGAGCUUGAUCAGAAGUAUCUUGAUCAUUAUCAUUAACUUCCUCUCUAGUUGGUGCAGGCACCUCAGGAACAUUUUCUUGAGUUGCGCCAUUUUCCGGUUCAAGAGGUAAUACUUCAUCAAGUUCUACUUUCCUCCCACUUACUUCUUUCGAGAGAAACUCCUUCUCUAGAAAGGAUCCAUUCUUGGCAACAAAGAUCUUGCCUUCGGAUCUGAGGUAGAAGGUAUACCCAAUAGUUUCUUUAGGGUAUCCUAUGAAGACGGAUUUUUCCGACUUGGGUUCGAGCUUUUCAGGUUGAAGUUUCUUGACAUAAGCAUCGCAUCCCCAAACUUUUAGAAACGACAGCUUAGGUUUCUUCCCAAACCAUAAUUCAAACGUUGUCGUCUCAACGGAUUUCGACGGAGCCCUAUUUAAAGUGAAUGCGGCAGUCUCUAAAGCAUAGCCCCAAAAAGAUAGCGGUAAAUCGGCAAGAGACAUCAUAGAUCGCACCAUAUCUAAUAGAGUGCGAUUACGACGUUCGGACACACCAUUAUGCUGAGGUGUUCCAGGCGGCGUGAGUUGUGAAACUAUCACACAUUUUCUUAAGUGUGUGGCAAACUCGUGACUCAAGUAUUCUCCUCCACGAUCUGAUCGUAGGAACUUGAUUUUCUUGUCACGUUGAUUCUCAACCUCACUCUGAAAUUCCUUGAACUUUUCAAAGGUUUAGACUUGUGUUUCAUUAAGUAGACAUACCCAUAUCUACUUGAGUCAUCAGUGAGGGUGAGAACAUACUGAUAGCCACCGCGAGCCUCAACACUCAUUGGACCGCACACAUUAGUAUGUAUGAUUUCCAAUAAGUUGGUUGCUCGCUCCAUUGUUCCUGAGAAUGGAGUCUUGGUCAUUUUACCCAUGAGGCAUGGUUCGCACGUGUCAAAUGAUUCGUAAUCAAGAGACUCUAAAAGUCCAUCAGCAUGGAGCUUCUUCAUGCGUUUGACACCUAUGUGACCAAGGCGGCUGUGCCACAAGUAUGUGGGACUAUCAUUAUCAAUCUUACAUCUUUUGGUACUCACACUAUGAACAUGUGUAGCAUCACGCUCGAGAUUCAUUAAGAAUAAACCAUUCACCAUCGGAGCAUGACCAUAAAACAUAUCUCUCAUAUAAAUAGAAUAACCAUUAUUCUCGGAUUUAAAUGAGUAGCCAUCUCGAAUUAAACGAGAUCCUGAUACAAUGUUCAUGCUCAAAGCUGGCACUAAAUAACAAUUAUUAAGGUUUAAAACUAAUCCCGAAGGCAAAUGUAGAGGUAGCAUGCCGACGGCGAUCACAUUGACCUUGGAACCAUUCCCGACGCGCAUCGGCACCUCGUCCUUUGCCAGUCUCCGCUUAUUCCGCAGCUCCUGCUUUGAGUUACAAAUGUGAGCAACCGCACCGGUAUCAAAUACCCAGGAGCUACUACAAAUACUGGUAAGGUACACAUCAAUUACAUGUAUAUCACAUAUACCUUUCGUUUUGCCGGCCUUCUUGUCCGCUAAGUAUUUGGGGCAGUUCCGCUUCCAGUGACCACUUCCAUUGCAAUAAAAGCACUCAGUCUCGGGCUUGGGUCCAUUCUUUGGCUUCUUCCUGGCAGCUUGCUUACCGGGCGCAGCAACUCCCUUGCCAUCCUUCUUGAAGGCUUUCUUACCCUUGCCCUUCUUGAACUUGGUGGUUUUAUUCACCAUCAACACUUGAUGUUCCUUUUUGACUUCUACCUCUGCUGAUUUCAGCAUUGCACAUACCUCAGGAAUGGUCUUUUCCAUCCCCUGCAUAUUGAAAUUCAUCACAAAGCUCUUGUAGCUUGGUGAAAGCGACUGGAGGAUUCUGUCAAUGACCGCGUCAUCUGGGAGAUUAACUCCCAGCUGAGUCAAGCGGUUAUGUAACCCAGACAUUGUGAGUAUGUGCUCACUGACAGAACUAUUUUCCUCCAUCUUACAGCUGAAGAACUUGUCGGAGACUUCAUAUCUUUCGACCCGGGCAUGAGCUUGGAAAGCCAUUUUCAGCUCUUCGAACAUCUCAUAUGCUCUGUGUCUCUCAAAACGUUUUUGGAGUCCCGGUUCUAAGCUGUAAAGCAUGCCGCACUGAACGAGGGAGUAAUCAUCAGCAUGUGUCUGCCAAGCAUUCAUAACGUCUUGGUUCUGUGGGACGGGUGGGUCACCUAGCGGAGCUUGUAGGACAUAAUCUUUCUUGGCAGCUAUGAGGAUGAUCCUCAGGUUCCGGACCCAGUCCGUGUAGUUGCUGCCAUCGUCUUUCAACUUGGUUUUCUCUAGGAACGCGUUGAAGUUGAGGACUACGUUGGCCAUUUGAUCUACAAGACAUAUUGUAAAGAUUUUAGACUAAGUUCAUGAUAAUUAAGUUCAUUUAAUCAAAUUAUUCAAUGAACUCCCACUUAGAUAGACAUCCCUCCAGUAAUCUAAAUAUAACAUGAUCCGAGUUAACUAGGCCGUGUCCGAUCAUCACGUGAGACGGACUAGUCAACAUCGGUGAACAUCUUCAUGUUGAUCGUAUCUUCCAUACGACUCAUGAUCGACCUUUCGGUCUUCUGUGCUCCGAGGCCAUGUCUGUACAUGCUAGGCUCGUCAAGUCAACCUAAGUGUUUGCAUGUGUAAAUCUGUCUUACACCCGUUGUAGGUUAACGUUAGAAUCUAACACCCGAUCAUCACGUGGUGCUUCGAAACAACGUACUGUCGCAACGGUGCACAGUUAGGGGGAACACUUUCUUGAAAUUAUUAUGAGGGAUCAUCUUAUUUACUACCGUCGUUCUAAGUAAACAAGAUGCAAAACAUGAUAAACAUCACAUGCAAUCAAAUAAUAAUAGUGACAUGAUAUGGCCAAUAUCACAUAGCUCCUUUGAUCUCCAUCUUGGGGCUCCAUGAUCAUCUUGUCACCGGCAAGACACCAUGAUCUCCAUCAUCAUGAUCUCCAUCAUUGUGUCUCCAUGAAGUUGCUCGCCAACUAUUACUUCUACUACUAUGGCUAACGCGUUUAGCAAUAAAGUAAAGUAAUUUACAUGGCAUUUCUCAAUGACACGCAGGUCAUAUAAAAAAUAAAGACAACUCCUAUGGCUCCUGCCGGUUGUCAUACUCAUCGACAUGCAAGUCGUGAUUCCUAUUACAAUAGCAUGAACAUCUCAUACAUCACAUAUAGAUCAUUCAUCAUUCAUCACAACUUUGGCCAUAUCAUAUCACAAAGCACUCGCUGCAAAAACAAGUUAGACGUCCUCUAAUUGUUGUUGCAUGUUUUACGUGGCUGAAGUAGGGUUCUAGCAAGAACGUUUUCUUACCUACGUGAAAGCCACAACGUGAUUUGUCAACUUCUAUUUACCCUUCAUAAGGACCCUUUUCAUCGAAUCCGCUCCAACUAAAGUAGGAGAGACAGACACCCGCCAGCCACCUUAUGCAACUUGUGCAUGUUAGUCGGUGAACUGGUCUCACGUAAGCGUACGUGUAAGGUUGGUCCGGGCUGCUUCAUCCCACAAUACCGUUGAAGCAAGAUAAGACUAGUAGCGGCAAGAAAGUUGAGAACAUCAACGCCCACAACAAAUUGUGUUCUACUCGUGCAAGAAAACUACGCAUAGACCUAGCUCAUGAUGCCACUGUUGGGGAACGUUGCAGAAAACAAAAAUUUUCCUACGGUUUCACCAAGAUCCAUCUAGGAGUUCAUCUAGCAACGAGUGAUUAGAUGCAUCUACGUACCUUGUAGAUCGCGAGCGGAAGCGUUCAAAGAACGGGGAUGAGGGAGUCGUACUCGACGUGAUUCGAAUCACCGAAGAUCCUAGCACCGAACGGACGGCACCUCCGCGUUCAACACACGUACCGAACAGCCAUGUCUCCUCCUUCUUGAUCCAGCAAGGGGGAAAGGAGAAGUUGAGGAAGAUGGCUCCAGCAGCAGCACGACGGCAUGGUGGUGGUGGAGCUGCAGUACUCCGGCAGGGCUUCGCCAAGCACUAUGGAGGAGGAGGUGUUCGAGAGGGAGAGGGAGGCAGCAAAGAUCAAGGUAAGAAGUCCUCCAUCUCCCCACUAUAUAUAGGAGGGCCAAGGGGGGGGGGCGCCGGCCCUAGGAGAUCUAAUCUCCUAGGGGGGUGCGGCCAAGGGGAGGAAUCCCUCCUCCCCAAGGCACCUAGGGGUGCCUUCCCCCAUUGGGACUCUUCCCUCCUUGAAACCCUAGGUGCAUGGGCCUCUUGGGGCUGGUGCCCUUGGCCCAUGUAGGCCAAGNNNNNNNNNNNNNNNNNNNNNNNNNNNNNNNNNNNNNNNNNNNNNNNNNNNNNNNNNNNNNNNNNNNNNNNNNNNNNNNNNNNNNNNNNNNNNNNNNNNNNNNNNNNNNNNNNNNNNNNNNNNNNNNNNNNNNNNNNNNNNNNNNNNNNNNNNNNNNNNNNNNNNNNNNNGAGAGGGAGGCAGCAAAGAUCAAGGUAAGAAGUCCUCCAUCUCCCCACUAUAUAUAGGAGGGCCAAGGGGGGGGGGGCGCCGGCCCUAGGAGAUCUAAUCUCCUAGGGGGGUGCGGCCAAGGGGAGGAAUCCCUCCUCCCCAAGGCACCUAGGGGUGCCUUCCCCCAUUGGGACUCUUCCCUCCUUGAAACCCUAGGUGCAUGGGCCUCUUGGGGCUGGUGCCCUUGGCCCAUGUAGGCCAAGGCGCACCCGCUACAGCCCAUGUGGCCCCCCGGGACAGGUGACCCCACCCGGUGGACCCCCGGGACCCUUCCGGUGGUCCCGGUACAAUACCGGUGACCCCGAAACUUGUCCCGAUGCCCGAAAUAGCACUUCCUAUAUAUAAUUCUUUACCUCCAGACCAUUCCGGAACUCCUCGUGACGUCCGGGAUCUCAUCCGGGACUCUGAACAACAUUCGGGUUACUGCAUAUACAUAUCCCUACAACCCUAGCGUCACUGAACCUUAAGUGUGUAGACCCUACGGGUUCGGGAGACAUGUAGACAUGACCGAGAUUGCUCUCCGGUCAAUAACCAACAGCGGGAUCUGGAUACCCAUGGUGGCUCCCACAUGCUCCUCGAUGAUCUCAUCGGAUGAACCACGAUGUCGAGGAUUCAAGCAACCCUGUAUACAAUUCCCUUUGUCAAUCGGUAUGUUACUUGCCCGAGAUUCGAUCGUCGGUAUCCCAAUACCUCGUUCAAUCUCGUUACCGGCAAGUCACUUUACUCGUACCAUACUGCAUGAUCCCGUGACCAGACACUUGGUCACUUUGAGCUCAUUAUGAUGAUGCAUUACCGAGUGGGCCUAGUGAUACCUCUCCGUCAUACGGAGUGACAAAUCCCAGUCUUGAUCCGUGUCAACCCAACAGACACUUUCGAAGAUACCCGUAGUAUACCUUUAUAGUCACCCAGUUACGUUGUGACGUUUGGCACACCUAAAGCACUCCUACGGUAUCCGGGAGUUACACGAUCUCAUGGUCUAAGGAAAGGAUACUUGACAAUGGAAAACUCUAGCAAACGAACUAUACGAUCUUGUGCUAUGUUUAGGAUUGGGUCUUGUCCAUCACAUCAUUCUCCUAAUGAUGUGAUCUCGUUAUCAAUGACAUCCAAUGUCCAUAGUCAGGAAAUCAUGACUAUCUGUUGAUCAACGAGCUACUCAACUAGAGGCUUACUAGGGACAUGUUGGUGUCUAUUAUUCACACAUGUAUUACGAUUUCCGGAUAACACAAUUAUAGCAUGAAUAAAGACAAUUAUCAUGAACAAGGAAAUAUAAUAAUAAUGCUUUUUAUUAUUGCCUCUAGGGCAUAUUUCCAGCAAGCACAACGCGGUUGAUGUAGUCGUACGUCUUCACGAUCCGACCGAUCAAGUACCGAACGUACGGCACCUCCGAGUUCAGCACACGUUCAGCCGUUGAUGUUCUACCGAUGCAGGGCUUCUCCUAAGCACCGCUACAGUAAUAUCGAGGUGGACUAUGGUGGAGGGGGGCACCGCACACGGCUAAAAGAUCAACUUGAUCAAUUGUUGUGUCUAUGGGGUGCCCCCUGCCCCGUAUAUAAAGGAGCAAGGAGGGGGUGCGGCCAGCCAGGGAGGAGGCGCACCAGGAGGAGUCCUACUCCCACCGGGAGUAGGACUCCCCCCCUUUCCUAGUUGGAAUAGGAUUCGGGAGGGGAAAGAGAAGGGAGAGAAGGAAAGGGGGCGCCGCCCCCCUCUCCUUGUCCUAUUCGGACUAGGGGGGAGGGGUGCGCGGCCCAGCCCUGGCCGCCUCCCCUCUUCUUCGUAAAGGCCCACUAAGGCCCAUUUACCUCCCGGGGGGUUCCGGUAACCUCCCGGUACUCCGGUAAAAUCCCGAUUUCACCCAGAACACUUCCGAUAUCCAAACAUAGGCUUCCAAUAUAUCAACCUUCAUGUCUCGACCAUUUCGAGACUCCUCGUCAAGUCCGUGAUCACAUCCGGGACUCCGAACAACCUUCGAUACAUCAAAACAUAUAAACUCAUAAUAUAACUGUCAUCAUAACGUUAAGCGUGCAGACCCUACGGGUUCGAGAACUAUGUAGACAUGACCAAGACACGUCUCCGGUCAAUAGCCAAUAGCGGAACCUGGAUGCUCAUAUUCGCUCCUACAUAUUCUACGAAGAUCUUUAUCGGUCAAACCGCAUAACAACAUAUGUUGUUCCCUUUGUCAUCGGUAUGUUACUUGCCUGAGAUUCGAUCGUCGGUAUCUCAAUACCUAGUUCAAUCUCGUUACCAGAAAGUCCCUUUACUCGUUCUGUAAUACAUCAUCCCGCAACUAACUCAUUAGUUGCAAUGCUUGCAAGGCUUAAGUGAUGUGCAUUACCGAGAGGGCCCAGAGAUACCUCUCCGACAAUCGGAGUGACAAAUCCUAUUCUCGAAAUACGCCAACCCAACAAGUACCUUUGGAGACACCUGUAGAGCACCUUUAUAAUCACCCAGUUACGUUGUGACGUUUGGUAGCACACAAAGUGUUCCUCCGGUAAAUGGGAGUUGCAUAAUCUCAUAGUCAUAGGAAUAUGUAUAAGUCAUGAAGAAAGCAAUAGCAACAUACUAAACGAUCGGGUGCUAAGCUAACGGAAUGGGUCAUGUCAAUCACAUCAUUCUCCUAAUGAUGUGACCUUGUUAAUCAAAUGACAACUCAUGUCUAUGGUUAGGAAACAUAACCAUCUUUGGUCAACGAGCUAGUCAAGUAGAGGCAUACUAGUGACAAUCUGUUUGUCUAUGUAUUCACACAUGUAUUAUGUUUCCGGUUAAUACAAUUCUAGCAUGAAUAAUAAACAUUUAUAAUGAUACAAGGAAAUAAAUAAUAACUUUAUUAUUGCCUCUAGGGCAUGUUUCCUUCAGUCUCCCACUUGCACUAGAGUCAAUAAUCUAGAUUACACAGUAAUGAUUCUAACACCCAUGGAGCCUUGGUGCUGAUCAUGUUUUGCUCAUGGAAGAGGCUUAGUCAACGGGUCUGCAACAUUCAGAUCCAUGUGUAUCUUGCAAAUUUCUAUGUCUCCCACCUGGACUAAAUCCCGGAUGUAAUUGAAGCGUCUCUUGAUGUGCUUGGUUCUCUUGUGAAAUCUGGAUUCCUUCGCCAAGGCAAUUGCACCAGUAUUGUCACAAAAGAUUUUCAUUGGACCCGAUGCACUAGGUAUGACACCUAGAUUGGAUAUGAACUCCUUCAUCCAGACUCCUUCAUUUGCUGCUUCCGAAGCAGCUAUGUACUCCGCUUCACAUGUAGAUCCCGGCAAAAAUGCUUUGUUUAGAACUGCACCAACUGACAGCUCCACCGUCCAAUGUAAACACGUAUCCGGUUUGUGAUUUAGAAUCGUCCGGAUCAGUGUCAAAGCUUGCAUCAACAUAACCGUUUACGAUGAGCUCUUUGUCACCUCCAUAUACGAGAAACAUAUCCUUAGUCCUUUUCAGGUAUUUCAGGAUGUUUUUGACCGCUGUCCAGUGAUCCACUCAUGGAUUACUUUGGUAACUCCCUGCUAGACUUAUAGAAAGGCACACAUCAGGUCUGGUACACAGCAUUGCAUACAUGAUAGAGCCUAUGGGUGAAGCAUCGGGAACAACUUUCAUUUUCUCUCUAUCUUUUGCAGUGGUCGGGCAUUGAGUCUUACUCAACUUCACACCUUGUAACUCAGGCAAGAACCCUUUCUUUGCUUGAUCCAUUUUGAACUUCUUCAAAACUUUGUCAAGGUAUGUGCUUUGUGAAAGUCCAAUUAAGCGUCUUGAUCUAUCUCUAUAGAUCUUGAUGCCCAAUAUAUAAGCAGCUUCACCGAGGUCUUUCAUUGAAAAACUCUUAUUCAAGUAUCCCUUUAUGCCAUCCAGAAAUUCUAUAUCAUUUCCAAUCAACAAUAUGUCAUCCACAUAUAAUAUUAGAAAUGCUAGAGAGCUCCCACUCACUUUCUUGUAAAUACAGGCUUCUCCAAAAGUCUGUAUAAAACCAAAUGCUUUGAUCACACUUUCAAAGCGUUUAUUCCAACUCCGAGAGGCUUGCACCAGUCCAUAAAUGGAUCGCUGGAGCUUGCACACUUUGUUAGCUCCCUUUGGAUCGACAAAACCUUCUGGUUGCAUCAUAUACAACUCUUCUUCCAGAAAUCCAUUCAGGAAUGCAGUUUUUACAUCCAUUUGCCAAAUUUCAUAAUCAUAAAAUGCGGCAAUUGCUAAUAUGAUUCGGACAGACUUAAGCAUCACUACGGGUGAGAAAGUCUCAUCGUAGUCAAUCCCUUGAACUUGUUGGAAACCUUUCGCAACAAGUCAAGCUUUGUAGACAGUGACAUUACCGUCAGCGUCAGUCUUCUUCUUGAAGAUCCAUUUAUUCUCAAUUGCUUGCCGAUCAUCGGGCAAGUCAACCAAAGUCCACACUUUGUUCUCGUACAUGGAUCCCAUCUCAGAUUUCAUGGCUUCAAGCCAUUUUGCGGAAUCUGGGCUCACCAUCGCUUCUUCAUAGUUUGUAGGUUCAUCAUGAUCUAGUAGCAUGAUUUCCAGAACAGGAUUACCGUACCACUCUGGUGCGGAUCUUACUCUGGUUGAUCUACGAGGUUCAGUAGUAACUUGGUCUGAAGUUCCAUGAUCAUCAUCAUUAACUUCCUCACUAAUUGGUGUAGGCGUCACAGGAACUGGUUUCUGUGAUGAACUACUUUCCAAUAGAGGAGCAUGUAUAGUUACCUCAUCAAGUUCCACUUUCCUCCCACUCACUUCUUUCAAGAGAAACUCCUUCUCUAGAAAGGAUCCAUUCUUAGAAACGAAUGUCUUGCCUUCGGAUCUGUGAUAGAAGGUGUACCCAACAGUCUCCUUUGGGCAGCAUUGCCAGACAAAUUCGGACGAGCGUUCUUUCUAUUAAAGAAACGCGGGCGUCAUUUCAUUUCGAAAAAGACGACAACCACGGAGCAGGGUUUUUCCUAUACCUUUGCGCCGGCGUCUCCGUCCUGACCACCUUCCUUUUUGGCCUACCCAGCCUCGGCACCUCUUGUUGGCGAGUUGCCGCGGGUUCAGCAGGGCGUCCCGAAUGCCUUCCCUGUAAAAGAUGCCAUGUGUAUAUGGUGGGUGAAGUGCCUAAAAGGGGAUCCUAGUUUUGGAGUUGGGACUUUUUGAUUUUUCUUACCUACGAUGCAGGAAGUAGUCCGGGAUAGUCGGCCGUAAUGGCCACCGGGGCAUCGUCGCAGCUUAACUGAUAGAACUGUCGGUCUAUCAGUUCCACAGAGAUAACCGGAUCUUCUUCGAGUCCGGAAUCGAUGGCCCGGUCAGGGUCCUCUGGUUGUGGAGAAGGGCUGCUGACCUCCUUUAUGGUUUUUCGCAGUUCCUGCCGCAAGGUGGCAAGGUGAAUACUUACGACUAAGAAUGCGGGAAAAAUGGGAGCGGGGAAAUAUAACUUACCCAGCUUGGAGGAUUGUACAUAGAGAAUCCAUCCCGUGGCUUGAUGCGGGUGAACUCCUCUUCCUUGCCCUUGAACAGUUCGGACAGAAUCUUUGCUAGAGCGGCAGCAUUGUCCGGACCCUUACGCCCGCAACGGGUGGCGUCAUCCGCCCCGUUAUAACACCACAAGGGGUGCCCACGAUAUUGGAGUUGCUGCACUCCCGCAUUAUGCAAAUCGACAUAACUUCGAUUAUUGUCAAUCCGGAUCGAGCUAGUGCUUUGAUCCGGUUCAUCAGAUAGAGGACUUCUCCGUUGUAUUCCGCCUGGGGGCUCCGUGGGCACCAACUUCGGCGCUUCUUCAGAGGAGCAUUGUCAAACUCGGGCAGACCCCGCCGAACAGGGUCCGGAAGGGGGACGUCCUCCAUAUAAAACCAUUCUGAAGGCUAGUCUUCGGACGGCUUCUUCGGGGUACCAGACAAAUAUCCGGUAUCGGCGAUGCGCCAUACUUCAGCUCCGCCCACUUGAUAAAGUGAUUCCCUUUGUGUGCGAGGGACAAGGCAAAAUAGCCUUUUCCACAGCUCGAAGUGAGCCUCGCAGCCCAGGAACAACUCACAGAGAGCAACAUAGCCGGCGAUGUGUAGGAUGGAGGCAGGGGUGAGAUUGUGUAGUUGGAGGCCAUAGAACUCUAGGAGCCCGCGGAGGAACGGAUGAAUUGGAAAUCCGAGUCCCCUUAGUAAGUAAGGAACAAGGCAAACCCGUUCCCCCAUGGAGGGACAGGGAAAGUUCUCCGCUUGCUCCCCGCCAUUGUAGGUGGCGAGCCCGGCUCGAACGGGCACCAUGUACGCCGGAGGGAGAAAUCUCUUAGUCUGCAGCUCGACUAAUCGACUGUGCGGGACUGAACACCUCUCCCAAUCACCGGGCUUAGGGCUAUAGGGGCGGGAGGAGGAGCUGCGGAGGUCGGCCAUGCUGGAAUGGAUCUUUCCGAAGCACGCUCUGAUGAAUUCUCACUGGGGGAGGAUGAUAUGGAUUGGAUCUAAGAAUCCCCAUCCCUUUAAUAGACAAUUUAUUUAUCUGGCUAGGGGGGCGAAUGUAAAAACGCCCUGGCGCCUCGUAUUCAUUCAACACGUGGGAGAUAGCCCUUAUUGGGCACAGAAGCCAAGAGGUUCAACAUUUAUGGAGCCGGACACUGCUUACGAGCACUUGAAAGUUGGAGAAGAACCCGCCCUGCAAUGCCGAAGACAACACUGCGUGCCGGACUCAUCGUCAUUGAAGCCUGGUUCGGGGGCUACUGAGGUAGUCCUGGAUUAGGGGGUCUGUGGACAGCCGGACUAUAUCCUUUGGCCGGACUGUUGGACUAUGAUACAGGAUUGAAGACUUCGUCUCGUGUCCGGAUGGGACUCUACUUGGCGUGGAAGGCAAGCUAGGAAAUACGGAUAUGUAUAUCUCCUCCUUUGUAACCGACCUUUUGUAACCCUAACCCUCUUCGGUGUCUAUAUAAUCCGGAGGGUUUUAGUCUGUAGGACAACAUACAAUCAUACCAUAGGCUAGCUUCUAGGGUUUAGCCUCUCCGAUCUUGUGGUAGAUCUACUCUUGUACUACCCAUAUCAUCAAUAUUAAUCAAGCAGUACGUAGGGUUUUACCUCCAUCAAGAGGGCCUAAACCUGGGUAAAACAUUGUGUCCCCUGCCUCCUGUUACCAUCCGCCUUAGACGCACAGUUCGGGACCCCCUACCCGAGAUCCGCCGGUUUUGACACCGACAGAAGGUGUACCCAAUAGUUUUCUUUGGGUAUCCUAUGAAGACACAUUUCUCCGAUUUGGGUUCGAGCUUAUCAGGUUGAAGCUUUUUCACAUAAGCAUGGCAGCCCCAAACUUUCAGAAACGACAACUUUGGUUUCUUGCCAAACCACAGUUCAUAAGGCGUCGUCUCAACGGAUUUCGAUGGUGCCCUAUUUAACGUGAAUGCGGUCGUCUCUAAAGCAUAUCCCCAAAAUGAUAGCGGUAAAUCUGUAAGAGACAUCAUAGAUUGUACCAUAUCUAGUAAAGUACGAUUACGAUGUUCGGACACACCAUUACGCUGUGGUGUUCCGGGUGGCGUGAGUUGCGAAACUAUUCCACAUUGUUUCAAAUGUAGACCAAACUCGUAACUCAAAUAUUCUCCCCCACGAUCAGAUUGUAGAAACUUUAUUUUCUUGUUACAAUGAUUUUCAACUUCACUCUGAAAUUCUUUGAACUUCUCAAAUGUUUCAGACUUAUGCUUCAUCAAGUAGAUAUACCCAUAUCUACUCAAAUCAUCUAUGAAGGUGAGAAAAUAACAAUAUCCGCCACGAGCCUCAACAUUCAUCGGACCACAUACAUCUGUAUGUAUGAUUUCCAACAAAUCUGUUGCUCUCUCCAUAGUUCCGGAGAACGGCGUCUUAGUCAUCUUGCCCAUGAGGCACGGUUCGCAAGUACCAAGUGAUUCAUAAUCAAGUGGUUCCAAAAGUCCAUCAGUAUGGAGUUUCUUCAUGCGCUUUACACCGAUAUGACCUAAACGGCAGUGCCACAAAUAAGUUGCACUAUCAUUAUCAACUCUGCAUCUUUUGGCUUCAACAUUAUGAAUAUGUGUAUCACUACUAUCGAGAUUCAUCAAAAAUAGACCACUCUUCAAGGGUGCAUGAGCAUAAAAGAUAUUACUCAUAUAAAUAGAACAACCAUUAUUCUCUGAUUUAAAUGAAUAACCGGCUUGCAUCAAACAAGAUCCAGAUAUAAUGUUCAUGCUCAACGCUGGCACCAAAUAACAAUUAUUUGGGUCUAAUACUAAUCCCGAAGGUAGAUGUAGAGGUAGUGUGCCGACUGCGAUCACAUCGACUUUGGAACCAUUUCCCAUGCGUAUCGUCACCUCGUCCUUUGCCAGCGUUCGCUUAAUCCGUCGUCCCUGUUUCGAGUUGCAAAUAUUAGGAACAGAACCAGUAUCAAAUACCCAGGUGCUACUGCGAGCUCUAGUAAGGUACACAUCAAUAACAUGUAUAUCACAUAUACCUUUGUUAACCUUGUCAUCCUUCUUAUCCGCCAAAUACUUGGGACAGUUCCGCUUCCAGUGACCAGUCUGCUUGUAGUAGAAGCACUCAGUCUCAGGCUUAGGUCCAGACUUGGGUUUCUUCUCCUGAGCAGCAACUUGCUUGUUGUUCUUCUUGAAGUUCCCCUUCUUUUUCCCUUUGCCCUUCUUGAAACUGGUGGUCUUACUGACCAUCAACACUUGAUGCUCCUUCUUGAUUUCUACCUCCGCAGCUUUUAGUAUUGCGAAGAGCUCGGGAAUUGUCUUAUUCAUCCCUUGCAUAUCAUAGUUCAUCACGAAGCUCUUGUAGCUUGGUGGCAGUGAUUGAAGAACUCUAUCAAUGACACUAUCAACCGGAAGAUUAACUCCCAGCUGAGUCAAGUGAUUAUGGUACCCAGACAUUCUGAGUAUAUGUUCACUGACAAAACUAUUCUCCUCCAUCUUGCAGCUGUAGAACUUAUUGGAGACUUCAUAUCUCUCAAUCUGGGCAUUUUCUUGAAAUAUUAACUUCAACUCCUGGAACAUCUCAUAUGCUCCAUGAUGUUCAAAACGUCUUUGAAGUCCCGGUUCUAAGCCGUAAAGCAUGGCACAUUGAACUAUCGAGUACUCAUCAGCUUUGCUCUGACAGACGUUCUUAACGUCGUCAGUUGCAUCAGCAGCAGGCCUGGCACUCAGCGGUGCUUCCAGGACGUAAUUCUUCUGGGCAGCAAUGAGGAUAAUCCUCAAGUUACGGACCCAGUCCGUGUAAUUGCUACCAUCAUCUUUCAACUUUGCUUUCUCAAGAAACGCAUUAAAAUUCAACGGAACAACAGCACGGGCUAUCUAUCUACAAUCAACAUAGACAAGCAAGAUACUAUCAGGUACUAAGUUCAUGAUAAAUUUAAGUUCAAUUAAUCAUAUUACUUAGGAACUCCCACUUAGAAAGACAUCCCUCUAAUCUUCUAAGUGAUCACGUGAUCCAAAUCAACUAAACCAUAACCGGUCAUCACGUGAAAUGGAGUAGUUUUCAAUGGUGAACAUCAGUAUGUUGAUCAUAUCUACUAUAUGAUUCACGCUCGACCUUUCGGUCUCAGUGUUCCGAGGGCAUAUCUGCAUAUGCUAGGCUCGUCAAGUUUAACCCGAGUAUUCUGCGUGUGCAAAACUGGCUUGCACCCGUUGUAGAUGGGCGUAGAACUUAUCACACCCGAUCAUCAUGUGGUAUCUGGGCACGACGAACUUUGGCAACGGCGCAUACUCAGGGAGAACACUAUUAUCUUGAAAUUUAGUGAGAGAUCAUCUUAUAAUGCUACCGUCAAUCAAAGUAAGAUAAGAUGCAUCAAAGAAAAACAUCACAUGCAAUCAAUAUAAGUGAUAUGAUAUGGCCAUCAUCAUCUUGUGCUUGUGAUCUCCAUCUCCGAAGCACCGUCAUGAUCACCAUCGUCACCGGCGCGACACCUUGAUCUCCAUCGUAGCAUCGUUGUCGUAUUGCCAAACUUAUGCUUCCACGACUAUCGCUACCGCUUAGUAAUAAAGUAAAGCAUUACAGGGCGAUUGCAUUGCAUACAAUAAAGUGACAACCAUAUGGCUCCUGCCAGUUGCCGAUAACUCGGUUACAAAACAUGAUCAUCUCAUACAAUAAAAUUUAGCAUCAUGUCUUGACCAUAUCACAUCACAACAUGCCCUCCAAAAACAAGUUAGACGUCCUCUACUUUGUUGUUGCAAGUUUUACGUGGCUGCUACGGGCGUAGCAAGAACUGUUCUUACCUACGCAUCAAAACCACAACGAUAGUUUGUCAAGUUGGCGUUGUUUUAAACUUCGCAAGGAUCGGGCGUAGCCACACUUGGUUCAACUAAAGUUGGCGAAACUGACACCCGCCAGCCACCUUUGUGCAAAGCACGUCGGUAGAACCAGUCUCGCGUAAGCGUACGCAUAAUGUCGGUCCGGGCUGCUUCAUCCAGCAAUACCGCCGAACCAAAGUAUGACAUGCUGGUAAGCAGUAUGACUUAUAUCGCCCACAACUCACUUGUGUUCUACUCGUGCAUAUGACAUCUACGCAUAAAACCUGGCUCUGAUACCACUGUUGGGGAAUGUAGUAAUUUCAAAAUUUUCCUACGCACACGCAAGAUCAUGGUGAUGCAUAGCAACGAGAGGGGAGAGUGUUGUCCAUGGACCCUCGUAGACCGAAAGCGGAAGCAUUAGCACAACGCGGUUGAUGUAGUCGUAUGUCUUCACGAUCCGACCGAUCAAGUACCGAAUGUAUGGCACCUCCAAGUUCAGCACACAUUUAGCCCGAUGACGUCCCUCGAACUCCGAUCCAGCCGAGUGUUGACGAAGAGUUUCAUCAGCACGACGGUGUGGUGACGAUGUUGAUGUUCUACCGACGAAGGGCUUCGACUAAGCACCGCUACAGUAAUAUCGAGGUGGACUAUGGUGAAGGGGGGCACCGCACACGGCUAAAAGAUCAACUUGAUCAAUUGUUGUGUCUAUGUGGUGCCCCCCUGCCCCCGUAUAUAAAGGAGCAAGGGGGGUGCGGCCGGCCAGGGAGGAGGCGCGCCAGGAGGAGUCCUACUCGGGAGUAGGACUCCCCCCCUUCCUAGUUGGAAUAGGAUUCAGGAGGGAGAAAGAGAAGGGGGAGAAGGAAAGGGAGGGCGACGCCCCUCUCUCCUUGUCCUAUUUGGACUAGGGGGGAGGGGCGCGCGGCCCAGCCCUGGCCGCCUCUCCUCUUCUCCAUAAAGGCCCACUAAGGCCCAUUUACCUCCCGGGGGUUCCGGUAACCUCCCGGUACUCCGGUAAAAUCCCGAUUUCACCCGGAACACUUUCGAUAUCCAAACAUAGGCCUCCAAUAUAUCAAUCUUCAUGUCUCGACCAUUUCGAGACUCCUCGUCAUGUCCGUGAUCACAUCCGGGACUCCGAACAACCUUCGGUACAUCAAAACAUAUAAACUAAUAAUAUAACUGUCAUCGUAACGUUAAGCGUGCGGACCCUACGGGUUCGAGAACUAUGUAGACAUGACCGAGACACGUCUCCGGUCAAUAACCAAUAGCGGAACCUAGAUGCUCAUAUUGGCUCCUACAUAUUCUACGAAGAUCUUUAUCGGUCAAACCGCAUAACAACAUACGUUGUUCCCUUUCUCAUCGAUAUGUUACUUGCCCGAGAUUCGAUCGUCGGUAUCUCAAUACCUAGUUCAAUCUCGUUACCGGCAAGUCUCUUUACUCGUUAUAUAAUACAUCAUCCUGCAACUAACUCAUUAGUUGCAAUGCUUGCAAGGCUUAAGUGAUGUGCAUUACCGAGAGGGCCCAGAGAUACCUCUCCGACAAUCGGAGUGACAAAUCCUAUUCUCGAAAUACGCCAACCCAACAAGUACCUUUGGAGACACCUGUAGAGCACCUUUAUAAUCACCCAGUUACGUUGUGACGUUUGGUAGCACACAAAGUGUUCCUCCGGUAAACGGGAGUUGCAUAAUCUCAUAGUCAUAGGAACAUGUAUAAGUCAUGAAGAAAGCAAUAGCAACAUACUAAACGAUCGGGUGCUAAGCUAACGGAAUGGGUCAUGUCAAUCACAUCAUUCUCCUAAUGAUGUGACCCUGUUAAUCAAAUGACAACUCAUGUCUAUGGUUAGGAAACAUAACCAUCUUUGAUCAACGAGCUAGUCAAGUAGAGGCAUACUAGUGACAAUCUGUUUGUCUAUGUAUUCACACAUGUAUUAUGUUUCCGGUUAAUACAAUUCUAGCAUGAAUAAUAAACAUUUAUCAUGAUAUAAGGAAAUAAAUAAUAACUUUAUUAUUGCCUCUAGGGCAUAUUUCCUUCAAUAAUCAACAACAUUAAACUCACGCUUUUGUAUUCUUUUGUCAUGCCAUCUUUUAACUUUUUCUUUAAACAACUUGGCAUUUUCAUAGGCUUGGGUUCUCCAUUCAUCAAGUGAGCUAAUAUCAAAUAACCUCUUCUCACCGGCAAGUUUGCAAUCAUAAUUGAGUUCUUUAAUAGCCCAAUAUGCCUUGUGUUCUAGUUCGAGAGGUAAGUGACAUGCUUUUCCAUAAACCAUUUUAUACGGAGAAAUACCCAUAGGAUUUCUAUAUGCUGUUCUAUAGGCCCAUAAUGCAUCAUCAAAUUUCUUGGACCAAUUCUUUCUAGAUCUAUUAACAGUCUUUUGCAAAAUUAAUUUGAGUUCUCUAUUACUCAAUUCUACUUGACCACUAGACUGAGGGUGAUAAGGAGAUGCAAUUCUAUGAUUAACAUCAUAUUUAGCAAGCAUUUUACGGAAAGCACCAUGGAUAAAAUGUGAACCACCAUCAGUCAUUAAAUAUCUAGAGACUCCAAAUCUUGGAAAAAUAACUUCUUUAAGCACCUUAAUAGAAGUGUUAUGGUCAGCACUACUAGUUGGAAUAGCUUCUAGCCACUUAGUAACGUAAUCACAACAACUAAAAUAUGUGUAUAUCCAUUAGAGGAAGGAAAGGGUCCCAUAUAGUCAAAGCCCCAAACAUCAAAUGGUUCAAUAACGAGAGAAUAGUUCAUAGGCAUUUCUUGACAUCUACUAAUAUUACCAAUUCUUUGACAUUCAUCAAAAGAUAAGACAAACUUACGGGCAUCCUUGAAGAGAGUAGGCCAAUAAAAACCAGAUUGCAAUACCUUAUGUGCAGUUCUAUCUCCAGCAUGGUGUCCUCCAUAAGCUUCGGCGUGACACUUGUUCCUGUUCAUGCUCAGGUACACAACGUCUAAUAACACCAUCUACUCCUUCUUUAUAAAGAUGUGGGUCAUCCCAAAAGUAAUGCCUCAAAUCAUAGAAGAACUUUUUCUUUUGCUGGUAUGUGAAACUAGGUGGUAUUAAUUUAGCAACAAUGUAAUUAGCAUAAUCAGCAUACCAUGGAGAAGUAUAAGAAGCAUUUAUGACAUUUAAUUGCUCGUUAGGAAAGCUAUCAUCAAUAGGUAGUGGGUCAUCAAGCACAUUUUCUAAUCUAGACAAGUUGUCUGCAACGGGGUUCUCAGCUCCCUUUCUAUCAACAAUAUGUAAAUCAAAUUCUUGUAGCAAGAGAACCCAUCUAAUAAGUCUAGGUUUAGCAUCUUUCUUUUCCAUAAGAUAUUUAAUAGAAGCAUGAUUAGUGUGAAUAGUUACUUUAGAAUCACAAUAUAAGGUCUGAACUUAUCACAAGCAAAUACAACUGUUGAGAAUUCUUUUUCAGUAGUAGCAUAAUUUCUUUGAGCAUUGUCUAGAGUUUUACUAGCAUAUUGAAUAACAUUUAAUUUCUUAUCAACUCUUUGCCCUAGAACAGCACCUACAGCAUAAUCACUAGCAUCACACAUUAUUUCAAAGGGUAAAUUCCAAUCAGGUGGCUGAACAAUAGGUGCAGAGAUCAAUGCUUUCUUAAGUACUUCAAAUGCUUCUACACAAUCAUCAUCAAAGACAAAUGGUAUAUCUUUUUGUAAUAAAUUAGUCAGAGGCUGAGAAAUUUUUGAGAAGUCCAUAAUGGACCUCCUAUAAAAUCCGGCGUGACCAAGGAAACUUCUUAUACCUUUGAUGUCCUUGGGACAUGACAUCUUUUCAAUAGCAUCAACCUUGGCUUUAUCAACCUCAAUACCUCUUACGGAAACUUUAUGCCCCAAGACAAUACCUUCUUUAACCAUAAAGUGACACUUUUCCCAAUUCAAGACAAGAUUAGUUUCUUCACAUCUCUGCAAAACUCAAUCAAGGUUGCUCAAGCAAUCAUCAAAAGAAGAUCCAUAGACGGAGAAAUCGUCCAUGAAAACCUCACAAAUCUUUUCACAAAAGUCAGAGAAUAUAGCCAUCAUGCAUCUUUGAAAGGUAGCAGGUGCAUUACAUAAACCAAAAGGCAUGCGUCUAUAAACAAAAGUACCAAAAGGGCAAGUAAAAGUAGUCUUUGAUUGAUCUUUGGCUGACACGAAUAUUUGAGAGAAACCAGAAUAACCAUCUAGAAAGCAAAAAUGUGUAUGUUUGGAUAAUCUUUCUAGCAUUUGAUCGAUAAAAGGUAAGGGGCAAUGAUCCUUUUUAGUGGCCUUAUUUAAUUUGCGGAAAUCAAUUACCAUCCUAUAAACUGUAAUAAUUCUUUGAGGAAUCAAUUCAUCUUUAUCAUUAGGAACAACAGUAAUACCUCCCUUCUUAGGGACACAAUGGACAUGACUUACCCACUGACUAUCAGCAACAGGAUAGAUUAUACCUGCCUCAAGGAGCUGUAGUAUUUCCUUUCUUACCACUUCUUUCAUUUUAGGAUUCAGCCGUCGUUGAUGAUCACAAACUGGUUUAGCAUCUUCUUCCAAAUUUAUUUUAUGUUGACAUAGAGUGGGACUAAUGCCCUUAAGAUCAUCAAGAGUAUACCCAAUAGUAGCACGGUGCUUCUUCAGAGUUUUCAAUAAUCUCUCUGCCUCAUGCUCUGAAAGGUUAGCACUAAUAAUAACAGGAUAUAUCUUUUUCUCAUCAAGAUAAGCAUAUUUAAGAGUAUCAGGCAACGGUUUAAGCUCAAACACGGGAUCACCCUUGGGUGGAAGAGGAUCCCCUAGGAUUUCAACAGGCAAAUUGUGUUUCAGAAUAGGUUCCUGUUCAAAAAAUACUUCAUCUAUUUCCCUUCUUUCAUUCAUAAACAUAUCAUUUUCGUGGUCUAGCAAAUAUUGUUCUAAAGGAUCACUAGGAGGUACGGCAAUAGAAGAAAGACCAAUAAUUUCAUCCUUACUAGGUAAUUCUUCUUCACGGUGUUUUCUACUAAAUUUAGAGAAAUUAAAUUCAUGAGACAUAUCAUCUAAACCGAUAGUAACAACAUCCUUUUUGCAAUCUAUCUUAGCAUUAACAGUGUUUAAGAAGGGUCUACCAAAUAUAAUGGGACAAAAGCUAUCUUGUGGGGAACCAAGAACAAGAAAAUCAGCAGGAUAUUUAGUUUUCCCACACAAGACUUCAACAUCUCUAACAAUUCCCAUUGGUGAAAUAGUAUCUCUAUUGGCAAAUUUAAUUGUGACAUCAAUAUCUUCUAUCUCAGCAGGUGCAAUAUCAUGCAUAAUUUCUUUGUAUAAGUUGUAAGGUAUUGCACUAGCACUAGCACCCAUAUCAAAUAAGCCAUGAUAACAAUGAUCUCCUAUUUUAACAGAAAUAACAGGCAUGCCUACCACAUGUCUGUUUUUAUCUUUAGCACAAGGUUUAGCAAUUCUAGCAGUCUCAUCAAGGAAAUGAAUAACAUGCCCAUCAAUAUUAUCAGACAAGAGAUCUUUAACAAUAGCAAUAUCAGGUUCAACUUUAAUUUGCUCAGGAGGUGUAUAAGUUUUAAUAUUGCUUUUACGAACCAUAGUUGAAGCUUUAGCAUGAUCCUUUAUCCUAACAGGGAAAGGCGGUUUCUCAACAUAAGAAGUAGGAACAAUAGGAUCAUUAUAAGUGAUAGUCUUUUCUUCAACUUUAAUAGGUGCAGCUACUUUUACUUCUAUGGGAGGAGAUGGUCUUUACUUUAAUAGGUGCAAUCACGUUCAUAGAAGAAGUGGUUUAAAUAUCAUCCUCCCAUAGAAGUAAAAGUAGCUACACCUAUUAAAGUUGAAGAAAAGACUAUUGAUGUCUACUACACAACCUUCUUCUUGUAGACGUUGUUGGGCCUCCAAGUGCAGAGGUUUGUAGGACAGUAGCAAAUUUCCCUCAAGUGGAUGACCUAAGGUUUAUCAAUCCGUAGGAGGCGUAGGAUGAAGAUGGUCUCUCUCAAGCAACCCUACAACCAAAUAACAAAGAGUCUCUUGUGUCCCCAACACACCCAAUACAAUGGUAAAUUGUAUAGGUGCACUAGUUCGGCGAAGAGAUGGUGAUACAAGUGGUAUAUGGAUGGUAGAUAAAGGUUUUUGUAAUCUGAAAAUAUAAAAACAGCAAGGUAACUAAUGAUAAAAGUGAGCGUAAACGGUAUUGCAAUGCGUUGAAACAAGGCCUAGGGUUCAUACUUUCGCUAGUGCAAGUUCCCUCAACAAUAAUAACAUAAUUGGAUCACAUAACUAACCCUCAACAUGCAACAAAGAGUCACUCCAAAGUCACUAAUACCGGAGAACAAACGAAGAGAUUAUGGUAGGGUACGAAACCACCUCAAAGUUAUUCUUUCCAAUCAAUCUGUUGGGCUAUUCCUAUAAGUGUCACAAACAGCCCUAGAGUUCGUACUAGAAUAACACCUUAAGACACAAAUCAACCAAAACCCUAAUGUCACCUAGAUACUCCAAUGUCACCUCAAGUAUCUGUGGGUAUGAUUAUACGGUAUGCAUCACACAAUCUCAGAUUCAUCUAUUCAACCAACACAUGGAACCUCAAAGAGUGCCCCAAAGUUUCUACCGGAGAAUCACGACGAAAACGUGUGCCAACCCCUAUGCAUAGGUUCAUGGGCGGAACCCGCAAGUUGAUCACCAAAACAUACAUCAAGUGAAUCAAUAGAAUAACCCAUUGUCACCACGGUUAUCCCACGCAAGACAUAUAUCAAGUGUUCUCAAAUCCUUAAAGACUCAAUCCGAUAAGAUAACUUCAAAGGGAAAACUCAAUCCAUUACAAGAGAGUAGAGGGGGAGAAACAUCAUAAGACCCAACUAUAAUAGCAAAUCUUGCGAUACAUCAAGAUCGUACCACCUCAAGAACACGAGAGAGAGAGAGAGAGAGAGAGAUCAAACACAUAGCUACUGGUACAUACCCUCAGCCCCGAGGGAGAACUACUCCCUCCUCGUUAUGGAGAGCACCGGGAUGAUGAAGAUGGCCAUCGGAGAGGGAUUGCCCCCUCCGGCAUGGUGCCAGAACGGGUCUAGAUUGGCUUUCGGUGGCUACGGGGGCUUCUGGCGGCAGAACUCCCGAUCUAUUGUGUUCUCUGAUCAUUUUAGGGUAUAUGGAGAUAUAUAGGCGGAAGAAGUACGUCAGGGGGGCACGAGGGGCCCACGAGGGUGGAGGGCACGCCCCCUGCCUCGUGGCUUCCUCGUAGAUCCCCUGACGUGCAAUCCAAGUCUUCUGGGCUUCUUCUGAUCCAAAAAUAAGUUCCGUGAAGUUUCAGGUCAAUUGGACUCUGUUUGGUUUUCCUUUUCUGCGAUAUUCUAAAACAAGGUAAAAACAAAAACUGGCACUGGGCUCUGGGUUAAUAGGUUAGUCCCAAAAAUUAUAUAAAAGUGUAUAAUAAAGCCCAUAAACAUCCAAAACAGUAGAUAAUAUAGCAUGGAGCAAUCAAAAAUUAUAGAUACUUUGGAGACGUAUCAGCAUCCCCAAGCUUAAUUCCUGCUCGUCCUUGAGUAGGUAAAUGAUAAAAACAGAAUUUUUGAUGCGGAGUGCUACUUGGCAUAAUUUCAAUGUAAUUAUUCUUGAUUGUGGUAUGAAUAUUCAGAUCCGAAAGAUUCAAGACGAAAGUUCAUAUUGACAGAAAAAUAAUAAUACUUCAAGUUAACUAACUAAGCAAUUAUGUCUUCUCAAAAUAACAUGGCCAAAGAAAGUUCAUCCCUACAAAAUCAUAUAGUUUAGUCAUGCUCCAUUUUCGUAACACAAGAAUGCUCUCAUCAUGCACAACCCCGAUGACAAGCAAAGCAAUUGUUUCAUACUUUAGUAAUCUCAAACCUAUAAACCUCCACGCAAUACAUGAGCGUGAGCCAUGGAUAUAGCAGUAUGGGUGGAAUAGAAUAUGAUGAUGGAGGUUAUGUGGAGAAGACAAAAAUGGAGAAAGUCUCACAUCAACGAAGCUAAUCAAUGGGCUAUGGAGAUGCCCAUCGAUUGAUGUUAAUGCAAGGAGUAGGGAUUGCCAUGCAACGGAUGCACUAGAGCUAUAAAUGUAUGAAAGCUCAACAAAAGAAACUAAGUGGGUGUGCAUCCAACUUGCUUGCUCACGAAGACCUAGGGCACUUGAGGAGGCCCAUUGUUGGAAUAUACAAGCCAAGUUCUAUAAUGAAAAUUCCCACUAGUAUACGAAAGUGACAAAACAAAAGACUCUCUAUCAUGAAGAUCAUGGUGCUACUUUGAAGCACAAGUUUGGCAAAGGAUAGUAGCAUUGUCCCUUCUCUCUUUUUCUCUCAUUUAUUUUUUAUUUUUUUGGUCUUCUCCUUUUUUAUGGCCUUUCUCUUUUUGGGGGGCCUUCUAUUUUUUAUGGCCUUUCUCUUUUUUUAUUCCUCACUUGGGACAAUGCUCUAGAAAAUGAUGAUCAUCACACUUCUAUUUAUUUACAACUCAAUGAUUACAACUCGAUGCCAGAACAAAAGAUGACUCUAUACGAAUGCCUCCGUCGGUGUACCGGGAUAUGCAAUGAAUCAAGAGUGACAUGUAUGAAAGAAUUAUGAACGGUGGCUUUGCCACAAAUACUAUGUCAACUACAUGAUCAUGCUAAGCAAUAUGACAAUGAUGAAUGUGUCAUGAUAAACGGAAUGGUGGAAAGUUGCAUGGCAAUAUAUCUCGGAAUGACUAUGGAAAUGCCAUAAUAGGUAGGCAUGGUGGCUGUUUUGAGGAAUAUAUAAGGAGGUUUAUGUGUGAUAGAGCGUAUCAUAUCACGGGGUUUGGAUGCACCGGCGAAGUUUGCACCAACUCUCAAUGUGAGAAAGGGCAAUGCAUGGUACCGAAGAGGCUAGCAAUGAUGGAAGGGUGAGAGUGCGUAUAAUCCAUGGACUCAACAUUAGUCAUAAAGAACUCACAUACUUAUUGCAAAAAUCUACAAGUCAUCAAAAACCUCGGCACUACGCGCAUGCUCCUAGGGGGGGUAGAUUGGUAGGAAAAGACCACCGCUCGUCCCCGACCGCCACUCAUAAGGAAGGCAAUCAAAUAACACCUCAUGUUUCAAAUUUGUUACAUAACGUUUACCAUACAUGCAUGCUAUGGGACUUGCAAACUUCAACACAAGCACAAAUUCACAACUACUCAACUAGCACGACUUUGAUAUUAUUACGUCCAUAUCUCAAAACAAUCAUCAAGUAUCAAACUUCUCUUAGUAUUCAAUACUCUAUAUGAAUUUUUUUACUAUUCUUGGAUGCCUAGAAUAUUAGGAUUAUUUAAGCAAAUUACCAUGCUAUUAAAACUCUCAAAAUGAUAUAAGUGAAGCAUGAGAGUUCAUCUAUUUCUAUAAUACCACCACAGUGCUCUAAAAAGAUAUAAGUGAAGCACUAGAGCAAACGACAAACUACUCCGAAAGAUAUAAGUGAAGAUCAAUGAGUAGUCAAAUAAUUAUGCAACUAUGUGAAGACUCUCUAACAUUUAAUAAUUUCAGAUCUUGGUAUUUUAUUCAAACAGCAAGAAAAACAAAAUAAAAUAAAUUGAUGCUCCAAGGAAAACACAUAUCAUGUGGCGAAUAAAAAUAUAGCUCCAAGUAAAGUUACCGAUGAACGAAGACGAAAGAGGGGAUGCCUUCCGGAGCAUCCCCAGGCUUAGGCUUUUGGUUGUCCUUGAAUAUUACCAUGGGGUGCCUUGGGCAUCCCCAGGCUUAGGCUCUUUCCACUCCUUAUUCCAUAGUCCAUCGAAUCCUUACCCAAAACUUGAAAACUUCACAACACAAAACUUAAUAGAAAACUCGUAAGCUCCGUUAGUAUAAGAAAAUAAAUCACCACUUCAAGGUACUGUGAUGAACUCAUUAUUUAUUUAUAUUGGUGUUAAACCUACUGUAUUCCAACUUAUAUAUGGUUCAUAAACUCUUUUACUAGCCAUAGAUUCAUUAAAAUAAGCACACAACACAUGAAAAACAGAAUCUGUCAAAAACAGAACAGUCUGUAGUAAUCUGGAUCAAAAGUAUACUUCUGGAACUCAUAAAAUUCUCAAAUAACUUUAUGGACGUGAGGAAUUUAUCUAUUAAUCAUCUGAAAAAAGAAUUAACUAAAUGUCACUUUUCAAAUAAAAAUGGCAGCAAUUCUCGUGAGCGCUAAAGUUUCUGUUUUUUACAGCAUGAUCAACAAGACUUUCCCCAAGUCUUCCCAAAGGUUCUACUUGGCACAAACACUAAUUAAAAGAAUAAAACCACACCUAAACAGAGGCUAGAUGAAUUAUUUAUUACUAAACAGUAGCAAAAAGCAAGGAACAAAAACAAAGUUGGGUUGCCUCCCAACAAGCGCUAUUGUUUAACGCCCCUAGCUAGGCUUGAUGAUUUCAACGAUGCUCACAUAAAAGAUAAGAAUUGAAACAUAAAGAGAGCAUCAUGAAGAAUAUGAAUAGAAAAUUUAAGUCUAACCCACUUCCUAUGCAUAGGGAUUUUGUGAUCAAACAACUUGUGGGAACAAGAAUCAACUUGCACAGGAAGGUAAAACAAGCAUAACUUCAAAACUUUAAGCACAUAGACAGGAAACUUGAUAUUAUUGCAAUUCCUACAAGCAUAUAUUCCUCCCUCAUAAUAAUUUUCAGUAGCAUCAUGAAUGAAUUCAACAAUAUAACCAUCACCUAAAUCAUUCUUUUCAUGAUCUACAAGCAUAGAAAAUUUACUACUCUCCACACAAGCAAAAUUCUUCUCUUUUGGAAUAGUGGGAGUAAACUCAACAAAAUAAUUAUCAUGUGAGGCAUAAUUCUUUAAAGCAUAUAUGUCAUCACAAUAAUCAUCAUAGAUAGGAAGCAUGCUUUCAUCAUAAUAAAUUUGCUCAUCAAAACUUGGGGGAUAAAAAAUAUCAUCUUCAUCAAACAUAGCUUCCCCAAGCUUGUGGCUUUGCAUAUCAUUAGCAUCAUGGAUAUUCAAGGAAUUCAUACUAACAACAUUGCAAUCAUGCUCAUCAUUCAAAUAUUUAGUGCCAAACAUUCGAAUGCAUUCUUCUUCUAAAACUUUGACACAAUUUUCCUUUCCAUCAUACUCACGAAAGAUAUUAAAAAGAUGAAGUGUAUGAGACAAACUCAAUUCCAUUUUUUAUAGUUUUCUUUUAUAAACUAAACUAGUGAUAAAAUAAGAAACUAAAAGACUCGAUUGCAAGAUCUAAAGAUAUACCUUCAAGCACUCACCUCCCCGGCAACGGCGCCAGAAAAGAGCUUGAUGUCUACUACACAACCUUCUUCUUGUAGACGUUGUUGGGCCUCCAAGUGCAGAGGUUUGUAGGACAGUAGCAAAUUUCCCUCAAGUGGAUGACCUAAGGUUUAUCAAUCCGUAGGAGGCGUAGGAUGAAGAUGGUCUCUCUCAAGCAACCCUGCAACCAAAAAACAAAGAGUCUCUUGUGUCCCCAACACACCCAAUACAAUAGUAAAUUGUAUAGGUGCACUAGUUCGAUGAAGAGAUGGUGAUACAAGAUGGUAGAUAAAGGUUUUUGUAAUCUGAAAAUAUAAAAACAGCAAGGUAACUAAUGAUAAAAGUGAGCGUAAAUGGUAUUGCAAUGCGUUGAAACAAGGCCUAGGGUUCAUACUUUCACUAGUGCAAGUUCCCUCAACAAUAAUAACAUAAUUGGAUCACAUAACUAUCCCUCAACAUGCAACAAAGAGUCACUCCAAAGUCACUAAUAGCAGAGAACAAACGAAGAGAUUAUGGUAGGGUACGAAACCACCUCAAAGUUAUUCUUUCCAAUCAAUCCGUUGGGCUAUUCCUAUAAGUGUCACAAACAGCCCUAGAGUUCGUACUAGAAUAACACCUUAAGACACAAAUCAACCAAAACCCUAAUGUCACCUAGAUACUCCAAUGUCACCUCAAGUAUCUGUGGGUAUGAUUAUACGAUAUGCAUCACACAAUCUCAGAUUCAUCUAUUCAACCAACACAUAGAACCUCAAAGAGUGCCCCAAAGUUUCUAACGGAGAGUCAAGACGAAAACAUGUGCCAACCCCUAUGCAUAGGUUCAUGGGCGGAACCCGCAAGUUGAUCACCAAAACAUACAUCAAGUGAAUCAAUAGAAUAACCCAUUGUCACCACGGUUAUCCCACGCAAGACAUACAUAAAGUGUUCUCAAAUCCAUAAAGACUCGAUCCGAUAAGAUAACUUCAAAGGGAAAACUCAAUCCAUUACAAGAGAGUAGAGGGGGAGAAACAUCAUAAGAUACAACUAUAAUAGCAAAGCUCGCGAUACAUCAAGAUCGUACCACCUCAAGAACACGAGAGAGAGAGAGAUAAAACACAUAGCUACUGGUACAUACCCUCAGCCCCGAGGGAGAACUACUUUCUCCUCGUCAUGGAGAGCACCGGGAUGAUGAAGAUGGCCACCGGAGAGGGAUUGCCCCAUCCGGCAGGGUGCCAGAACGGGUCUAGAUUGGCUUUCGGUGGCUACGGAGGCUUCUGGCGGCGGAAAUCCCGAUCUAUUGUGUUCUCUGAUCGUUUUAGGGUAGGGUAUAUGGAGAUAUAUAGGCGGAAGAAGUACGUCAGGGGGGCCACGAGGGGCCCAUGAGAGUGGAGGGCGCGCCCUAGGGGGGUGGGCGCGCCCCCUGCCUCGUGGCUUCCUCGUAGAUCCCCUGACGUGCACUCCAAGUCUUAUGGGCUUCUUCUGAUCCAAAAAUAAGUCCGUGAAGUUUCAAGUCAAUUGGACUCCAUUUGGUUUUCCUUUUCUGCGAUAUUCUAAAACAAGGUAAAAAUAGAAACUGGCACUGGGCUCUGGGUUAAUAGGUUAGUCCCAAAAAUGAUAUAAAAGUGUAUAAUAAAGCCCAUAAACAUCCAAAACAGUAGAUAAUAUAGCAUGGAGCAAUCAAAAAUUAUUGAUACGUUGGAGACGUAUCAGACACAUGGGAAUAUCGUCAAGCUAGUUUUCAUCAUGUUCAUAUGAUUCGCAUUCGGUACUUUGAUAAUCUAAUAUGUGGGUCGACCGGUGCUUGGGUGUUGUCCUUACUUGGACAAGCAUCCCACUUAUGAUUAACCUCUAUUGCAAGCAUCCACAACUACAACAAAAGUAUUAAGGUAAACCUAACCAUAGCAUGAAACAUAUGGAUCCAAAUCAGCCCCUUACGAAGCAACGCAUAAAGUAGGGUUUAAGCUUCUGUCACUCUAGCAACCCAUCAUCUACUUAUUACUCCCCUAUGCCUUCCUCUAGGCCCAAAUAAUGGUGAAGUGUCAUGUAUUCGACGUUCACAUGACACCACUAGAGGGAUGACAACACACAUCUCAUCAAAAUAUCGAACAAAGACCAAAUUCACAUGACUACUAAUAGCAGGACUUCUCCCAUGUCCUCAGGAACAAACGUAACUACUCACAAAUCAUAUUCACGUUCAUAAUCAGAGGGGUAUUAAUAUGCAUAUAGGAUCUGAACAUAUGAUCUUCCACCAAAUAAACCAACUAGCAUCAACUACAAGGAGUAAUUAACACUACUAGCAACCCACAGGUACCAAUCCCGGACUUGGAGAUAGGAAUUGGAUACAAGAGAUGAACUAGGGUUUUGAGAGGAGAUGGUGCUGGUGAAGAUGUUGAUGGAGAUUUCCCUCUCCCGAUGAGAGGAGCAUUGGUGAUGACGAUGGCGAUGAUUUCCCCCUCCCGAAGGGAAGUUUCCCCGGCAGAACAGCUCCGCCAGAGCCCUAGAUUGGUUCCACCAAGGUUCCGCCUCGUGGCGGCGGAGUUUCGUCCGAGGAGAUGGCUUAUGUUUUUUUCCUCAUCGAAAGACUCCAUAUAGCAGAAGAUGGCCAUCGGAGGGCCACCAGGGGGCCCCCGAGGUAGGGCGCGCGCCCAGGGGGUAGGGCACGCCCCCACCGUCAAGGGCAGGGUGUGGGCCCCCUGGUGAACUUCUUGCGCUCAGUAUUUUUUAUAUAUUCUGAAAACGUCUUUCGUGAAGUUUCAGGACUUUUGGAGCUGUGCAGAAUAGGUCUCUACUAUUUGCUCCUUUUCCAGCCUAGAAUCCCAGCUGCCGGCAUUCUCCCUCUUUAUGUAAACCUUGUAAAAUAAGAGAGAAUAGGCAUAAGUAUUGUGACAUAAUGUGUAAUAACAGCCCAUAAUGCAAUAAAUAUCAAUAUAAAAGCAUGAUGCAAAAUGGACAUAUCAGGCCUCCCUUGAGAAGACUUUGCAAAGAUAUCAUAUUGAUGUGGGCUAAACGGCGAUGCCAAAGUCAUCCCACGUCAACUUUAGCCAUUAGGCAUGUCGCGGUCUUAGUGGGUCGCUCCGAAAAGUUAAUCACAUAGAGACUGUUCUCGACAUGCCCAACAAAGGCUACUUUAAGAGUAUUGCUCCACAAGAGGGUCACGGUAUUAAUAUCAAAGAAAGUGGCAAAGUCCAUGAGUGCUAGUUGACGAACGGAAAGUAAAUUGUAUGCAAGGGACUCAACAAGCAUGACCUUCUCGAUAGUAAGAUCAUGAGAAAUGACAACCUUGCCAAGUCCCAAUACCUUAGAGGAUGAGGCGUCACCCCACUCGAUGUUGGUGGGCAUGGAUGGAAUCCUUUGCACAUCCACCACCAAGUCCUUGCUUCCGGUCAUAUGAUUAGUAGCUCCACUAUCGAGCAACCAUGAUCCCCACUGGAAGCAAACACCUACAAGAGAUCAAUGCUUAGCUUUAGGUAUCCAUUUGGUAAUGGGUCCUUUGAUGUUAGUAACAAGGGUCUUAGGAACCCAAAUAGACCAUUCAAUGUACUCAUAAGGAGAACCAACAAAUUUGGCAUAAACAUGCCCAUCUCUAGCACGACACAACACAUAAGAAGGGUUAAAGUCGUCAGCUUUGUUGGGAAGGGAAGCGUUUCCCUUGUUGGCAUCACUACCCCUCACGGAGUUAUUCUCCUUCUCCUUAGUAGCACCCCCUCCUUCACAAAGGUUUGCUUGAGAGGAGGAGGUCGUUUAGCCUUGUCAUUCUUCUUCUUGUUCUUGGACUUGGUCACGUACUCAAUCCCUUCCUUGGCCACAACUCCCUUUUGGUUGGUCAAAAGGUCGUUGAGAUUCUUCUCACCUUGUAUGCACAGCACAAGACCUUUCUCAAGUUGCACCUUUAGCUUAGUGUUCUCCUCAACAAUAUGCAAUGCUCACAACAUGGGUUAGUAGCAUUUGCAUUAUCAAUUAACAUCAUAUGAGGAAAAGUGGCUUUCUCCUUGGUUAGCUUUACUUGAAGUUGAUCAUGAGACUCUUUGAGGCUAGCAUGAGCACCCUUCAAGAUCUUGUGAGCCUUGUCAAGUAGAUCAAACUCCUCUUUGAGUCUAGCAAGAUCAACCCCAAGCUUGGCCUUCUCAGAGUUUAGCACACGAGAGACAAUGAGAGCAUGAUCAAAAUCUUUCUUUAACUUAGCAUGAUCAAUGUUGUGUGACUCCUCAAGAGCCAAACGAAGACCACACUCUUCCUCAAGAGCAUUGGAAAGAUCCGAAAUCUCAUCGGCAUAGUCAUGACUAUGCCCCUCCAUCUUGGAGAUAGUAUCUUCGUGAGCCUCGAUCAUGUCAUUGGCUUCACCAAGUUGUUCCAAGAGAGCAACAAAAUGUUUCUUGGAUUUACCCUUGAGUUUACCCAUAAAGGACUCAAACUCAUUUUGCUCCACAUUAGAUCCCUCAUAUUCAUCAAUGCAAUCCGUCAAGGAAGGAUUAUUAAUGAUGGUAGUUUUGAUAUUGGGGGUUACCUUGUUGGUGGCUUUAGCCAUGAGGCACUUGGCGGUGAUGUUUUCAUUGGGUGAGUCGAAGAGAGACACUCGUGGAGUUUUUGCAAUGGCAACGGAGGCCAUGGCAACCGACUCACCAUCUUCAUCAUCAUCAUCAUCAUCCUCAUGGUACUCUUCUUGAACCACCAACACCUUGUGAGGUGUCUUCUUGGUGAAGUUUCUCUUGUUGGGGAAAGACUUGGCUUUGUCCUUUCGGAUGAGCUUGCCACCAUUGUCUUCCCUCUUCUCAUACGUGCACUCCGCAACAAAAUGGCUCACAUUGCCACAAUUGUAGCAAGUCCUCACACGUUGCUUGCUCUUCGUGCCACUUGAGAUGUUCUUGUUGAAGUUUGGCCUUGAGUUCUUCUUGCUCCAAAAUUGCCUUGAAGCAAGUGCCAUGUGUUCAUGAUAGGCAUACUUUGUAUCUUCGGGGUUGCUUUCCUCUUCUUCCUCUUCUUCUUCUUCUUCUUCAACGCAAACCUUGGCCUUCAAUGCAAGGUUGGGCUUCUUUGCCCUUUGAGAGCGAAGCACCACAUUGUCGGUGGUCUUGUCCAAGAUGUUCAUAGCCACAAACUCAUCCAACACUUCACUUGAGGUCAAGGUGUGGAAGUCCGGCCUUUGACGAAUGACGGAGGACAUGGCCUUGUGGUAAGGCAUCAUUGCCUUGAGGAAUUUGCGCUUGAUCCAAUUGUCAUCCGUGUCCUUACUCCCAUGAUCUCGGAGUGAGACCGCGAGUUUGGUUACUCUCCGAUAAAGCUCACGAGGCUCUUCAUCUUAUUUCAUAGCAAACUCAUCGGCUUCAUCUUGCACUACUUCAUAGUUGGAGAGUUGAAUGCUUGCGCUUCCCCGGUAGAGAGAGACAACACAAAACCAUGCAUCUUUGGCCAAGGCAAAGGGCCGAAAAUGAGGUAGAUCUUUGGGUGGAAUUGCAUCUUGGAUGAUGAAGAGAGCAUUCUCAUUGAAUUGAUUAUCCGCGGCUUCUCGAGGAGUGAAGUUGCUUGGGUCAUGCGGAUAGAAACCUUAUUCAAUGAUUCUCCAAAGAUUAGUAUUCACAUGAUUUAAAUGACGCUUAAAACGAUAAACCCAAGAAUCAAAGUCCUCAUUUUUCACAAUCUUAGGGGGAGGACCGGCAUGAUUCAAAUGAGUGGAAGGAAUCGGUCCACCAUAAACAAGUGGUGUUUCCACAUGGGCAAAGAUGUCGGUGCCAUUUUUACCACUAGAAGAAGGAGCCUUUUCACUACUAGCUUCCCCCUUGUCGGAGUUAGCAUCCAUCACCUUGUCAGUGGGAUCACCCACUUUCAACGGUGCGGUGGAUAGUUUAAGCCCUUCAAUGAAUUUAGUAAACAUGCUUUCCACCUCAGUCGUCAUUGAGGUUUUCAAUAUCUCCAAGGCUACAUUGAAUUCCUCACGGGAGACCGAGGUUCCCCCAUCACCCGUAGACAAGAUCGGAUUCACACCGGAGUGCUCCUCCACACCGUCUACAGUGUCAACCAUACUCUUCGGACGACAAAGUCCUUAGUAAAGAGACGAGGCUCUGAUACCAAUUGAAAGGAUCGAUAUGAUUGACUAGGGGGGGUGAAUAGGCAACUAACAAUUUUUAGCUUUUCUUUGCCAAAUUAAACUUUGCAUCAAAGUAGGUUGUCUAGAUGUGCAACUAGGUGAGCAACCUAUAUGAUGCAACAACAACGAGCACACAAGCAAGCAAAAGAAGUAACACUAAUAAGCUUGCACAAGUAAAGGUACGAGAUAACCAAGAGUGGAGCCGACGAAGGCAAAGAUGUGUUACCGAAGUUCCUUCCUUUUGAGGGGAAGUACGUCUCCGUUGGAGCGGUAUAGAGGCACAAUCUCCCCAAGAAGCCACUAGGGCCACCGUAUUCUCCUCACGCCCUCACACAAUGCAAGAUGCCGUGAUUCCACUAUUGGUGCCCUUGGAGGCGGCCACCGGACCUUUACAAACAAGGUUGGGGCAAUCUCCACAACUUAAUUAGAGGCUCCCAACAACACCACGAAGCUUCAACAUAAUGGAUUAUGGAUCCGUGGUGACCUCAACUGUCUAGGGUGCUCAAACACCCAAGAGUAACAAGAUCCGCUAGGGAUAGGUGGGGGAAUCAAAUUUCUCUUGGUGGAAGUGUAGAUAGGGGCCUUCUCAACCAAUCCCGAGCAAAUUAACAAGUUUGAUUGGCUAGGGAGAGAGAUCAGGCGAAAAUGGAUCUUAGAGCAUUAAUGGAGCUUUUGGGGAAAGAGGUAAAUCAACGAAGAAGAAGAGGACCCCCUUUUAUAGAAGGGGGUCCCAUCCAACCGUUACCCCCAAAACAGCCUCGCAGAGGGCGGUACUACCGCAGGUGGCAGUGGUACUACCGCUGGACCCAGCGGUACUACCGCUCCCCCUUGCGGUACUACCACCCAGCCUGGGAAGGAUUGAAGGGAGAGCAGAAAUCGUGCCCAGCGCGGUACUGCCGCGGUGGUAGGGCGGUACUACCGCCCUCGAGCGGUACUGCCGCUUCUACUACCGCUGCAAACUGCCGCUCAACCCGACACGAGAUGCGACCCCAUCGAGUCGACGCGGUAGUAGCCCGGUACCAUAGUAGUACUGCGGCUGAGAACCACAAGCGGUACUGCCGCUGGGUACCGCGGUACUAUCGCUCGGACACAAAACAACACAACUGCAAGGGAAACGAGCUCUCAAGUUGAAGCGGAAAGGCUCAGAGGGUGAGAGAAGGAUGUGUACGUGUUGAUUCCACCCAAGCCUUACCACAGCGGACCCCUCUUGAUAGAACGGUGACUCCUAUGAAACUAGUCCACCAAACAAGAAACAAAAGAGCUACACCGUCUUGAAAAACAAUCCGAGGGGAAAGAAAUCGUCUCGUGCCAAGGAUGAAUCUCUGAAAGGCUCAAAGCACACGGUUAGUCUGCAAACAUGUUGUCAUCAAUCACCAAAACUACAUCGAGAGAGAUAUGCCUUAACAUACACUAUGAAAACAAGAAUAAAAUUGCUCACCUCAAUCACGACGAGAGGCUAGGAGGGGCUUGUUCGGGGAGGGGGGAGGGUAAAGAUUUGUUGUUACUAGCAAGAGGCCCAUGCGUUGCACGGAACAUCAAGAUGCAUUUAUAUGAGGGAAGACCUUAUCUGCAAAUAUGGAGAGGUUUGUGGGUAUCUUUUUGCAAAAUUGCCAUAGUUUGCUUUCUAUCCGUCAGAUAUAGAUCGGACGGUCUAUAUUGCAGGAUGGUAGGCACACCAUCAUCACCAACUCAGUUUUUUAUAAGAGUAGAGAUAUGCUACUUCAUUCUACAAAAACUUCUUUGGCCGAGCUACUUGUCCUGCAAAUUUUCUAUUUGAACUUCCUAUGCCUUUGGUAUGAUAGGUCUUUACUAAUUCAUGAAUUCACUCUUGAAGAAAUCAAGCGAGUUGUUUUCUAGACGAAGCACAACAAAGCUCUUGGAUUAGAUGGACUUCAUAUGUAUUUUUAUCUACAUUUUUGGCAUUCAAUUGGUAAUGAUUUUAUAUCAUUGUUUCACGAGUUUUACCAUGAAAAAUAGGCUAGGUGAGGUUUAAUUAUGGAGGGCUUACAUUGUUAUCCAAGUGUGCUGGAGCUGCUAAAAUUCAAUAAUAUGAUCCAUAUGUUUGUUAAAUGUGUUUUUCAAAAACCUCAUCGGUGAUAUUAAUAAUAGAGCUAUAGGUGUUGCUCAUAAACUCAUCUCACAUGUUUAGACAUCAUGUAUUGAUGGUAAAUUUUUAUUAGAUGGGGUAGUGUUAUUACUUGAGAUCAUGCAUCGGGUUCAUAGAAGGAGAAAUAUGUUAUGCUUUAUAAGAUGGAUUUUGAGAAAGCAUAUCAACUUGACUUUCUUAAAAGGUUUCCUAUCUAAGAAAGCUUCCCAGGGAAUUUUUAUUAGCUAGGUGAUGAAAUAUGUUUCACAUGGGAAGUCAUGGUGAUGAUAAAUGAUGUGGUUGGUUCUUAAAAUAAACGAGUAAAUGAUUUAGGCAAGGGAACCAAGGUUACCCGUUCAUAUUGCAAAUAUGUUUUAUCUCUUCUAGUUGGACACGCUCUCCAACAUGGUUUCAUCUAGUUUAGCCCCUAAUCUGGUAGAUUAGUAUGUUGAUGACAUCAUAUUUAUGUUCCAAGAUGAGUUGGAAGGGAGAAGAAAUCUCAAAUACACUCUAUACCUUUUUGAACAAUUACCAGGGUUUAAGAUUAGUUUCCAACAAAAGCAAAUUAUUUUAUCUUGGAAAAUCUCAAGGAAGAAGUACACAACUAUAUUCAAAUUUCACAUACAUAGGUAUUCUUGUUUGUCGUGUUAGGUUAAAUAAAAAUGAUUGUAGAACUACGAAAGAGAAAAUUUUAUUAGCCUGGAAAGGAAAGCAACAUCCGUAUGGAGGGAGACUAUUUUUUCUUCUUAAAUCUAGCUUAAUUAACGUACUUUCUUAUAAGUUAUCUAUGUUUGAAUUGCCAAAAGUUCCUGCUAAGAUAGUUGAUUUGUGUAGGAAAAGAUUAACAUGGAAGGAUCAUGAUGAUACUAAGAAAUAUCAUUUAGUAAAUUAGAAAGAAACUUGUGGAUGUAAAGUUCACGAGAGUCUUGGGGGAUUAGAAAUGAUGAAUAUGUGUCUUUUGCGUUAAUGGUUGUGGAAGUCUGAAAAUGAAAUUGGGGUCUAGCAAGAACCCGCUAGAAAUCAGUAUGUGAGAAACUCUACUUUAUCAUUGCGUAAAAAGGAGUUAAUCAUUCCCAUUUGUUGGCAAGCCUUGUUAAAGUGAAAUGUGUGUUUUUAGUUUUGUAAAAAGAAAGAUUGAAAGUUCUAAAAUGAUCAAGUUCUGGGACUACCACUGGGGGUUAAACCCAUUGAGUGUAAUAUUUGUAAAUAUUUAUAUUCUUGUUUGAGAUAAGGGCCAAAAGAGUAUCAAAUUUAGAAGAGUGCUAUGUUGAGGGAAUGAUGAUGCAUUGUUUCAAUUAUGGAUAUGUGCUCUUGUUCAUCUUUGUUAGACCUAUUUGAUUCUUGUAGAUGGACUCUCGAGAACGGCAAUUUUUUGUGUGCAUUCCUUAUACAUGACGCUUACAAUUGGUCAACUGAAAUUGGCCACAUAUGAGGCUUUGGUUUGUGAGAAAUAAACCUUUGAAAGAACAUGUGUUCAUCUGGUUGGAAGUAAAAAUGUAUUGUAAGUAAGUAUACUAAUUAGGAGAUGGGGCAUGUAAGGAUGAUAAAUGUAGAUUAUGUGAUAAUUUGGAAACUAUGGAUAAUUUGUUCUUCAUGUGUUGUAGCUAGAUACAUUUUGGGUGUAUCCUCUUGUGCUACUGGGAUGCAAGUGAUGCCCAUAAGCACUUAUGGGAUUAGUAGAUGGAAUAUGAAAUUCAAUGGUUCCGAAAAAUAAUAUAUUUCUCUCGGUCUGGCUUCUAUUAUGUGGUCUAUUUGGAAGGCCAUAAUGCAAUGUAACCUGAUCAUGUUAACUACUAAGGGUGUUGUUAUUAUCUACCAUGUAUCACAUUAGAUGACUUGUUGUGUUGAUAUGCAGUGAGUAAACAGAGAACAACUAAUAUGUAGAACAACUCAUUUGCUAUGGCAGUGCCAUAUGAAUUAUUCUACGAAGACGAAGGUUUGACGCUACAUAUGUGAAUGAUUGGAAUGAGAUGAAUAUAAUUAAGGAAAGUGAUGGUGAGUGGUGUUUGUCAUGACGCAAAGACGAAUGCCUUUGUUAUGUUGUUCGGUUUAUGAAACACAACAAUUGUUUAUGAAAAUUUUGAUUUGUCUAUGAUAAUGCCUAGUAGAUGAGUUAAGCAGUAGAAGGUUAUGGAUCUUUGGACAUUGUGGUUCUCUAGGUUAAGCUUGUAACUAGAAAUUUGACUUUUUAAUUCCAUGAUACCAUAUAAAAUUAAGUUGGGAGCUUGAAAACAACAUCUAUACAAUCAUAUAGCUUAUAGAUGGUAUAUGUUUGUUCAAAACUUGCAGAUACAAACUUCAUCCCUCAAAAGUAAAUUCACGGUUGGAAGAACAAACAAAUGAAAAUGCUACAGUGUUAGAGAAUGGUGGAAAAUAUUUUUUUUGUUGCACCUAUCCAGGUGGUUACAAAGGCCGAAGACAAUAGAGCAUCUUAGACUUGAGGGACCCUGCAAAUGGAGUCGUAGUUUACCACUCCGAAGACGUGUUCCAUCAUGCAAAGUUUGCAUGUUAAGUGAUUGACCCGGUUGAGUAGCUAGGUACGAUGCCGGAAUUCCUUGUACAAUCUCUCGCGACAGAUGUGUUGAGCCAUUUGGUUCAAAGAAUAAAGGUUGAAAUUCCCCUUAACACAGGAGGAAAAGAAGAUGAAUUGCAAUAGACAAACACCCAACGGAACAGAGAUGCAAGUGUGUGGUUUGAACUAAUUGAAUAUCCUAAAUGCUAUUGAUAUGAUGGCAGAUAAAAAUUUAUUUGGGGCAAACUCCCUCAUGUACAUUAGAUCUCGCACGUGAAUCUCCAAGUGUUCGCUCCCUCCCCCCCCCCUUAGGGAACGACUGAGAAUGNNNNNNNNNNNNNNNNNNNNNNNNNNNNNNNNNNNNNNNNNNNNNNNNNNNNNNNNNNNNNNNNNNNNNNNNNNNNNNNNNNNNNNNNNNNNNNNNNNNNNNNNNNNNNNNNNNNNNNNNNNNNNNNNNNNNNNNNNNNNNNNNNNNNNNNNNNNNNNNNNNNNNNNNNNNNNNNNNNNNNNNNNNNNNNNNNNNNNNNNNNNNNNNNNNNNNNNNNNNNNNNNNNNNNNNNNNNNNNNNNNNNNNNNNNNNNNNNNNNNNNNNNNNNNNNNNNNNNNGCUUGAAUUUUUUGUGUUUUUAUUCAUUUUUCUAAAUCUUGAACAAGUGGUUAUUUAGAGCACGACAAAUCCUACCACCUCCAUCCGAAAAUAUAAGACCAUUUUUAGUGUCAAAAUGGUCUUAUAUUUUGGGAUGGAGGGAGUACCUUUUAAGCAUUUUGGACAUGACACCUAUGCCAACUUUAGCAUGGCAAAUUCUAAGUGUUUACACAUUGCUAGUGCCAUAGCAUGGCAAAUAGUGUGUGUUCUAGUCUUUUAGGCAUGGCAAUUAUAUUUGUUAUAACAAGGGAACUCCAUUUCUUAUCAUGACAUAGCAAUUUUUCGCACUGCACCAUGACAAUUCUUCACACUGUAGCACGGCAAAUCUUUAUCUUGUAGCGUGACAAUUCUCUAUAUUGUAGGAUGGCAACGCCAAUUCUUCUAUGCAAUGCAGCAACGUCAUGAUAAUCGUUGCACGCAUGACAACGCGGCAAGUUUCUGUCAAUAACAUUAUCAUAGCAUGGCAAUUUCGGCUUGAUAGCAUGGUAAAGAAGUUGUUGAGGGGAUAUGGGACGUGGUGGCAUUUGUUGUAAGUAGUAUUAUGCGAGUCAGAUUUGUUCUCUUGAGAAAGACACCCGCAGCGCACAAUCGUUCACUCAGUUUACCCUCCCGAGCGAAAGUCAACUAGCUAUUGGUCUCUAUAUAUACUAGCUAUGUGUCCGUGCGUUGCCACGGACUAACAAAUAUAUAUAUACAAAGAGAAAAUUCAUGUGACAUAAGAGUCAAAGGCCAUUUUUAUGGGAUGAUAUCUCAUGGUCAUGAUCUAGUAGGUACAUACAUCUCGUCAUUGUCUUUCUUCCACACUCCAUGUCCGAGCUACCACGCGACACUCGACUUCCUUCUCCCACCAUGCAUGCUUUUAUCUCCUAUUUCUCCUACCUCUACCUUGCACGACAGUACCAAGUUUCUUGUCCAACUAUCAUAAUCUUCUCCGGUAGGGCACCCCCUUAGAUUAUUACUGACUUGUACAUGUUGCAAAUAAGAUCAACGAAAAUGGAUACUAAAUUUCUGAUGAGAAAUGAGAAUUCAGGGCAAUAUCUUCCCAAGAAAAUAAUAAUUCCAAGACAAUCUUUUUAUACCUUCUGUCAACAUUGGGACACACAUUCCACGCAAUAAGCAUGCAAUGAUGUUGAUACUUGAUUAAUUGUCAAUAUAUGUCUAUAGUAAAGAUAACUUUACUCAAAAUAUGUUUUUCUAAGAAGGAAGGAUAAUUCAUAUUAGAAAAAAAAUAAAGGUUUGGGUUCAUCCCACCAAUGUUUCUCUUGUGCAACUCAUCUCCGCACCUGCUCACGAGAUUGGCGUGUCUCGAGCACACCACUCCCACACACCCUCACAAGAGCGUCACAACCAAUCUCUGAGUGCCACUGACACACAUGCAUGGAGCGCUCACUCCAAGCCUGACUAUACACAUUUCCACAGUAGCCGAAUUCAAAGAGAAUCAACGGGGCAUCAUCCACUGCUUUCUCAGGGUCCUAUUCAUCAUGAAAUCAUAGACCAAGAUAUUCCUCCCAUCCAUUUUUUAGGGAAAGGAUUUUUCUCGAUGUUCCUCUCAUCUUCAUGGUAGUAAUAACCUAAAAACGCCACCAGUCAACUCCGAAGAACAUGCAACAUUGUGAGAGUCAAAGUCAUGGUCAGUCAACUCCGUCAAGAAUUUCAAAUUAUGUGCUAUCCAAUACGUACUUGUUGCCGAUGGAACGACCACAUGGAUAGCUCCUACAAUCUUCAUGCAGGUUGCACAAAAUUACGCCAUAGGAGGUUUCAAACCUUCAAUGGGCCACCCUUGGCCAUCCAGCCGGUGGUUUUCCAUCCUUCCUUAUGCCUGACGUCUUGUGGAACCAGGCGCAUCCCAGAUCCACCGCCUUCCAUUCAGGUCGCCACACAGAGGGGAAAAAUAGAGUAGGCGGUGGCGCGGAGGAGGAGGCGGUGGUUUUCUAUGUCACUGGUGUUUGUGUAGUUGUGCGUUGGACAACGUGGGGAGGACGAGGAAAUGGGAGAGCAGAUUGUCGAUGGUGGCAUGGGAAAAAGAACGCGGUCUAGGGAAGGGGUCGGUGGCUAGAACUUUGGAAAGGAAGGAAACCUGAUUGUGUUUCCCUUUAUUUUGUAUAUGGAAGUUAUGUAUGGUUCAUGUAUGGCAACAAGUCCUAUAAAAGAGAACCAAGGAUUGAUUGAUGAUUGUGUUUUAUUUCAUAUGGAAACCGAUCUGUCGGGGCUACAUGUAAGUGCAUUGUGACUAAGGAAGGAUCAAUAGAUUGAAUUAGAUUAGAAAAAAACCAGCAGGAGGGUGGAGUUAUUAAUUAAGAAAAAAGUCAGUAGUGGGAGGUGGGAUGAAAUAAAACCGGACGAAAAAAAGUCAGUAGUGGGAGGUGGUAGUCUCCGCCGGCCAAUUUUCGUCCCACCUCCACUGGUUUUUUUUAAUCCUAAAAAAAUCUAUGAAAUUUCGUAGGUUAACCAGGGACAACUCCCACCUCCCAGGUUUUUUUCCGUCUCACCUUCCAUGAUAUUUUUUUGUACAUCGCCCCACCUCACACUGAGCCGCCAAGAACCGCAAAAACCGCCUACCUUAGCCAAAUCAACAAAUCUCUCUCAUUAAUGCAAUUUUCUUUAGGAAACAAAUAAUAGAUUCUUUCCUACCUUAGCCAAAUCAACAGAUCUCUUUCAUUAAUGCAAUUUCCUUUAGCAAACAAAUAAUAGAUUCUUUCCUACCUUAGCCAAAUCAACGGAUCUCUCUCAUUAAUGCAAUUUUCUUUAGGAAAUAAAUAAUAGAUUCUUUCCUACCUUAGCCAAAUCAACGGAUCUCUUUCUUUAAUGCAAUUUGCUUUAGCAAACAAAUAAUAGAUUCUUUCCUACCUUAGCCAAGUCAACGGAUCUCUCCCAUUAAUGCAAUUUGCUUUAGGAAACAAAUAAUAGAUUCUUACCUACCUUAGCCAAAUCAACGGAUUUCUCUCAUUAAUGCAAUUUUUCUUUAGGAAACAAAGAANNNNNNNNNNNNNNNNNNNNNNNNNNNNNNNNNNNNNNNNNNNNNNNNNNNNNNNNNNNNNNNNNNNNNNNNNNNNNNNNNNNNNNNNNNNNNNNNNNNNNNNNNNNNAUUCUUUCCUACCUUAGCCAAAUCAACGGAUCUCUUUCUUUAAUGCAAUUUGCUUUAGCAAACAAAUAAUAGAUUCUUUCCUACCUUAGCCAAGUCAACGGAUCUCUCCCAUUAAUGCAAUUUGCUUUAGGAAACAAAUAAUAGAUUCUUACCUACCUUAGCCAAAUCAACGGAUCUCUUUCAUUAAUGCAAUUUUUCUUUAGGAAACAAAGAAUAGAUUAUUUCCUACCUUAGCCAAAUCAACGGAUCUCUUCCAUUAAUGCAAUUUGCUUUAGCAAACAAAUAAUAGAUUCUUUCCUACCUUAGCCAAAUCAACGGAUCUCUCCCAUUAAUGCAAUUUGCUUUAGGAAAUAAAUAAUAUAUUCUUUCCUACCUUAGCCAAAUCAACGGGCGUGUUUCGGUGGGUGGGCGUGGGGGUGGGGGUCAUUUGAUGGAAAAAAACCGGUUGAAAAUAAACCGGUUGAAAAUAAACCGGUUGAAAGUGGGGGGACUAUUCAACCAAUUCGUCCAUUAGGAGUAGAGAUAUAUAGAUAUACCUAAAUGAUAACGCCUACAUAUGUGGCACUUAUCAAUAUUGCAGUUGUUGUCAUCUGGGUCGAGAACCAUGUAAGCACCCAAGCGUUGUGUUUGUGUUUUCAUAUAGUGCCACACAUGUGGGCGCUCCUCGCCCAAACGGACACACGACGCUCGCCCGAACGUGUGGAUGAAACUGCUCUUCACCGACCCGACGCUCGCACGAUGAUAGAUGGCCACUACAAUUGUGCACAUGUGACAGCUAGUUAAUCACAUAUGGCAGCUAUGAUUGACCAUACAUAUCAAUUAUGGUUUGAACACACAUGGCAUUUUGAUUAGUACAUGCCAACUAAAGUUAAUCACACAUGGCAACUAAAAUUAAUUACACACGCAUUCGCGCUCAUAGGGUGGGGGUGAGCAGUUGCCACAGAGGGUUGUAUGGGACGUUUUGCGCCCGAACAUGUGGGCAGUUUUAAUAUUCGAUCACAAAAGAUCAUGUGGGUUGGCUCCUGGGUACGACCGGACGAGUCGUAUGGUCGGAUGUCCAUUGCGCCACAUAUGUGGCAGUUAUAGACAUCCUACAUUUAAGGCAGGUUAACCAAAACUCUACUAGAGGCAACAAUAAUUACUCGAAAUGUAAAUCGUGCCAUAACCAACAAGAUUCCAUAUUCCAUGGGCAGCACCACAAUUGCAAAGCUGUAAACCCGGGAUCCCCGGGCAUUAAUAAUAACUGUCAUCAAAGGUUAAAAGUUCCAAAGAUACAGCCCAGUCCCAACGUGACCAAUGUGAAGUAGUACUAGCCGUAAAACAAAUUUCCGAGUAACAGAAAGAUGCCUGAAGAGUGAAAAACGAGAUUGCGAAAAACUAGCCAAGGGAUUUAUACAUCCCCGAACCAACUCCAAAAACAAGCCGAGAUAGUAGGAGUACAUCUGGUUAUUGCCUCGCGCCAACCCUCGACGCACAAGUACACGAUGGGACGGACGUCCAGCCAGAGAUUCCGGAACGGCGCCGCCCCUGAUCCGAGCCGGAUCCCGGCCACCACAGAAGAUUCACUCCGAGCGGGCCCCGUACUCCAGCCAAAGGAGCCAAAACAAAAACCAUGGCCGCCGCACGAUAUUCCCGAACGAAAUCCCAACCGUCCGCCUAUUUCGCGUGGCCACUUUUCUCCGUGCCUCGCCCGUCUCCUAUAAAUCAGACGCCACCGAUUGGUUCCCCCAGCCAGCCUCAUCAGUCAUCACGCCAAUCCCGGCUUCCCGAUUCCGAUCGCUGAACGCCAACCACUUUCCUAAGCAGGGGGGCGCCGCGGAGAUGUCGGCGACGUGCGCGGCGGACCUGGGGCCGCUGCUGGGGGCGGCGGCGGCGAACGCCACGGACUACCUGUGCAACAGGUUCGCCGACACCACGUCCGCGGUGGACUCCACCUACCUGCUCUUCUCGGCCUACCUCGUCUUCGCCAUGCAGCUCGGCUUCGCCAUGCUCUGCGCCGGCUCCGUCCGGGCCAAGAACACCAUGAACAUCAUGCUCACCAACGUGCUCGACGCCGCCGCCGGCGCGCUCUUCUACUACCUCUUCGGCUUCGCCUUCGCCUUCGGGACGCCGUCGAACGGCUUCAUCGGGAAGCACUUCUUCGGCCUCAAGGACAUGCCGCAGACCGGCUUCGACUACAGCUUCUUCCUCUUCCAGUGGGCCUUCGCCAUCGCCGCCGCCGGCAUCACCUCCGGCUCCAUCGCCGAGAGGACGCAGUUCGUCGCGUAUCUCAUCUACUCGGCCUUCCUUACGGGAUUCGUCUACCCGGUCGUGUCCCACUGGAUCUGGUCCGUCGACGGCUGGGCCUCCGCGGCCCGCACGUCCGGCCCGCUGCUCUUCAAGUCCGGCGUGAUCGACUUCGCCGGCUCCGGCGUCGUGCACAUGGUCGGCGGCAUCGCCGGCUUCUGGGGCGCGCUCAUCGAGGGCCCCCGCAUCGGCCGGUUCGACCACGCCGGCCGCUCGGUGGCGCUCAAGGGCCACAGCGCGUCGCUCGUCGUGCUGGGGACCUUCCUGCUCUGGUUCGGCUGGUACGGGUUCAACCCGGGGUCCUUCGUCACCAUCCUCAAGUCGUACGGCCCGCCCGGGAGCAUCAACGGGCAGUGGUCGGGCGUGGGCCGCACCGCCGUGACGACGACGCUGGCGGGCAGCGUGGCGGCGCUCACGACGCUGUUCGGGAAGCGGCUCCAGACGGGGCACUGGAACGUGGUGGACGUCUGCAACGGCCUGCUCGGCGGGUUCGCGGCCAUCACCGCCGGGUGCAGCGUGGUCGACCCGUGGGCCGCCGUCAUCUGCGGCUUCGUCUCCGCCUGGGUGCUCAUCGGGCUCAACGCGCUCGCCGGCCGCCUCAAGUACGACGACCCGCUGGAGGCGGCGCAGCUGCACGGCGGCUGCGGCGCGUGGGGGAUCAUCUUCACGGCGCUGUUCGCCAAGAAGCAGUACGUGGAGGAGAUCUACGGCGCCGGCAGGCCGUACGGGCUGUUCCUGGGCGGCGGCGGGCGGCUGCUGGCGGCGCACAUCGUGCAGAUCCUCGUCAUCGCCGGCUUCGUGAGCUGCACCAUGGGCCCGCUCUUCUUGGCGCUCAAGAAGCUGGGCCUGCUCCGCAUCUCGGCCGAGGACGAGAUGGCCGGCAUGGACCUGACCCGGCACGGUGGGUUCGCCUACGUCUACCACGACGACGACGAGCACGACAAGUCGGUCGGCGGCUUCAUGCUCAGGUCGGCGCAGACCCGCGUCGAGCCGGCGGCGGCGGCGAACAGCCAGGUCUAACCAAUCAAGCCGGACUACGUAACAAGAAAUCCAGUGGAAAUCGCCUUUCUGUUCUCGCGCGUCAUAUCACAUAUGUGAUCCGAUCAUGGGAUCAAUAUUUCCGGUGCUGUUUGGGCCAAUACUUUGGCGCUCUUGUGUUCGUUCACAAGAUUGUAAAAUUAUUACACUAGGACGAGGUUAUUUUUUUUACCUUUUUUGUGUACAUGCGUGCGUUUAGAGGAGAUGUGUGGUGUGUGGAUGGAAUCUGCAGGGCUGGGGUUUUUUCUUUCUUGGUGAUAUCUUGUCAUUUUUGUGGUGGAAUUUUGUGAUCAUGAGGGUGUGGUCAAGAUAGGUGGCUGCUCAAGGUUGAAUUGUUGAGAUUUGUCCUCUAGUACGGGCCACCCUCUCUAUCAAAACUUUGGCGCGUUUUCUCGAUCGAAUGGCUUUUAGUUUUUCCGCUACGUAUGUUCCCGACGCUCUAUCGAGCUUCACACAUAUUUUUAGUGAAAGUUUUUCUAGUUUUCACUCUUCAUUUUGAUGCAUGUUCCCUAAAAAUAAUAGGGGGUUGGUUCUCUGUGCACACUUAUAUUUAGUUUACACGGCUACACCUACAAACAAAACACCUCACAAGAGUACCCUACCUACUACUCCCUGUUUUAAAUGAGCCGGC